GUCUCCCCUGUCGUACGUCGCUUGGCGGCUAGCCGGCGUCUGCGUCCGCCUCGGCCAUGACAAGCGUCGCCCAGCCCCUCCCCGCUCUCCAGCUCACCCCUAGAGCAGCAUGCAGUUCGUCUGCGAGCCCCUGCAACCCUGCCAGCUAGCUCUGCUUCCAUGCCCAUUGCCAGAGACUAUCUUCGUUGAUCUUAUCCUCGGCCUCCGACGAACCGAGGUCGAGUGCCUAUAUAAGGAGGCCCCCAAGCUCUGUGAGCACCCCAUCCUCCUCCCUGGACCCGCACCUAGCUUUCGAACACCCCAAUUUACCGGAGCCAUCCGCGAUGCUCACAUGCAGCGGCAUCGCCGUCGCCAACGUCCGGUCGAAUUCAAGCAAUCCUGAACCCCUCCCGCUCCACCUUGGCCACCAUUAUCUCAACCACGGUCCCUAGGUUCCAUCCCCAAAGCCAAAUCUCAUCGGUAGCGAAACGUAGGCAGAAGCCAGUGCGUCGGAGCCUCCCUUCCGCAAUGGUUGGAGGUGUGCUCACUCCCGAGCUCUCCGACGACUCCCAUGCCCCCACAAGAUGAGGCCCUUCCCCCUGAGCACGCCGGUGUGCCCAGCUCUAGGAAUGGUGCUUCCUAGCACCCGCAAUCGCCGUCGGCGUCGGCCCUUCACUGUGCCCGUGCGCGCGAGGGGGGAGAAGACGAACCCAAUAGGUGGGUUCCACCUGUUGGCGGGUCAACCUCGGCCUCGAUGGCGCAGAUCCCAGGGUGUGUUUUCGCUUUAGAAAGGUGUGUUCUCUGGAGUGCAUUUUCCCUUUCCCGAAAAUUUAUUUGUGGUCAAAAACGUUUUCUUCUCUCUUUUAUUUAAAAACAUAUUUUUGACCAAACUUUGACUUCUUAUAACUUUUAAACUACAACUCCAAAUGAGUUGAUUUUUUUUCUGUUGUUUCUCAAAUUUCACCUAGUUUAUUCUAUUAUUUAUUUCAAAAAAAUUAAAACAACUUUGAUACACGUUCUUAGGAAUGUGUUUUAAUUCCGGUAUUUUCAAAAAUAGGACAAUUUGGAGGGAAGAACUCUUUCAAGAUUUUUGGGGUGCACACCACCCUUAUUCAUACCAAAGGCGAGCAUCUUGAACCACGAUUUGUCUUAAGUGUGUGAUUGGUUGUUGCGAUGAAUGGAUGCAUGGUUAUGUUACUCAGAUAAAAACUCCCAUUAGUAACAUAUUUUGCAUGAAAUCAUGUGAUGGGUAUUUAUUUGUUGUUGAUCAUAUAAUCCUAGUGAUGAGUGGGUACUCCCUCAUUGACGGGGAUACGGCCCCUGGAUAUACCAAAGCGUAGGGAAUCCCUCUCGAAGACAUCCGGGCCAGCUGGGCCCCCUACUGGUCGGCUAGCUACACGCGGCUCACCUAGCCACUGUGUGGUGGGCCGACUAGUGGUGUUUGACCCUCCCCUGGGCGCCCUCGACCGGUUGGCCACAGACGGCCCACCUGGCUAGUGCACGAUGGGCCGGCUCACAGCAGCCGGCGGGUCAGUGCCUCCUUCCGGCCAUACUGACGUACGACGUACAAGACCAUACCCUAACUGCAGGGGCACGCAUGGCUACAGUGCGCAUGGACAGGCCUGGCGCGGCUACAGGCGUCAUGAUGCAAGGCUUCGCAUGGCUACAACGCCACCAGUCACGCCCGAGACUGACCAGGCGAGGCGGACCUAUAGCUAGGGCCUACCCCUACCAACUCCCUAGCGGCCGGCACAUUAUCCGCUACGGCACACGUCCGGUGGGACCCAUGUCGGACAAGACCCGACAGCCGAAGGGACCCACGGCUACCCGGAGAGGCUGGCAGCUGGGCCCCGCACACCAUUUGUACCCAUUAUUGUAUACAUUUGGGUGCACUAUAAAGCCCAACCCCAGUCCCCUGAGAGAGGGGGGAGCAACUAGCGAAUCCUUAGACACACACCAUCGAGGCAGCGAGAGCUUCGCCUCCCUCCUUACGAGCAGCUCAACGAGCACCACUGUAUUGUGAUCUCAUAUAGUCACACCGGCAGGACUAGGGUUUUUACCUCACUGGAGGGCUCUGAACCUAGAUAGAUAGGCGUCAUGUGUCUCGCGCCAUCACACGUUCCCAGACACCGUCAGUUUCCAUUGGCCUCAAACCACGAUCUAAGACACCCUGUGCAUCUGCCGUGAAAAUACCACGACAGUUGGCGCCCAACAUGGGGCGGGCAGCGACACCGGCCGGAUUAAUGUUCUCAGCGGGACACUUCACCCCUUCUGGCGAGCGCAUAGCACAUGGCUUGGUCGUGCGCUACGGCGCGCUCGAUUGUGUCAAUGGCAACGCCCACCGCAUCGAGGACGCAUACUUCCCCGACAACGGCCCCAUCCUCGCCUUCGUGUCCCACAGCGUCUAUGUCGCCGUCGUCUCUCACGAGUACCCCGAUGAGGUGCUUGAUACGUCUCAAACGUAUCUAUAAUUUUUGAUGGUUUCACGCUGUUAUCUUGCCUUCUUUGUAUGUUUUAUGUACCUUUUUAUAUCUUUUUUGGGACUAACUUAUUGAUUCAGUGCCAAGUGCCAGUUCCUGUUUUCUCCGAGUUUUUGACUCUUUUCAGAUCUGAUUUUGGAACGGAGUCCAAACGGAAGAAAAACCCCGAAAUGAUUUUUUCCCGAACGGAAGAAGUCCAGGGGGCUUUUGGGCCAAGCCAGGUGGGCUCCAGGGAGACCACAAGCCCCCACUCCGCCACCAGGGGGAGGCGGCAGUGGGCAGGCUUGUGGCCUCCCUGGCCGCCCCCUGACCUAGGUCUUGCGCCUAUAUAUUCCCAAAUAUUCCACAAAAAAUCAGGGGAGCCUCGAAAAUACUUUUCCGCUGCCGCAAGCUUCCGUUUCCGCGAGAUCUCAUCUGGAGACCCUUCCCGGCACCCUACCAGAGGGGACUUUGAAGGUGAAGGGCUUCUUCAUCAUCAUCAUCGCCCCUCCAAUGACUCGUGAGUAGUUCACUUCAGACCUACAGGUCCGUAGUUAGUAGCUAGAUGGCUUCUUCUCUCUCUUGGAUCUUCAAUACAAAGUUCUCCAUGAUCUUGAUGGAGAUCUAUCCGAUGUAAUCCUCUUUGGCGGUGUGUUUGUCGAGAUCCGAUGAAUUGUGGGUUUGUGAUCAGAUUAUCUAUGAUAUAUAUUUGAGUCUUUGCUGAUUUCUUAUAUGCAUGAUUUGAUAUCCUUGUAAGUCUCUCCGAGUCUUGGGUUUUGUUUGGCAAACUAGAUCUAUGAUUCUUGCAAUGGGAGAAGUGCUUGGUUUUGGGUUCUUACCGUGUGGUGACCUUUCCCAGUGACAGUAGGGGCAGCAAGGCACACAUCAAGCAGUUGCCAUCAAUGGUAAAAAGAUGGGGGUUUUAUCACUGGUUUGAGAUUAUCCCUCUACAUCAUGUCAUCUUGCUUAAGGCGUUACUCUGUUCUUAUGGACUUAAUACACUAGAUGCAUGCUGGAUAGCGGUCGACGUGUGGAGUAAUAGUAGUAGAUGCAGAAAGUAUCGGUCUACUUGUUUUGGACGUGAUGCCUAUAGAUAUAAUCAUUGCCAUAGAUGACGUCACGACUUUGCCCGGUUCUAUCAAUUGCUCGACAGUAAUUUGUUCACCCACCGUCUAUUUGCUUUCAUGAGAGAAGCCACUAGUAAACACUACGGCCCCCGGGUCUAUUAACACCUAUCGUUUCCACUUUUGCUUUUACUUUGCUUUGUUACUUUGUUGCUUUCCAUCGUUUACAUCUCCGCUUUUACUUUGCUUUGUUACUUUGUUGCUUUCAGUUCUCACUUGGCAAACAAUCUAUAAGGGAUUGACAACCCCUUCAUAGCAUUGGGUGCAAGCUUUUUGUGUUUGUGCAGGAUCUUGAGAUACUCUUCCGCCGGAUUGAUACCUUGGUUCUCAAACUAAGGGAAAUACUUACCGUCGCUGUGCUACAUCACCCUUUCAACUUCGACGGAACACCAACGCAAGUCUCCAAGGCCACGGGGGAAAUCCUUGGCAUACUUGCCUAGGAAGUCCCUUAAGGCGUACCCGCAGCUGAAGGAUUCCCGGUGCCGUCGACGCAACUAUUUCUGGCGCCGUUGCAAGGGAUACACAACAGCCAUCAGAAGUAUUUCUGGCAUCGUUGCCGGGGAGGAGAAAUCAAGAUCUAUCCAAGUAGGUCUCACAAACUCUUCUCUUGCAUUUACUUUUGUUGCCAGUUGCGUCUUGUUUUCCUCUCCCCCACUUCACAUUUGCCAUUUUCAUUCGCCUUUCUCCUUCGUCGUUUUCUCUUGCCCUUGCCGUUUUCCUUUGCCGGUUUCUUGCUUGCUUCUGUGCUUGUUUGUUUGUUGAAGAAAUCAUGUCUGAAAACACCAAACUUUGCGACUUCUCGAGCACUAAUAAUAAUGAUUUUAUUAGUACUCCGAUUGCUGCCGCCACUAGUGCGGAAUCGUAUGAAAUCAACGCAGCUUUGCUGAAUCUUGUUAUGAAAGAGCAAUUCUCUGGCCUUCCUAGUGAAGAUGCCGCAUCCCAUCUCAAUACCUUCAUUGAGCUUUGUGAUAUGCAAAAUAAAAGAGAUGUGGAUAAUGACGUGAUUAAGUUGAAACUUUUUCCUUUCUCGUUGCGAGAUCGCGCAAAAACUUGCUUUUCUUCUUUGCCUAAAAAUAGUAUCGUUUCUUGGGAUAGGUGCAAAGAUGCUUACAUAUCCAAGUAUUUUCCGCCGGCUAAGAUCAUCUCCUUACGUAACGAUAUCAUGAAUUUCAAGCAACUUGAUCAUGAACAUGUUGCACAAUCUUGGGAGAGGAUGAAGCUUAUGAUUAGAAAUUGUCCCGCUCAUGGCUUGAGUUUGUGGAUGAUUAUACAAAUCUUUUACGUUGGCUUGAAUUUCGCUUCUCGCAAUAUCUUGGACUCUUCCUCAGGUGGAACGUUCAUGGAAAUCACGUUAGGAGAUGCUACAAAACUCCUAGACAAUAUGAUGACCAACUACUCUCAGUGGCACACUGAACGUUCGCCUGCUAGCAAAAAGGUGCACGCUAUAGAAGAGAUUAACUCGCUUAGUGCUAAGAUGGACGAGUUGAUGAAUUUGGUUGCUAGUAGAAACGCUACCGUAGAUCCUAAUGACAUGCCAUUAUCUUCUUUGAUUGAGAGUAGCAACGCUAGUUUGGACGUGAAUUUUGUUGGUACGAACAAUUUUGGCAACAACAAUGCUUUUAGAGGAAACUAUGUUCCUAGGCCUUUUCCUAGUAACUCCUCUAACAAUUAUGGCAAUUCCUAUGACAACACUUAUGGAAAUCACAAAAAAUUACCCUCUGAUCUAGAGAGUAAUAUCAAGGAGUUCAUCAACUCUAAAAAGAUUUUCAAUGCGUCCAUAGAGGAAAAACUACUCAAAAUAGACGAUUUGGCUAAGAGCGUUGAUAGGAUGUCUUGUGAUAUUGACGCUUUGAAAGUUAGAUGCGCUCCUCCCAAGAUCAACUUGGAUGAAACUUUGAAAGCUAUGCGUAUCUCCAUGAAUGAGAGCAAAGAAAGAACCACCCAAAUUCGCACUAGACAUGAAUGGUUUAAAAGGGUGCGUUCUGGUGAUGCAAAUCACGAAGAUCUUAAAGUGCUUGGUGUGUCUCCUCUUGAAUCUUUGUUUUCGCGUGUGAAACCUACUUAUGGAGGGGCUGGAUAUGAAUCCACUUUGGUUGAAAAACGCCCCGAUGAUUCGGAGUCCACCUAUCUUGAUGAUAAUGGUGUGGAGAGUGGAGUAGAAGAAGUCAAUAUUUUGGGUAAUAAUGAAACUCCCACCUUGGAUUUCAAGGAAUCCAAUUAUGAUAAUUGCUCCUUGUUUGAAUGCAUUUCUUUGAUGCAAUCCAUUGCAAACUCUCCACAUGCUUAUAGCCAAAGCAAAGCCUUUACCGCGCAUAUCGUAGAUGCUAUGAUGAAAUCUCUUGAAGAGAAGCUCGAACUAGAAGUCUCGAUACCUAGAAAACUUCAUGAUGAGUGGGAACCUACUAUCAAAAUCAAGAUCAAAAACUAUGAGUGCAAUGCUUUGUGUGAUUUGGGUGCUAAUGUUUCCGCGAUUCCAAAGUCUUUAUGUGAUAUUCUUGGUUUUCAUGAGAUUGAAGAGUGUUCUCUUAAUUUGCAUCUUGCGGAUUCCACUGUCAAGAAACCCAUGGGGAGGAUCGAUGAUGUUCUUAUUGUUGCAAAUAAGAACUAUGAACCCGUGGAUUUCAUUGUACUUGACAUAGAUUACAAUCCUUCAUGUCCCAUUAUUCUUGGUAGACCUUUCCUAAGGACUAUUGGUGCUAUCAUCGAUAUGAAGGAAGGGAAUAUUAGAUUUCAAUUUCCCUUAAAGAAGGGCAUGGAGAAGUUUCCUAGAAAUAAAAUAAGAUUGCCUUAUGAAUCUGUGAUGAGGGCUACUUAUGGUUUGAGCACCAAAGAUGACUAUACGUGAUUCCAUCAUUUUCGCCUAGCUAAGGGCGUUAAACAAAAGCGCUUGUUGGGAGGCAACCCAACGAAUCUACCCUUUUUCUUUCUGUUUUGUGUUUUCCACACUUUCAUAAUUCUGUUAUGAUUGUGUUUUUUUGUGUUUCUUUUUGCUUUUGUACCAAGCAAAACCGUUAUGAUUAGUCUUGAGGAUGAUCGUUUGGUCAUGAUGGGAAAGAGAGAAACUUUCUGCUCACGAAAAUAAUUUUCAUUUUUUUUCUAUAAGAGCUUUUGAGUUGAUUAUUUUUGCUGCUGAUUGCUACGCAAAUUCUUCAGACUGUCGUAAGUUUUCAGAAUUUUUGAAGUACCAGAGGUAUACGAAACAUACAGAUUGCUACAAACUGGUCUGCUGUUAACAGAUUCUGUUUUUGUUGUGUUGGUUGCUUAAUUUGAUGAAACUAUGGAUAGUAUCGGGGGGUAUUAGCCAUGGAAGAUUGAAAGUACAGUAACCCAACAUCAGCACAAGUAGAAUUUAAGUUUGCUACAGUACCUAAGUAAGUGGUGGCUUGCUUUCUUGUACUAAUAUUAUCACGAGUUUUUGUUUAAGUUUCGUGUUGUGAAGUUUUCAAGUUUUGGGUGAAGUUCUUAUGGACAAAAAGAUAAAGAGUGGCAAGAGCUCAAGCUUUGGGAUGCCCAAGGAACCCCAAGAGAUUUAAGGAUGUCGUAAAAUCCUAAUCUUGGGGAUGCCCCGGGAAGGCAUCCCCUCUCUCGUCUUCAAUCCACCGGAACGUUACUUGGGGCUAUAUUUUUAUUCACCACAUGUUAUGUGUUUUUCUUGGAGCGUCUUGUAUCAUAGGAGUCUUUUAUUUUUUUCUGUUGUGUCACAAUCAUCCUUGCUGCACACCUAGAGAGAGAGACAUGCACACACCAUGAUUUUGUCGAGCUUCACUUAUAUCUUUUGGUAGACAAUUCAGCUCACAUGUGCUUCACUUAUAUCUUUUGAGUUAGAUACUUUUGCUCUAUGUGCUUCACUUAUAUCUAUUAGAGCGCGGCGGUGCGUGGCUUGGUAGUUGAUCUAUGCUUUGAAAGUAGUCUCAAAAGGGGUAGUUAUCCAAAGGGAUACGAAAACUUCCACCUUCAUGUGCAUUAAAUAGCUAGAGAAGUUUGAUUCAUCUCAAUUAGUUUUGAGUUGUGGUUAUGGUAAUAUUGAAGUCAUGCUAGUAAGGUGUUGUGGAUCUAGAAAUACUUGUGUUGAAGUUAGUGAUUCCCAUAGCAUGCACCUAUGGUGAACUGCUGUGUGAUGAAAUCUGAGCAUGAUUAGUCUAUUGAUUAUCAUCCUUUGUGUGGCGGUCGGGAUCGCGCGAUUGUUUAUACCUACCAACCCUUCCCCUAGGAGUAUGCGUUGAAUUCUUUGUUUCGAUUACUAAUAAAACUUUUGCAACAAGUAUAUGAGUUCUUCAUGACUAAUGUUGAGUCCAUGGUUUAGAUGCACUUUCACCUUCCACCAUCACUAUCUUCUUAGUGUCGUGCAACUUUCGCCGGUGCACAAAACCCACCAUUAGCCUUCCUCAAAACAGCCACCAUACCUACCUACUAUGGCUUUUUCAAAGUCAUUCCGAGAUAUAUUGCCAUGCAAAUACCACCAUGAUAUGUGCCACCACAUCUACAUUACCUUUGCACGAUUGUAAGAUAUCUAGCAUGAUGUUUCCAUUGAUGUUUAUGCCAUGCUAGAUCAUUGCCACACUACACUACCGAAGGUAUUCCAUAUAGAGUCAUAGUUGCUCUAAGUUUUGAGUUGAAAGUGUGAUGAUCAUCAUUAUUGGAGCAUUGUCCCAUGUGAGGAAAUAAAAGAGGCCAAAGAAGGCCAUAAAAAAGAGGCCAAAGAGCCCACCAAAAUAAAAACAAAUGAGAGAAAAUCAGAGAAGGGACAAUGCUACCACUUUUUUCACACUUGUGCAUUUUGAGCGCCAUGAUCUUCAUGAUUGAGAGUCUCUCGUUUUGUCACCACCAUAUAGCUAGUGGGAAAUUCUCAUUAUAUAACUUGGCUUGUAUAUUCCAAUGAUAGGCUUCCUCAAAAUUGCCUUAGGUCUUCGUGAGCAAGCAAGUUGGAUGCACACCCACUAGUUUUCUUUAAGAGCUUUCACAUACUUGUAGCUCUAGUGCAUCAUUUGUAUGGCAAUACCUACUCAUUCACAUUGAUAUCUAUUGAUGAGAAUCUCCACAGCACAUUGAUAUGCCUAGUUAAUGUGACGAUCUUCUCCUUUUUGUUUUUCAACCUCCACCAUAUUCCACACCAUCUAUAGUGCUAUAACCAUGGCUCACGCUCAUGUAUUGCGUGAGGGUUGAAAAUGUUUGAGAAAGUAAAGGUGUGAAACAAUUACUUGGCCAAUACCGGGGUUGUGCAUGAUUUAAAUUCGUUGUGCAAUGAUGAUAGAGCAUAGCCAGACUAUAUGCUUUUGUAGUGAUAACUUUCUUUUCGCCUUGUUAUUUGGAAAGUUCAUGAUUACUUUGCUAGUUUGCUUGAAUUAUUAUUGUAUCCACGUCAAUAGCAAACUAUUGUUUUGAAUCUAAUGGAUCUGAACAUUCACGUCACAUGUGAGGAAUUACAAAGACACCUAUGCUAGGUAGCAUGAAAGCAUCAAAAAUUCAUUCUUAUCACUUCCCUACUCGAGGACGAGCAGGAGUUAAUCUUGGGGAUGUUUGUUACGUCUCAAACGUAUCUAUAAUUUUUUAUGGUUUCACGCUGUUAUCUUGCCUUCUUUGUAUGUUUUAUGUACCUUUUUAUAUCUUUUUUGGGACUAACUUAUUGAUUCAGUGCCAAGUGUCCGUGUUUUUGUCUCUUUUCAUAUCUGAUUUUGGAACGGAGUCCAAACGGAAGAAAAACCCCGAAAUGAUUUUUUCCCGAACGGAAGAAAUCCAGGGGGCUUUUGGGCCAAGCUAGGUGGGAUCCAGGGAGCCCACAAGCCCCCACUCCGCCACCAGGGGAGGAGGCGGCGGUGGGCAGGCUUGUGGCCUCCCUGGCCGCCCCUGACCUAGGUCUUGCGCCUAUAUAUUCCCAAAUAUUCCGCAAAAAAUCAGGGGAACCUCGAAAAUACUUUUCCACCGCCGCAAGCUUCCGUUUCCGCGAGAUAUCAUCUGGAGACCCUUCCCGGCACCCUGCCGGAGGGGACUUUGGAGGUGGAGGGCUUCUUCAUCAUCAUCAUCUCCCCUCCAAUGACUCGUGAGUAGUUCACUUCAGACCUACGGGUCCGUAGUUAGUAGCUAGAUGGCUUCUUCUCUCUCUUGGAUCUUCAAUACAAAGUUCUCCAUGAUAUUCAUGGAGAUCUAUCCGAUGUAAUCUUCUUUGGCGGUGUGUUUUUCGAGAUCCGAUGAAUUGUGGACUUGUGAUCAGAUUAUCUAUGACUAGUAAAUAUGCCCGUGCAUUGCAACGGGUAGUAAAGAUUUCUUACCUGAGACGCUAUCGUACUUAUGCUUUCCCACUUUAAAAAUAUGAUGACCAGAAAAUAAAGAAUUUAUAAUGCUUCACACUCUUUUGUUGACACGUUGCCUUCAACAGUAGGAGCACACCCUCCACGCCAUCAUGACCACUACCUCGGACAUUAUCCUCGGGCCCCGAUGAGGAUCGAUUAGGGUACACAGAGCUGCAAGACAAAUAGUAGAGCGGAAGGUAGUGCUCCCCCUUCCAGAUGGCGUGCGUGGCGAAACAUGGUGCGAGUAAGAUGUACCGUUAUCGCACUCUCUCUAUUGUUCAUCCCUCACUCUCUCUUCCCUAUCUUACUGAUGACAUCCAGAGUUGAUGAAUAUCUUGAUGGUUAACAAGUAUCAGCGAGCUUCAAAUAUCUUAUCAUUAAAAAAUGUUUCUUUUCAACAUUUCACUCACUUUUAGUUAUUAUACUUCCUCAGUCUUAAAAUAAGUAUCUCAACUUUCUACUAACUAUUGUACUCCCUCAUUUUUUAAAUAUAAGUCUUUAGAUUUUAAUAUGCACUUUUGAACUACUACAAACCAAAACGAAUAAAACUGUAUUUUAAAAUAUGUCUAUAUAUAUAUCUGUAUUAAUAUUUUUAAGAAGACUUGUAUUUAGAAACAUAGUUUUAGAAAAUAAAAAAUCAGGGCUGACACACGUGCAUCGAGUAGCUUCUAGCCGGUACACGACUAAUUUCCUUUCGCUUCAUUAAAGAAAAGCACCGACCGCCCACUGCAUCCUUAUCUCAUCGCUACUCCUUUCCUUCUCUUAUACUACAGACCAUUCCUUCAUUUUUGGACUAAUCUUCUUGUCUCACAUGCCCGUAAAGCACCUUUCCUCCAAGCUCGUGGUCUCAAUCCAGCAGCAAAGUUCAGAUUUUGCUUCUAUUCGUUUGCUCUUGUGAUGAUCUCGUCCUCGCCAUGACCAAAACAUUUGGUUGGUUGAUUGAUCAGGGUGGCGUAGAGAAGGAAGGGGAAAGGGGGCACCAUCCACGACGGUGCCACCGACGUCGUAGAGCAAGAUCCUGCAGUCUUCCAGUGUGUAGAGCUUCGCCUUCAAGGAGCUCAAGACGGCCACGAGGAACUUCCGGGCGGACAGCGUGCUUGGACAGGGCGGCUUCAAUUCAGUGUUCAAGGGAUGGGUCGACGAGAUCACCUUCGCGUCAGCACGGCUUGGCACCGGCAUGGUCAUCGCCGUCAAGAAGCUCACCGGCAUGGUCAUCGCCGUCAAGAAGCUCAACCAGGAAGGCUUCUAGGGCCACCGUGAGUGGUUGUUCAGUCUUCACCCAUCUGUUCUUAAUUAUUAUUUUCUGAAUUUUUUAUUGUAUGCACAUUCAGAAUAAAUUUGUUGCUGAAAUUUCUGAAUCUUUGCUUGUAUGCACAUUCAGAAUAAAUUUGUUGUUGAAAUUUCUGAAUCUUUGCUUGUAUACACAUUGAAAACCAAUUUGUUGCUGAAACUUCUGAAUCCCCAUGUCAUCAUUGAAUAUAUGUUCUUGACUUCUGAUGUGCAGGCUGAAUGAACUACCUCAGGCAGUUUUCGCACCACAGUCUGGUGAGGCUCGUUGGAUAUUACCUCGAGGACGAGCAGCACCUCCUCGUGUACGAGUUCAUGCCGAGAGGGAACCUCGAGAACCAUCUUUUGAGAAGUACUAAUUAGCAGCCAACCUUCCUCUCUUCUUCCUCACUCCUUCCUCUCUUCCCUAAUCGGCGGUCAGUCCUUCCCUUCUUCCUCCAUCUCUUUUUUCUCUCCCGUGCUUCUUUUCUCUAUACGAGCCUCUCCACAAGCUUCUAUUUCUCUGCAGAAAAACGACCAUGGUCGCCCGAUGCCCGAGCGCCGACAGUCAAAGACCCGUCGACGUCGGGACCCCCUCCACGCCAUCCCCAUCUCGCGAGAGACCUGCACCAAGUCCCAUCCAGUGCCUGCGCCACCCUUUGGCUCCGCCCCGCAGCUCUGCAGCCCGAGCGCUUCAUUUGCCUCGCGCUCGAAGCAGAGCAGAGGAGGCCCUCCCACGAGCCUCUCCAACACCGGCAAACCAGUCGGCCGACGCGGCCUUCUACUCGCUUCACCAUGAACGCACGCCUACCGCGACAGCUCGCCCCAUUCCUGGGCUGGGGCAACGCGGAUGGCCGCUCCAACGCAUCACCCCUCCCUUGGCUCCCGACCUGACCCAGCUCGCUCGCACCGAUGUCCAUCGCUUCCCCUCCAUUCCCCGCCUCGCGGAGCCCCACCGCCGUCGUCCUGAGUCAUCUCUCGAUCGGAUCGGAAGGGACACCGCUGGAUCUGCAGCCAAACGUGCACACAGGGAUGACAAAAGAAUAAAUCGAAUCGUUUUUCUCCCCUCACCAUGGACUGCGGGUUGAACGCCAUAAAACAGGAGGGCUUUUUUUUUAAAUCACUACGGCGGGUUUUCCGACAGAAGCAAUAGCCUCUUUAUUAUUAGGUAAAGAUAUAUACUUGAGUCUUUGCUGAUUUCUUAUAUACAUGAUUUGAUAUCCUUGUAAGUCUCUCCGAGUCUUGGGUUUUGUUUGGCCAACUAGAUCUAUGAUUCUUGCAAUGGGAGAAGUGCUUGGUUUUGGGUUCUGCCAUGUGGUGACCUUUCCCGGUGACAGUAGGGGUAGCAAGGCACACAUCAAGCAGUUGCCAGGUGACAGUAGGGGUAGCAAGGCACACAUCAAGCAGUUGCCAUCAAGGGUAAAAAGAUGGGGUUUUUAUCAUUGGUUGGAGAUUAUCCCUCUACAUCAUGUCAUCUUGCUUAAGGCGUUACUCUAUUCUUAUGGACUUAAUACACUAGAUGCAUGCUAGAUAGCGGUCGACGUGUCGAGUAAUAGUAGUAGAUGCAGAAAGUAUCGGUCUACUUGUUUCGGACGUGAUGCCUAUAGAAAUAAUCAUUGCAUAGAUAUCGUCACGACUCUGCACAGUUCUAUCAAUUGCUCGACAGUAAUUUGUCCACCCACCGUCUACUUGCUUUCAUGAGAGAAGCCACUAGUAAACACUACGGCCCCCGGGUCUAUUCACAUCCAUCGUUUACAUCUCCGCUUUUAGUUUGCUUUGUUACUUUGUUGCUUUCAGUUCUCACUUGGCAAACAAUCUAUAAGGGAUUGACAACCCCUUCAUAGCGUUGGCUGCAAGCUUUUUGUGUUUGUGCAGGAUCUUAAGAUACUCUUCUGCCGGAUUGAUACCUCGGUUCUCAAACUGAGGGAAAUACUUACCGUCGCUGUGCUACAUCACCCUUUCCACUUCGAGGGAACACCAACGCAAGGCUCCAAGGCCACGGGGGAAAUCCUUUGCAUACUUGCCUAGGAAGUCCCUUAAGGCGUAGCCGCAGCUGAAGGAUUCCUGGUGCCGUCGACACAACUAUUUCUCGCGCCGUUGCAAGGGAUACACAACAGCCAUCAGUGCUCAGCAGCGACGACCUGCCGUCUUCCGGUGAUAACCUAUUGUCGUCCGACGAUGACCUCUCCAGCGACAUCGGCAACAUCUGCACCCGUGUGGAGGUAAUGGCUGCCAUCUCGCUGGGGGGUACGUUCGCGUACCACACCCCUCUUCGCGCUGGAAUACACACAUUGCUUGCGCCCAUCCCGGCUGUGGCCGACCCCGCGGCCGCAACCGCGGAACUGGAUAGCCACCGCCAGCCCUGCUCUCGGAGCCGGAAUCGAUGGACGCGACCAAACGCAAGUACGAGGCCGCCUAUUGCGAGUACAAUGCGGCCCAUGGUCUCACGCCGGCUGGCAUCGCACCUAGUCAGCUGGUGGAAAUACGACGUUGCGGCGGCGUCGUCGGCCAGGGGAUGGCAUGCGGCCGCCCCAUCUACGACAGCCCCAUCAAUAACAUGAGGGUUGUGUAGGCCGCCCUCGGCGAGCUAGGGGGGUCGAGGGCCCGGCCCUUGAGGCCCAGCACGAGCGGAUCCGUGCUCUCGUGGAGGUUGCCAACGCGCAGCAGGAGCAACCGAGCUACUCGCUCUAUGAAGCGGCUGGCUCCCGCUCGAGGACCAACAAUGACCUGGUGGGCCACCGCCAUCCUUUGGCCAACCUGCGGGACCAGAAUCAGGCAUCCUCGCCUACCAACACCGACCAGGACCGGGAUGGUUGGCGCGGGAAGCCACGGUCGACGAGACCGCAGCCCAUCAACAGUUGCGUAAGGGAGCCGGCUGGCCAGGGCGACCGCCAACCGGUACCGAGCAACCGGUGCGAGGACCGUGACCGGGAGGCCGAGCGGCCGCCUUCCCGUCGCCCUAUAUAUGAGUGUGUGGUCGUGCGUCAACUGGACAACCAGGAUGCAUGCUUCCAUCUGGAGCACAUCGCUGAGUCCCAAGCCAUCGAGGAGGAAGGCAAAGCCUUCCCGUCCUGCUUCAGGCCAUGCAUCCUGAAGGAGUCGUUUCCUAAGGGCUUCACCUUGGCGCUCGACACCGCCAAGUACAACGGUUCGACCAAGCUAAAAGGCUGGAUGACCGACUACACCACCGCCGUCGGCAACAAGCGUGUGGCGGUGCGCUACGUGUCCCUCAUGCUCCUCGGCUCGACCCAGACCUAGCUUAACAGCCUCCCAGACGGCAGCGUCAACGACUAGCUGGAUUUCGAGGAUGCGUUCGUCCGCAACUCCACCGGAACCUACAAGCAUACGGGCCGAUCUUGCCAGCUUGCUCUAUGCGUGCAAGGGCCAAACGAGCUCCUUCACGACUACCUCAUGCGGUGGACUGAACUCCAUGAAGUAAAGGCCAUACAGUACUUCGUCGACGGGUGUCGGGACGGCACCCUCCUCAAGCACAAACUCAUACGUCGGGAGCCGACAACCUUGGCGCAACUCAUGUCCGUUGUAGACCAAUACGCCAUGGCCAAUUCAUCCAUGAAGCUCUUGGUGUAUGUCGACACGGCCGACAAGUCGACUGUGGCCAAGCCGGUUGCCAGCCCAGUAGCCGGCCGAUCCCAGCCGACCAAGGAAAUCGCAAGGCGGACCAGCCGGACACCCACCAAGGCACCAGUCGGCAGGUCACCACCGUCGAGGUAGGGUUGGGCGUUUGGUUUAUAUGGUUAAUACGAUUCGGUUUAUUCGGUUUUAUAUAAUUUCGGUUUUGGAGGAAUAGAAACCGAAAUAUUCAUUCAAAAUUUAGAAACCAAACCAUAUUAACCAUAAUAUAUCGGUUCGGUUUGUUCGGUGGACCGAAUAACCAAAAUUCAUGCAUUUGUCAGUAUAAGUGGAUUGACUCGAGAGAAAUGAUUUGCAUUGUAUAAUAUGCAAAAAGAUAAUCACAAGUUCUAGCAACCUUAAUAUCAUUCUAUGGUUUAUUCGGUCAAGCAAACUAGUAACCAUAAUUAAGUAGAAAAAUCACAUGGAACGUGAAAUGUGUUUUGUGCGGAGAAAUGUGCGAUGCCUUCAUACUGUUGCACUUUCGGAAACAAGGUAUUACGAGGUAUUCCACAUAUCGGUUUGUUUGGUCUAUUCGGUUUCUGGGCACCAAAAACCGAACAAAAACAAAACACCGAACAACCUUAAAAUUUUCCACCGAACCAAAAAUCAAACCACCAAAUAAACCGACAAAUCGGUUAAUAUGGUUUGGUUCGGUUUGGUUUUUAGGUUUUUGGUUUUAUAGUGCCCACCCCUACGUCGAGGAAGGCCUGAUGGCUGAUGGCCAAGGCACCAUUCGGCGCCAAAGCACCAACGAGGGCAAGCAGCCCUAGUAGACCAAGUACACCUUCGAGUCCAUGCUCGACGGCCCCUGCAAGUUCCACAGCGAGGCCUAGCCUACAACACACAUGGGACGCCAGUGCAGCUAGUUCACCAAGAUCACGAGGGGCGAGGCUUGACCUAUCGCGCCACAUCUGCCACCACCAUCGCCCGCUCCGGGAGCCGGCGAUGCUCGGGAGGACUACCCCCACGAAGACACGACAUACAUCAUCUUCACCACUGAAGACGAUGACAAGCACAACCGGUGCCGGCGCGCGCUGGACGUCAACGUCGUUGUUCCUUCGGUCCCCCAAUACAUGUACUCGUCAGACAAGCCCGUCACCUAGGGGCGCCAAGACCAUCCGGCUCUGAUGCCCACGCCAGGCAGAAACGUGUUGGUUCUCGACCCCACCUUCGUCUCUAGGCGGAAUACUUGCCGGUUCACACGAGUGCUCAUCGGUGGCAGUAGCAGCAUCAACAUCCUCUACCGCGACACCAUGGACAAGCUUGGCAUCCUAGAGUGCCAGCUCCAGCCGACCCGGACGGUUUUCCACGACAUCAUCCCCGGCCACUCUUGCCGCCCGAUCGGCAAGGUUCGGAAGGACGUGUUGUUCGGAUCACCGAAGAACUUCCGCCACGAGCCCAUCUGGGUUGAGGUGGUUGGCCUCACCAGCCCCUACCGGGCACUCUUGGGCCAGCCGCCAUGGCCAAGUUCAUGGCGGUCCCCCACUAUGCUUAUUUGAAGAUGAAGUUGUCGGGUCCACACGGUAUCAUCACCAUCUCCGGCGACUACAAGAAGUCGACGGAGUGCUCCCUGGUCGGCUCCAAGCUAGCCGAAUCCCUCGUCAUUACCGAGGAAUGGCGACAGAUCGAUCGCUUCGUGGCACUAGCCCGCGAGACGGAUCACCUCUAGGAGCCGAAGCUGAAGCAGCUAGCCACAAAGGCCCAGUUCCAGCAGGCCUCCAAUAAAGACACCACGAGGGCCCCCGUAGACCUUACCAACCCCACCGGCAAGUAUGUCGUGGUGGGGGCCGGCCUCAGCAGCAAAUAGGAAAGUGAGCUCAUCGACUUCCUUUGUGAGAAUCGGGAUAUCUUUGCAUGGACCCUAAAGGACAUGCCGGAAGUCUCGAGGAAGUACACCGAGCACUUCUUGCACGUCCGGCCAGUCGCAAAACCGGCUAAGCAACCGUUGCGCCGCUUCUCGGAGGAGAAGCAAAAAACCAUCGGUGAAGACAUCGCCCGGCUGCUUGUAGCCGGCUUCAUCAUGGAAGUCUUCCAGCCGGAUUGGCUGGCGAACCCAGACCUAGUGGUGAAGAAGAACAAGACUUGGUGCAUGUGUAUCAACUACACAAGCCUAAACAAGGCAUGGCCCAAGGAUCCUUUCGCUUUGCCUCGUACCAAUCAAGUGAUCGACUCCACAGCCGGGUGCAAGCUACUGUCCUUCUUGGACGUCUAUUCAGGCUAUCACCAGAUCAAGCUCAAUCCGGUCGACCAAAUCAAGACAACUUUCAUAACCCCCUUCGGGGCAUUCUGUUAUAUUAUGAUGGCGUUCGGGCUGAAAAAUGUCGGCGCUACGUUUCAGCGCUGCAUGCAACGAUGCUUCUAUACGCAGCUCGGCCGCAACGUGCACAUCUAUGUGGACGACGUUCUGGUCAAAACCAAGGAAAAUUGCACCCACCUAGACGAUCUCUAGGAGACAUUCGUGAAUCUAUGCGAAUUCAAAAUUUGGCUAAACCCAGAAAAGUGCGUGUUCGGCAUGCCAGCUGGCCAGCUCCUCGGUUUCCUUGUUUUGGAACGUGGGAUCGAGGCCAACCCCGAGAAGAUAUAGGCCAUCGAGCGGAUGGCCUGGCCAGCUAACUUGGCAGACGUCCAAAAGAUCAUCGGCUGCCUCGCCUCGCUCAGCCGCUUCAUUAGUCGACAGGGCGAGAAGGCUCUCCCUCUCUACCGCCUGGUCAAGAAGGCUGACUAGUUCGUUUGGAGCGACCAGGUGAACGAGGCCCUGUGCGACCUCAAGGGCGCACUGACCACCACAUCCGUCCUGGACGCGCCGGCAGAUAAGGUGACGAUAUUGCUCCACAUCGUCGCGACUAGCCGCGUGGUCAGCAUAGUCAUGCCCGUCGAGCGCUCAAAGCCGGGCCGGUGCAGCCGGUCCAACGGUCGGUCUACUACCUGAGCGAGGUGCUCUCCGCCUCCAAGCAAAACUACCCGCACUAUCAGAAGAUAUGCUAUAGCGUGUUUCUGGCUGCCAAGAAGCUCAAGCCUUACUUCGAGGAGCACCCGAUCACGAUGGUAAGCACCGCUCCCCUCGGGGAGAUCAUGGGAAACAGGGACGUGGCCGUCCAAAUUGCCAAGUGGGCUCUCUAGUUGGUCCACAUCACCUACGAGUCCCUCACAGCCGUCAAGUCCUAGGAUUUCGCGGAUUUCCUUGUCAACUCGGUCGAGACGAAGUACCUGACAGCGUCCCCCGACUCCAACCAUUGCCACAUGCACUUUGACGGCUCGAAGAUGCGCACCGGCCUUAGGACCGGCAUUGUCCUCUCAUCCCCCAAGGGGGACCGGUUGCAGUACGUCCAGUAGAUCCAUUUCGCCACGUCCUACAACGUGGCGGAGUACGAAGCGCUCACCCACGGCCUCCAGUUGGCCAGGGAAAUCAGUGUCCGAUGCAUCCUUUGCUUCGGCGACUCCGGCCUGGUGGUGCAGCAAGUCAUUGGCGAGUGGGAUGCCACAAACGCAAACAUGGCCAGCUACAAUCUCUGGUACAAUAGCUGACCGGCGGUUUCGAAGAUUGCGAGUUCCACCACAUCAUAUGGGCCGGCAACGAGGCCGUCAACACCCUCGCGAAGAUCGGCUCCACCCGGCAACCAAUCCCAGCUCGCGUAUCUCUGGAGCACCUACACAAGCCCUCCAUCAUGCCGUCUCCGCAACCCGAGUCCAUCUUCAUCCUGAAAAACAUGAGGGCUGCUCCGCCGGCCCUGGGGGCUUCCGGCGUCGACUCGGGGACUACCCCGUCCGACUCGGGGACUACGGCUACCAGCCAGACGCCUGCCGCCACCCCGCCGACUCCUUCAGUCGGCCCUCCCUUGGGAUGCCUCCCGCCCGACUCGGGGACUACGGCAGCUGACCAGCCGCCACCCCGCCGACUGCUCCAGCCGGGCUGCCGGCCCUCCCUUGGGACCCCUCCCGCCUAACUCGAGGACUACGACAGUGAACCAGCUGCAUGCCGCCCCGGGCUCAGCAAACCGAGUCACGGCGGCCGUUCUAACGGUGGUCAUGGCCCCAUCCUGGGCCCAACCCUUACUCAACUACAUCGAGGACGGCACCCUGCAUGCCGAUGAAGUCGAGGCCCGGCAAAUCCGAAGACGCUCCUCCGCCUGCACCAUCAUCAACAACGAGCUCGUCAAGCGCAGCGUGACUGGUGUGUUCCAGCGCUGCGUGCAGGCAGAAAAAGGUUGGGAGAUCCUCCUCGACAUCAACCAGGGCGAGUGUAGCCACCAUGCCACCUCACGCUCCCUGGUGGACAAGGUGUUCCGCCACGGUUUCUACUGGUCGUCUGCCCUGAAGGACGCCAAGGCACUAGUCGACAAGUGCACUGGCUGCCAGCGUUUCAAAGCGCGCAGACACCAGCCAGCUGCGGCCUUGCAAACCAUCCCCCUCACAUGGCCUUUUUUCGUCUCGGGUUUCGACAUGGUGGGCCUGUUCAAAAUCGCCCGAGGCAGCGUGACACAUCUCCUGGUGGCAGUCGACAAGUUCACAAAGUGGAUCGAGGCCAACCCAAUCAAGAAGCUUGACGGCCCGACGGCCGUCAUGUUCAUCAAGUACAUAGCCGUCUGAUGCGGCCUCCCCAAGAGCAUCAUCACCGACAACGGCACUAACUUCGACAAGGGCGCACUCGCCCGAUACUACAGCGAGCAGGGAAUCCGACUAGACAUCGCGUCCCUGGCCCACCCGCAGUCAAACGGCCAGACGGAGCAGGCAAACAGCCUCAUCAUGGCCGGCUUCAAACCCAGGAUAGUCGAGCCACUCGAGCGCUCGGCCAGUGCCUGGGUCGAGGAACUAUCGGUGGUGUUGUGGAGCCUGCAAACCACGCCCAACCGGUCGACCUGUUUCACCCCAUUCUUCUUGGUGUACGGGGCUGAGGCAAUCAUCCCCACCGACAUCGAGUUCGAUUCACCUCGGGUCACGCUAUACACCGUGGCUGACGCCAAAGAGUCUAGAGAAGACGGUCUUGACCUCCUCGAAGAGGCACGUGAGCUGGCGUUGUCCAGAACAUCCAUCUAUGAGUAGGGCCUGCACCGCUACCAGAGCUGGCGGGUCAAGCCUCUCUCAUUUUGAGAGGGUGACCUAGUGCUCCAGCUGAUCCAACGGACAGCUGUCCAGCACAAGUUGUCCGCCCCAUGGGAGGGCCCGUUCAUCAUCAGCAAAGCUUUGAGCAACAACACCUAUUAAUAGAUCGAUGCUCAGAAGGCAAGAAAGAACAAGAAGGACGCCUCCGGCUCCGAGAUGGAGCGACCGUGGAAUGCGGAACUCCUCCGCCCAUUUUACAUUUAGGCAAGUGAAAACAUGUCUCAUCCCUUUUCAAGAAAAUCAAUGAACAUCCGGCACCCCACAGCAGGACUCGGGGACUUCCUUUUCCAUCCUACCUAUGUUUCAACAGUUUUUACCUUUUCGGUCAUCCGUGGAUCGGCCUAGCUAGCUCGGGAACUGCCAGACACCUAACUCCCACCCCGCCUCGGCAAAGUAAUAUACCUUCGCCCCGGCGGCCCAACCCUCGCCGGCUACCGACCACAACCUGGCUGUCCAGCCGGCACGUGCACAAGCAAAGGGUUGGAGCGAAUAGGAAAUAUCGACAAGAGGCAGGCCGGGUCCAUCUAUGCUACUCAGUUUGUUCAAAACUCAGCUUGCAAAAGCCAAAAGUACCAGACACUUCGACUCUGCCAACCCACUCCUCGCCUGGUCACAGUCCGCAAGCCGACCAUCCGACAAGAGAAAAGGCAAAGGAGCGGGGUGCCUAGAAAAAACGACUAAGGCAAGCAAAAGUACCGAACAAACCGGCACGCAGCAUUCAAGUUCAGAUAAACUGCAGCGCAUAAUUAACAGAUAGCAGCUUAAGGCCGAUAUUGCAUUACAAUAACUUCCACAUCGAGUGGGUGGACUUGUCCAUAACAAAAGUGCAAGUAAGAAAAGCAGGCAAAUAAAAGUAACACGCGGCCGGCAGCGGGGUUCUUGGGCUUGUCUAAGCGUCGAGGGUCGGCGGCGCCUCCUGGCUAGCCUCCAUGUCGCCAGUCGGCGGCAUCUCGACAUCUCCAGUCGGCGACGUCGUCUGGGCCACCUCGGCGCCACCAGCAGGCGGCUCCGUCCCUUCCACAAAGGAUGCGGCCGCGUCUCCGGUCGCCGCCUCGCCUGUCCCGCCGUCACCUUCGGGCUCCUCCCAGCUGGACCCUACUCCCUCCUCGUUGGGGAUGAUGGGGACGCCGUAAUCAUUCUCCGGGAGGGGCACACCGUCCUCACCAAGCUCGGGGUAUGAUACAUCUCAAACGUAUCUAUAAUUUUUGAUGGUUUCAUGUUGUUAUCUUGUCAACUUUGGAUGUUUUAUAUACCUUUUAUACCUUUUUUGGGACUAACUUAUUAAUUCAGUGCCAAGUGUCAGUUCCUGUUUUUUCUGUGUUUUUGACUCUUUUCAGAUCUGAUUUUGGAACGGAGUCCAAACGGAAUAAAAUCCCUGAAAUGAAUUUUUCCAGAACAGAAGAAGAUCGGGGGACUUGAGGGCCAAGGCAGGAGGCCCACAGGUGGCCCACAAGCCGUGUAGCUGCGGCCAGGGGGCCCGCGGCUACCAAGCUUGUGGCCCCCCUGGAGCUCCCCUGCCCUAGCUCUUUCUCCUAUAUAUUCCCUAAAAUCCUAGAAAAAAUAAGGGCGUCCACGAAACCACUUUUCCGCCGCCGCAGGCUUCCGUUUCCGCGAGAUCUCAUCUGGAGACCCUUCCCGGUGCCCUGUCGGAGGGGACUUUGGAGCUGGAGGGCUUCUACAUCAACAUCAUUGCCUCUCCAAUGACUCGUGAGUAGUUUACUUCAUACCUACGGGUUCGUACUUAGUAUCUAGAUGGCUUCUUCUCUCUCUUGGAUCUUCAAUACAAAGUUCUCCAUGAUCUUCAUGGAGAUCUAUCCGAUGUAAUCCUCUUUGGCGGUGUGUUUGUCGAGAUCCGAUGAAUUGUGGAUUUGUGAUUAGAUUAUCUAUGAAUUAUAUUUGAGUCUUUGCUGAUUUCUUAUAUGCAUGAUUUGAUAUCCUUGUAAGUCUCUCCGAGUCUUGGGUUUUGUUUGGCCAACUAGAUCUAUGAUUCUUGCAAUGGGAGAAGUGCUUGGUUUUGGGUUCUUACCGUGUGGUGACCUUUCCCAGUGACAGAAGGGGCAGCAAGGCAUACCGUGCGGUGACCUUUCCCAGUGACAGAAGGGGCAGCAAGGCACGCAUCGUGUUGUUUCCAUCAAGGGUAACAAGAUGGGCUUUCAUCAUAGAUUUGAGAUUUUCCAUCUACAUCAUGUCAUCUUGCUUAAGGCGUUACUCUGUUCUUAUGAACUCAAUACACUAGAUGCAUGCUGGAUAGCGGUCGACGUGUGGAGUAAUAGUAGUAGAUGCAGAAAGUAUCGGUCUACUUGUUUUGGACGUGAUGCCUAUACGUAUGAUCAUUGCCAUAGAUAACGUCAUGACUUUGCGCGGUUCUAUCAAUUGCUCGACUGUAAUUCGUUCACCCACCGUCUACUUUCUUUCAUGAGAGAAGCCCCUAGUGAACACUACAGCCCCCAGGUCUAUUCACAACUAUCAUCUCCGCUUUUACUUUUACUUUGCUUUGUUUACUUUUUGCUUUCAGUUCUCACUUUGCAAACAAUCUAUAAGGUAUUGACAACCCCUUCGUAGCGUUGGUUGCAAGCUCUUUGUGUUUGUGAAGGUACUUGUGACUUGACGCGAUCCUCCUACUGGAUUGAUACCUUGGUUCUCAAACUGAGGGAAAUACUUAGCGCCGCUGUGCUGCAUCACCCCUUCCUCUUCAAGGGAACACCAACGCAAGGCUCCAAGGCCGCGGGGGAAUCCUUUGCAUAUUUUCCAAGGAAAUCCCUAUAGGCGUAGCCAGCAGGAGGGUACUAGGUGUCCAUUGUUGACGUGCAACUAUUCCUGACUUGAUGCCUUCACAGCAACGGAGCCAUAAAAGAGGUGCUUCCAGUUUCUCAACAAUUAGAAAUUGUCUUGCAAUAGCCCACGAGUGCGUGGGAUCGCGGCAGUUUUCGAGGGUAGAGUAUUCAACCCAAAUUUGUUGGUUCGCACAACGGGAAAUGAAAGAAUAUUCUCAAGUAUUAGCAGCUGAAUGCGUCAGAUUCAACCACACCUGAAAGAUUAGUGUCUGCGAGCAAGGUAUAAGGAGCAAAGUAGUAUGGUAGCAACGGUGCUAGAAAUGAUCUGUUGACAAGGCAGACUAUUCCUAACAGUUGUAUCAAUGGCGCCAAUAAUUUGCCCGUGGAUGGGAAAUAUUUUUUCCCGGCAACGGUGCCAACAAAUAUAUUGUAGCAGGUAGCAGCAGUGUAACGAGUAACAGCAGUGGCGAGGAAUAGGAGUAGUGACAGCAGUAGCAAGUAGCAGGCGUAGCGAGUAACAGCAGUAGCAAGUAGCAGUAGUAGCGAGUAACAGCAGUAGCAAGUAACAGUAGUAGCAACAGCAGUGGGAGCAGCAGCAGGACAAAGCAAGUAACAACAGCACAGCAAAACAAGUAACAGUGGCAGCAAGUAACAGUAGCAGCAACAGUAGUAACAGCAGCAGAGCAAAACAAGUAACAGUAGCAGUGGGACAAACUCAUAGGCAAUGGAUCAGUGAUUUGUCGGAUGACAUUCAUCAUGCAACAGUUAUAACACGAAGAGAUAUGUGACUAGCUCUCGUUCGUCAAUGUGAUGUAGGCAUGCAUUCCGUGUGUAAUCAUACGUGCUUAGGGAAAAGAACUUGCAUGACAUGUAUUGUCCAUCCCUCCCGUGGCAGCGGGGUCCAAAUGGAUACUACGGGAUAUUAAGGUUCUCCUUUUAAUAAAGAACCGGACCAACGCAUUAGCACUUGGUGAACACAUGAACUCCUCAAACUAUGGUCAUCACCGGGAAUGGUUCCGGUUAUUGUCACUUCGGGGUUGCCGGAUCAUAACACAUAGUAGGUAACUACAACUUGCAAGAUCGGAUCUAAAACACACCUAUAUUGGUGACAACAUAAUAGUUUCAGAUCUGAAAUCAUGGCACUCAGGCCCUAGUGACAAGCAUUAAGCAUGGCGAAGUAGUAGCAACAUCAAUCUCAGAACAUAGUGGAUACUAGGGAUCAAUCCCCGUCAAAACUAAGUCGAUUACAUGAUAGAUCUCAUCCUACUCAUCACCGCCCAGCGAGCCUAUGAAUAGAUUACUCACGAAUGAUGAAGAGCUUCAUGGAAUUGGAGAGGGAAGAAGGUUGAUGAUGACGAUGGCGACGAUCUCCUAAAUCUGGAGCCAAGAACGGACUCCGGAUCUACCCUCCAGAUGAAGAACAAGAUGUGGCGGCGCCUCUGGAUCGAAAACGCGAUGAAAUCUUUUCUCUUGAUUUUUUUGGGACAAAAGGGAAUAAAUAGAGCUGAGUUUGGGGGCGGCAGAGCCAAGUGGGCCCCAUAAGCCCUAACACCGCGGCCUGGCGGGGUGGCCGCGGCCACAGGGCUUGUGGCCCACUGGCUCACCCCCUCCGAUGGAUCUUUGCGCAGGUAUUUUUCAUAUUUUCCAGAAAUAUUCUCCGUAAAUUUUCAGGAUGUUCCGAGAACUUACAUUUUUGCACAAAAACAACACCAUGGCAAUUCUGCUGAAAACAGCGUGAGUUCGGGUUAGUUCCAUUCAAAUCAUGCAAAUUAGAGUCCAAAACAAGGGCAAAAGAGUUUGGAAAAGUAGAUACGAUGGAGACGUAUCAAACUCCCCCAAGCUUAAAACAUUUCUUGUCCUCAAGCAACCCAGUUGACAAACUGAAAGAGAAAGAAAAACUUUGACAAACUCUGUUUGAUCUUGUUGUUGCAACUAUGUCUAACUCAUAACGAGAAUUUCAGCAAGAUCACAAGUUAACCACAUAAGCAAGUGACACAAAGGUCUCCCGGUAAACUAAUAUCAAUGGCAUAAUCAGCUAGCGAGCAAAUAAUAAUGAGUUUCAGAUGCCAACAAUUCAAUCAAAACAAGCAUGAUGGGUGGUAUCUCGCUAUCUCUUUCUGAGACCGCAAAACAUAAAUGCAGAGCACUUUCAAAGAUCAAGGGUUGACUAAACAUUGUAAUUCAUAGCAACGAAGAUCCAGUCAUAGUCAUACUCAAUAUCAAUCAAAAGCAAAGCAUAAAAAUGAGAGAGGUGCUCUCUAAUUGGUGCUUAUAUAAGAAGAGGAUGACUCAACAGGAAAAUAAAUAGACAGGCCCUUCGCAGAGGAAAGCAUUGAUUUGCAGAGGUGCCACAUCUCAAUCUUUGAAAACAUAGAUAAUAAUUUUGGGUGGCAUGCUUUCAUUGUCAACGCAAUGACCAAGAGUUCUCAAUAUAUUCCAUGCUACUCAUUAGCAAUAUGAAUAGGUGGUAUCUCGCUAGCUCUUUCUGAGACUGCAAAACAUAAAUGCAGAGCACUUUCAAAGAUCAAGGGUUGACUAAACAUUGUAAUUCAUAGCAACGAAGAUCCAGUCAUAGUCAUACUCAAUAUCAAUCAAAAGCAAAGCAUAAAAAUGACAGAGGUGCUCUCUAAUUGGUGCUUAUAUAAGAGGAGGAUGACUCGACAGGAAAAUAAAUAGACAGGCCCUUCGCAGAGGGAAGCAUUGAUUUGCAGAGGGUAACACGCCUAACAUGGAAGAUACCAAUAGCCCCCUGUCACCACAUGAGCGGUUCGGGCAUGCAAAACAAAAUAUUUCUUGAAGAAUUAGAGAAUGGCACAUGCAAAUUUACUUGGAACGGUAGGUAGAUACCGCAAAUAGGUAGGUAUGGUGGACUUCAUGGAAAAACUUUUGGGUUUAUGGAAGUGGAUGCACAAGCAGUAUUCCGCUUAGUACAAGUGAAGGCUAGCAAAAGACUGGGAAGCGACCAACUAGAGAGCGACAAAGCUAGCAAAAUACUGGGAAUCGACCAACUAGAGAGCGACAACAGUCAUCAAGAUGCAAUGAGUUUGACUAACAUUGAGUGCAAGCAUGAGCAGGAUAUAAAUCACCAUGAACACGAACAUCAUAGAGGCUAUGUUGAUUUUGGUUCAACUACAAGCAUGAACAUGCGCCAAGUCAAGCCACUUGAAUCAUUCAAAGGAGAAUACCAUCCUAUCAUACUACAUCAUAGUCAUCUCAAAAUCUAUGUUGGCAAUCAAGACAAACUAUUAUAAGCUCUUAGCUAAAUAAGCAUGGCAUCAGAAACUAUGAUCUCUAAGUUGUCAUUGCAAACAUGGUUCUCUCUCAACAUAGCUGAAUCUGGGACAACAAACUAGUCAUAUUUACAAAAACAAAAUAAAUAGAGUUCAUACCCGCUUUUCCAGUCUCAGUCACUUCAUCAUAUAUCAUCAUUAUUGCCUUUCACUUCCACGAUCGAACAAUGUGAAAAAUAAUAAGAGUGCUCGUGCAUUGGACUAAGCUGAAUAUGUAGGCAAACACAAAGGAGAAGACAAAGUAAUAUGGCUCUUUGAAAGCUAAACAGGUUUGCAUGCAAGAGCCACUAAACAUUCUAACCAAUAUCUUCUACCUUGACCCAAAGAAAAAGAAAACUAUUUACACGGGAAAGCUCCCAACAAGCAAAAGAAGAAAGUAAAAUCUUUUUGGGUUUUCUCAAAAGGACACAAAACAAGAAAACAAGAAAACGAAAAUAAACUAGCAUGGAUAGUACAAUGGCAAGGUGUAAACACCGGCUAACAAAGUGAAAGCAUAAGCAUGAAUGUGAAGUCGGUGAGAACACGUACUACCCCAAGCUUAGGCUUUUGGACUAUCUUGUUCUACUCCCAAGGAGGGAAAUAACCAGCUCUGGGAUACUCCGGAGCGGACUGUGGAUGCCACUGGUGUGCUAGCUCCUUUGGCUCCCACUGAUAAACUGGCAUCUGGUACUCGACUGGCGGCUCGGGCACGGGCACCUGUGGUUGGGCCAAGCCCCAAUACGCAUAGAUGUCCGAGGGCAUAAUAAUGUACCUACCUUCAUAAAGGUUGAACAAAGAAGGAGCAGGCAAAGUAAUAGUCUCUCGAGUACCCUGACUAAAUACCAGGUUAUAAAUCAUCCGUCUACUAGCAUCUCUAUCCAGAAAAUCAUGGCGAACCAUGUUGUCAUAAUCCAGAUCUUUUUCAGGAAGAAGCAUUUCUUCUUCUUCGCGAAGUCUAAUAGGUAUCUCAAAGUGUCUAGAAAGCGAGUAGCAUAGAUACCUCCAUAGACGACACCUUUUGAACGGUUGGUGUUCAACCGCUGAGCUACUAUAGCACCUAGGCUAUAAGUCUUAUUGUUAUAAAGGCCUUCGCGCAAAACCGCAAGGUUUGGAGAGCUAACUGAUCCAGCCUCCCCAUGGCCAAUCAAACAUUUUCCCACAAAUAAUGAGAAGUACCGAAGCACAGGAAAAUGUAUGCUAGCAAUUCUAGCGCGAGACACUCCUCUCUCCUCUCCAACACCAAUAGUACCUAUGAAAUCCUCCAAGUCCCGUGGACGAGGAUCAUGAAUAUCCCCAACAUAAGGUAAUUUGCGUACAUUACAAAAAUCAUGUAGUGUCAUGCACUGGGGGAUAUCGUAUAACAUGAACUCAACCAUAGGAGGAUUCUUCCUCGGAUAAAAGUUGAAGCUUUGAACGAAAAUAUUGGUGAGGAGGAGGUAUUGUGGGCACUUAUCUUCAACGAAUGUGGUAAGACCUGCGUUCUCCACCAAGUAAUAAAAGUCUUCAUAAAGCCCAGUGGCGCGCAAAAAAGCAUCACUUGGCCACUCGCACGCUCGAACUUUUGUGACUCGAGGAACCACGUACUUGGGGUGGUUCUUCUCAUCCUCCUUGGGGUUACGGCUUGAAGAUCCUCUCAAGAACCUCCUCAUCUUUUCCCUUUUCUAACUCUGAAAAGUUCUGAAAUUUUUAGAGACUUCGAAAGAAAAGUGAGUAAGGAUUAACCCAACUCAUAGCAACUACUCCUAGUAGUGCCUAGAGACCGUAUCACGCGCUAAAACUACUUGGGACCAGCUAAAAUCAACAUUUCAAGCUCAAGAACAGGGUCACCAAGGUAGCAAGAAUACGCGAAGGAUAAAGCACUAGAGUAGAAACUAAUUGGACCAAUGGAGGAGUCACUUACCAAGGAGUAAUUUCCCCAAAACGGUUCAAAAAAUAGUGCUUUGAGCAAGGAGAUCGAAAAUCACAGCAAAAUGAGCAAGAACACGGGUUUGAGCUGCGAAACAAUUUUUCUGGAGGUAGAAGAAGAGGAUGGGAGCUGGAAUGAGUUGAGGGGGUCCCUGUGGGCCCCACAAGCUUGGUGAUCGCAGCGAGGGGGGAAGCCCGCGGCGUCAGGGCUUGUGGCCCACUGGUGUGGCCCCCAGGCCAGCUCUCAGUCCCAGUAUUUUUCGAAAAAUCCAGAAAAAAUCAUAUUUGAUUUUCAGGACCAUGGGAGAACUUUUAUUUUUGGGGUACUUUUCUCCGGGACACUAAAACAGGGAAAACUAAACUAAAUCUAUCAUUUUUAUUCUAAGCAACAGAAAAUGAAAGCUUAAAACAGAGGUAUGUGACUCUUUGAUUCAUCCAUUUCAUGGUCAUCGAAAGAAAUCCGUCAAUGGGGUUGAUCAAAUCCCCUCGACAAAACUUUUUCGAAUCGCAAAAGGAAACAGAGAAUUGACGAAUAGCCACUAAGUCACCUCAAUGGAGAUGUGAAUCUCCACAACAAGCAAAUCAUACUUCAUCUUAACACAAGGAAUAGGGCAUUCAAAGCUCCCAUAAGAAUCGAUGAAGUUUUUUCGAUAGCAUUGAUGCAAUGUACUUGAUAUCAUUUCUUCGAAAAGUGCAGUGUAUGCUCAUUACCAUUGACAUGGAAAGUGACAUUGCCUUUAUUGCAAUCUAUAACAGCCCUUGCAGUGUUUAAAAAGGGUCUUCCGAGGAUGACAGCCAUGGCAUCGUCCUCGGGAAUAUCCAAGAUAACAAAGUAUGUUAAGAUAGUGGUGUUAGCAACCACAACAGGCACAUCCUCGCAAAUGCCGACAGGGAAAGCAGUUGACUUGUCGGCCAUUUGCAGAGAAAUUUCAAUGGGUGUCAACUUAUCCAGUUCAACUCUACGAUAAAGAGAGAGGGGCAUAACACUAAUAGCGGCUCCAAGGUCACAUAAGGCAGUUCUUACGUAGUUUCCUUUAAUGGCGCAAGGUAUAGUGGGCACUCCGGGAUCACCAAGUUUCUUAGGAGUUCCACCUUUGAAAGUGUAAUUGGCAAGCAUGGUGAAGAUCUCAAGAUCUGGUAUCUUCCGUUUAUUGGUCACGAUAUCUUUCAUGUACUUGGCAUAUGGAGACAUUUUGAGCAUAUCAAUUAACCACAUCUGCAAAAAGACAGGUGUUAUCAUAUCAAUAAAGCGCUCAAAAUCCUCAUCAUCCUUUUUCUUGGAUGGCUUAGGAGGAAAGGGCCUAGGUCUAUGAACCCAUGGCUCUCUUUAUUUACCAUGCUUCCUAGCAGUAAAGUCAUUCUUGUCGUAUCUCUUAGGUUGUGGAUUAUCAGGAUUGACCGUAGGUUCAAUCUCCACAUCCUCAUCAUGGCUAGGUUGAGCAUUACUAUGAACAUUGAUACGUCUCCAACAUAUCUACUUUUCCAAACUCUUUUGCCCUUGUUUUGGACUAUAAUUUGCAUGAUUUGAAUGGAACUAACCUGGACUGACGCUGUUUGCAGCAGAAUUGCCUUGGUGUUAUUUUUGUGCAGAAAUCAAAGUUCUCCAAACGUCCUGAAAAUUUACGGGGAGCAGUUUUGGAAAAUAUCAAAAAUAUCUACGGCAAGUUCCACCUCAGGGGGUGGGCCAGUGGGCCACAAUCCCCUGCUCCGCCACCACCCCCCUGGUGGCGGUGGGCAGGCUUGUGGGGCCCACAGGAACCUGCCGCCCCCAACUCCAGCUCUAUAAGUUGUCUUUCGUCCCAGAAAAAAUAAAAAGAGAAGUUUUCGUCGCGUUUUCGAGACGGAGGCACCGCCACCUCCUGUUCUUUAUCUGCAGGGCAGAUCUGGAAUCCGUCUUGGGCUCCGGAGAGGGGAAAUCGUUGCCAUCGUCAUCAUCAACCUUCUUCCCUCUCCAAUUCCAUGAAGCUCUUCAUCACCCGUGAGUNNNNNNNNNNNNNNNNNNNNNNNNNNNNNNNNNNNNNNNNNNNNNNNNNNNNNNNNNNNNNNNNNNNNNNNNNNNNNNNNNNNNNNNNNNNNNNNNNNNNNNNNNNNNNNNNNNNNNNNNNNNNNNNNNNNNNNNNNNNNNNNNNNNNNNNNNNNNNNUUGAUGUUGCUACUACUUUGUCAUGCUUAAUGCUUGUCACUAGGGCCCGAGUGCCAUGAUUUCAGAUCUGAAACUAUUAUGUUGUCACCAAUAUAGGUGUGUUUUAGAUCCGAUCUUGCAAGUUGUAGUUACCUACUAUGUGUUAUGAUCCGGCAACCCCGGAGUGAAAAUAACCAGAACCACUCCCGGUGAUGAUCAUAGUUUGAGGAGUUCAUGUGUUCACCAAUUGCUAAUGCGUUGAUCCGGUUCUUUAUUAAAAGGAGAACUUUAAUAUCCCGUAGUUUCCUUUUGGACCCCGCUGCCACGGGAGGGAUGGACAAUAGAUGUCAUGCAAGUUCUUUUCCCUAAGCACGUAUGACGACACACGGAAUGCAUGCCUACAUCACAUUGACGAAGAGGAGCUAGCCACAUAUCUUUCUGUGUUAUAGAUGUUGCAUCAUGAAUAUCAUCCAAACAAAUCACCGACCCAUUGCCUACGAGUUUGUCCUACUACUGUUGUUACUUGUCUUGCUCUGCUGCUGCUACUAUUGUUGCUACUGCUGUUACUAGUCUUGCUCUGCUGCUGCUGCUACUACUGUUGCUACUACUGUCGCUUGCUACUGUUGCUACUUGCUACUGUUGUCACUAUUUUUGUUCCUUGCCACUGCUAUUGCUCGUUACACUACCGUUACUCGCUACUUUCUGUUACUACUGUGCUUGCAGAUACUAAUCUUUCAGGUGUUGUUGAAUCUCACAAAUUCAGUUGCUAAUACUUGGGAGUAUACUCUCACCUCCUGGCUGGCUUACCUACAAAUUUGGGUCGAAUACUCUAUCCUCGAAAACUGCUGCGAACCCACACGUUGGUGGGCCAUUAACAAUAUUCUUCCAGUUUCAUUGCCGGGGAGUGCUAUCAGCAUUCUUCUAGUGCCGUUGCAGGAGAAGGUUAGUUGUUAUAAGAAUUCGUCUAGCUAACGCCAGAGAUUGCAGGAUCAGCCCUUUUCUGGAGCCAUUGCCAGGGAAGCACAGCUGACGUCAGCAUUUUUCUGGUGCCGUUGCCGGGGAGGUAUUGCUAUAUGCUCUGAGUCACUUGGGAUUUAUAUCUGCUGAUCACUAUGAAGAAUCUGAAGGAUCCGAAGACCAAAGUCUUGCCCUCAACUACGAGGGGAGGUAAGGAAUUGCCAUCUAGCUCUGCACUUGAUUCACCUUCGGUUAUGAGUAAGUUUGCAACAUCACCUCCUGCCAGAAAUCUUGAUAUGUUGCCUGUGCUUGAUGAUGCUUGUGAUACUACUGCUAUAGAUGCUAUGCUUGAUACUAUGCCUGAUACUGCUAGAGAUGCUAUGCCUAAUACUACUGCUAGAGAUGCUAUGCUUGAUACUACUCCUAGAGAUGCUAUGCCUGAUACUGCUAGAGAUGCUAUGCCUAAUACUACUGCUAGAGAUUCUAUGCUUAAUACUACUCCUAGAGAUGCUAUGCCUGAUACUCCUAGAGAUGCUAUGCUUGAUACUGCUUUGCCUUAUGAUGCUAGAGAUGCUAUUUUGCCUAAUGAUGCUAUGCUUGAUACUACUAGAGAUAGUCCUUUGCCUGAUGUUCCACUAGGAGUGUUCCUUGAUGCUCAUAUUGCUAGAGUUACUGCCAAUGCUCGUGAUGCUUCUGAAACUGCCGAUGCUAUUGAGAUAGAACCUGCUUUUGCUCCUGCUAGAUCUAGCUCUCCAAGAUAUGAAUUGCCUGAUAUACCUGAGGGUUACGUUAUGGAGGGAGAGAUAGCUGAGGAUUUUCUUGCGUGUAAGGAUGCCUAUGACGCUGAGAAAUUAAUUCUCAAGUGGAAGGAAAAAUCUUGGGAAGUUAGGAUGAAAAAUGAUCCGAAGUUUGCCACUUUGCCUAUCUUUGUCACCGAUAAGGAUUAUGAAUUCUCUAUCGACCCUGAGAUAAUCUCUCUAGUCGAAUCUGAUCCUUUUCACGGUUAUGAGUCUGAGACGGUCAUAGCCCAUCUUGCCAAACUAUCCGAAAUAGCCAACCUUUUCACUAAUGAGGAGAAGAUCCGUCACUACUAUAUCCUUAAGCUAUUUCCUUUCUCUCUAAAGGAUGUCGCUAAAGCUUGGUUCACCUCUCUUGCUCCUGCAUGUGUGCGUAGUCCCCAGGAGAUGGUCUACUACUUCUGUGAGAAAUAUUUCCCUGCCCAUAAGAAGCAAGCUGCCUUGCAGGAAAUAUACAACUUUGCUCAACUCCAAGAAGAGGGUCUUCCACAAGCUUGGGGGAGGCUCGUCCAGCUACAGAAUGCUUUGCCUGAUCAACCUCUCAAGAAGAACGAGAUACUUGAUAUCCUCUAUAACGGACUUACCGAUGCCUCUAGAGAAUACGUAGAGAGUUGUGUCGGUUGUGUUUUUAGGGAACGAACUAUAGAACAAGCUGAGACCCUGCUGAAUAACCUCUUGAUCAACGAUAAUGCUUGGACUAUUCCCGAACCACAUCCUAAGCCAACUCCUAAGAAAAGAGGUAUUCUAAUCCUCAGUCCCGAAGAUAUGCAAGAAGCCAAGAAAUCUAUGCAAGAGAAAGGCAUUAGAUCUGAAGAUGUCAAAAAUCUACCACCUAUCGAAGAGAUCCAUCGUCUCGAUAACCCGGUACAGGUAGUAGAAGUGAAUUCUCUGCGUAGGUUUGAUGAGAGUGAUAUUUCUUUUGAUAAACCUGCUAGCCUAUGCUUUGAUGAAUUUGACAACUUUGUUGCCAAACAACAGAGUUUCAAUGAUUCUGUUAGCAGCCAUUUGGAACAAAGUACUCGUAUGCUUAGCCAUUUAAGUGCUUGUGUAGAUUGAAAUGUCAAUGCUCUGAAGCUUCUGAGUAAACAUGCCUCUAUGAUUACUACUCAGGUAGAACAAGUACUUAAAGCUCAUAAUGACCUGCUCAAUGAACUAAAUGACAACUCUGUCAGAGUCAUUACUAGAGGAGGCAAAAUGACUUCGGAACCUUUGUAUCCUGAAGGUCAUCCUAAGAGAAUUGAUCAAGAUUCUCAAGGAAUCAAUGAUGAUAAACCUAGUCAUCCUAAGGAGAAGAAGAAGGAUGAUAGAAACCUGCAUGCCAGUUCACCAAAUACUAUCACACCUGAUGAACCUAAUGAUAUUUCUGCGUCUGAUGCAGAAAUACAAUCAGGUGAUGAACAUGAACCUAGUGACAAUGUGGACAGUGAUUUUCAUAAUAAUGCUCAACCUAGCCAUGAUGAGGAUGUGGAGAUUGAACCUACGGUCAAUCCUGAUAAUCCACAACCUAAGAGAUACGACAAGAAUGACUUUACUGCUAGGAAGCAUGGUAAAGAAAGAGAGCCAUGGGUUCAUAGACCUAUGCCCUUUCCUCCUAAGCCAUCCAAGAAAAAGGAUGAUGAGAAUUUUGAGCGCGUCGUUGAGAUGAUAAGACCCGUCUUUCCGCAGAUGCGGUUAACUGAUAUACUCAAGAUGUCUCUGUAUGCCAAGUACAUGGAAGAUAUCGUGACUAAUAAAUAGAAUAUACCAGAUCUUGAGAUCUCCACCAUGCUUGCCAAUUACACUUUCAAAGGUGGAACUCCUAAGAAACUUGGUGAUCCCAGAGUGCCCACUAUACCUUGCUCUAUUAAAGGAAACUACGUAAGAGCUUCCUUAUGUGACCUUGGAGCCGAUGUUUGUGUUAUGCUGCUCUCUCUUUAUCGUAGACUUGAAUUGGAUAAGUUGACACCCACUGAAAUUUCUCUGCAAAUGGCCGACAAAACAACUGGUUUCCCUAUCGGCAUUUGCGAGGAUGUGCCUGUUGUGGUUGCUAACACCACUAUCUUAAUAGACUUUGAUAUCUUGGAUAUUCCCGAGGACGAUGCCAUGGCUAUCAUCCUCAGAAGACCCUUUUUAAACACUGCAAGGGCUGUUAUAGAUUGCAACAAAGGCAAUGUCACUUUCCAUGUCAACGGUAACGAGCACACAGUGCACUUUCCGAAGAAACGAUAUCCAGUACAUUGCAUCAAUGAUAUCGAAAAGACUUCAUCCAUUCUUAUUGGGAGCUUUCAAUGCCCUAUUCCUCGUUUCAAGAUGAAGUAUGAUUUGCUUGUUGGGGAGAUUCAUAUCCCCAUUGAGGUGACUUACUGGCUAUCCUAAAAUUCUCCAUUCUCUCUUGUGAUUCGAGAAAGUUUUGUCAUAAGGACUUGAUCAACCCCAUUGACGAAUUUCUUCCGAUGACCAUGAAACGGAUGAAUCAGAGAGUCAGAGACCUCUAUUUUGAGUCUUCAUUUUCUGUUGCUUAGAAGAAAAAUGAUGGAAUUAGUUUAGCUUUUCCUGUUUUCUAUUCUAUCGUCCCGGAGAAAAAUACCUCGAAAAUAAAAGUUCUCCGAUGGUCCUGAAAAUCUAGUAUGAUUUUUUUUGGAAUUUUUGAAAAUUUCUGGGCCUGAGAGCUGGUCAGGGGGCCUGACCAGUGGGCCACAAGCCCCCCCCCCCCCCCCCCCCCCCCCCCCCCCCCGGGCCCAAACCCCAAAANNNNNNNNNNNNNNNCCCACCGCCACCUACCCCCCUGGUGGCGGGGUGCAAGCUUGUGGGGCCCACAUGCAGCCCCUCCACUCAUUCCAGCUCCCAGCCUCUUCUUCCACCUCCAGAAAAAAUUGUUUCACAGCUCAAACCCGUGUUCUUGCUCAUUUGGGUGUGAUUUUCGAUCUCCUUGCUCAAAGCACCAUUCUCUGAACCGUUUUGGGGAAAUUACUCCUUGGUAAGUGACUCCUCCAUUGGUCCAAUUAAUUUUUGCUCUAGUGCUUUAUCCUUCGCGAAUUCUUGCUACCUUGGUGACCCUAUUCUUGAGCUAGAAAAGUUAAUUUUAGCUGGUCCCAAGUAGUUUUAGCGCGUGAUACGGUCUCUAGGCACUAGUAGGAGUAGUUGCUACAAGUUGGGUUAAUCCUUGUUCAUGUUUCUUUCGAAGUCUCUAAAAAUUUCAGAAUUUUUCAGAGCUAGAAAAAGGAAGAGAUGAGGAGGUUCUUGAGAGGCUCUUCAAGCCGUAACCACAAGGAGGAUGAGAAGAACCACCCCAAGUACGUAGUCCCUCAAGUCAUAGAAGUUCGAGCGUGCGAGUGGCCAAGUGAUGAAUUUUUGCGCGCCGCUGGACUUUAUGAAGACUUUUAUUACUUCGUGGAGAACGCAGGCCUUACUGCGUUCGUUGAAGAUAAGUGCCCACAAUAUCUCCUCCUCACCAAUAUUUUCGUUCAAAGCUUCAACUUUUAUCCGAGGAACAAUCCUCCCAUGUUUGAGUUCAUGAUAUAUAAUGUCCCCCGGUGCAUGAUGCUGCAGGAUUUUUGCAAUGUAUGCAAAUUACCUUAUGUUGGGGAUAUCCGUGACCCUCGUCCACGGGACUUGGAGGAUUUCAUUGGUUCUAUUGCUGUUGGAGAGGAGAGAGGAGUGUCUCGCGCUAGAAUUGCUAGCAUACAUUUUCCUAUGCUUCGGUACUUCUCACUAUUUGUGGGAAAAUGUUUGAUUGGCCGUGGGGAGGCUGGAUCACUUAGUUCUCUUGAUCUUGCGGUUUUGCGCGAAGGCCUUUAUAACGAUAAGACUUAUAGCCUGGGCGCUAUAGUAGCUCAACGGUUGAACCUGAACCAUUCUAAAGGUGUUGUAUAUGGAGGUAUCUAUGCUACCCGUCUUGCUAGACACUUUGAGAUACCCAUUAGACUGGGAGAGGAAGGAGAGAUGCUUCUCCCUCAGAGAUAUCUGGAUUAUGACAACAUGGUUCGCCAUGAUUUUCUGGAUACAGAUGCUAGUAGACGGAUGAUUUAUAACCUGGUGUUUAGUCAGGGUACUCGAGAGACUAUUACUUCGCUUGCUCCUUCUUUGUUUGAUCUUCAUGCAGGCAUGUACACUAUUAUGCCUGCAGACAUCUACGCAUAUUGGGGCUUGGCCCAACCACAGGCGCCCGUGCCCGAGCCGCCAGUCGAGUACCAGACGCCAGUUUAUCAGUGGGAGCCAGAGGAGCUCACACAGCAGUGGCAUCCACAGUCUGCUCCGGAGUAUCCUGGAGCUGGUUAUUUCCCACCUUGGGAGUAGACCAAGCUAGGGCAAAAGCCUAAGCUUGGGGGAGUACGUGUUCUCACCGACUUUACAUUCAUGCUUAUGCUUUCGCUUUGUUAGCCGGUGUUUACACUUUGCCAUUUUAUUAUCCAUGCUAGUUUCUUUUUGUUUUCUUUUUUUCUUGUUUUGUGUCCUUUUGAGAAAACCCAAAAAGAUUUGUCUUUCUUCUUUUGCUUGUUGGGAGCUUUCCCGUGUAAAUAGUUUUCUUUUUCUUUGUGUCAAGGUAGAAGAUAUUGGUUACAAUGCUUAGUGGUUCUUACAUGCUUAUUUGUUUAGCUUUCAAAGAGCCAUAUUACUUUGUCUUCUCCUUUGUGUUUGCCUGCAGAUUCAGCUUAGUCCAAUGCGCUUAUUAUCGUUUACAUCGUUCGAUCGUGCAAAUGAAAGGCAACAAUGAUGAUAUCUGAUGAAGUGACUGAGACUGAAAAGCUGGUAUGAACUCUAUCUAUUUUGUUUUUGUAAAUAUGACUAGCUUGUCGACCUAGAUUUAGCUUUGUUGUGAGAAAACCAUGUUUGCAAUGACAACUUAGAGAUCAUAGUUUCUGAUGCCAUGCUUAUUUAGCUGAGAGCUUAUAAUGGUUUGUCUUGAUUGCCAACAUAGAUUUUGAGAUGACUAUGAUGUAGUAUGAUAGGAUGGUAUUCUCCUUUGAAUGUUCAUGCAUGUAGUUGAAACAAAAUCAACAUAGCCUCUAUGAUGUUCAUGUUCAUGGUGAUUUAUAUCCUGUUCAUGCUUGCAUUCAAUGUUAGUCAAACUCAUUGCAUCUUGAUGACUGUUGUCGCUCUCUAGUUGGUCGCUUCCCAGUCUUUUGCUAGCCUUCACUUGUACUAAGCGGAAUACUGCUUGUGCAUCCACUUCCAUAAACCCAAAAGUUUUUCCAUGAGAGUCCACCAUACCUACCUAUUUGCGGUAUCUACCUGCCGUUCCAAGUAAACUUGCAUGUGCCAUUCUCUAAACCUUCAAGAAAUAAAUCUGUUUUGCAUGCCCGAACCGCUCAUGUGGUAACAGAGGGCUAUUGGUAUCUUCCAUGCUAGGAGUGUUAUCCUCGACAUGUGUUUAUUCACAGUACUUCACGAGAAAGGGGCCGAUAUUUGGGAUGCCCAGUUCCAUGCUUAAAUCAAAAACAUAAUUGUAAAACAAGACUCCCCCCGGAUUGAUGUUAGUAUGGACGGUACCCGAGGAUUCGGCUAGCCGUGGAGUGUGAUUGAUUGGUGGUGGGGAGUUAAAACUUUACUUUUCUGUUUGGGAACCGCCUAUAGCAUGAGUAGUAUCGAAGAUAUUGAGAACCCUUGGUCAUUGCAUUGACAAUGAAAGCAUGCCACCCAAAAUUAUUAUCUCUGUUUUCAAAGCUUGAGCUCUGGCACCUCUGCAAAUCAAUGCUUCCCUCUGCGAAGGGCCUGUCUAUUUAUUUUCCUGUCGAGUCAUCCUCCUCUUAUAUAAGCACCAAUUAGAGAGCACCUCUAUCAUUUUUAUGCUUUGCUUUUGAUUGAUAUUGAGUAUGACUAUGAAUGGAUCUUCGUUGCUAUGAAUUACAAUGUUUAGUCAGCCCUUGAUCAUUGAAAGUGCUGUGCAUUUAUGUUUUGCGGUCUCAGAAAAAGCUAGCGAGAUACCAUCUAUUCAUAUUGCUUCAUGAUUGUUUUGAUUGAAGUGUUGGUAUUUGAAACUCAUUAUUAUUUGCUCGUUAGCUGAUUAUGCCAUUGAUAUUAGUUUACCGUGAGACCUUUGUGUCAUUUGCUUAUGUGGUUAACUUGUGAUCUUGCUGAAAUUCUGGUUAUGAAUUAGACAUAGUUGCAACAACAAGAUCAAGCAGAGUUUGUCAAAGUUUUUUUCUGUCUCUCUCAGUUUGUCAACUGAGUUGCUUGAGGACAAGCAAGGUUUUAAGCUUGUGGGAGUUGAUACGUCUCCAACGUAUCUACUUUUCCAAACUCUUUUGCCCUUGUUUUGGACUAUAAUUUGCCUCAUUUGAAUGGAACUAACCUGGACUGACGCUGUGUUCAGCAGAAUUGCCUUGGUGUUAUUUUUGUGCAGAAAUCAAAGUUCUCCAAACGUCGUGAAAAUUUACGGGGAGCAGUUUUGGAAAACAUCAAAAAUAUAUGCGCCAAGUUCCACCUCAGGGGGUGGGCCAGUGGGCCACAAGCCCCUGCUCCACCACCACCCCCCUGGUGGCGGUGGGCAGGCUUGUGGGGCCCACAGGCACCUGCCGCCCCCAACUCCAGCUCUAUAAGUUGUCUUUCGUCCCACAAAAAAUAAAAAGAGAAGUUUUCGUCGUGUUUUCGAUACGGAGGCGUCGUCACCUCCUGUUCUUCAUCUGGAGGGCAGAUCUGGAUUCCGUCUUGGGCUCCGGAGAGGGGAAAUCAUUGCCAUCGUCAUCAUCAACCUUCUUCCCUCUCUAAUUCCAUGAAGCUCUUUCUCGUUCGUGAGUAAUCUAUUCGUAGGCUCGUUGGGCGGUGAUGAGUAGGAUGAGAUCUAUCAUGUAAUCGAGUUAGUUUUGAUGGGGAUUGAUCCCCAGUAUCCACUAUGUUUUGAGAUUUGAUGUUGCUACUACUUUGCCAUGUUUAAUGCUUGUCACUAGGGCCCGAGUGCCAUGAUUUCAGAUCUGAAAUUAUUAUGUUGUCACCAAUAUAUGUGUGUUUUAGAUCCGAUCUUGCAAGUUGUAGUUACCUACUAUGUGUUAUGAUCCGGCAGCCCCGGAGUGACAAUAACCAGAACCACUCCCGAUGAUGAUCAUAGUUUGAGGAGUUCAUGUGUUCACCAAGUGCUAAUGUGUUGGUCCGGUUCUUUAUUAAAAGGAGAACCUUAAUAUUCCGUAGUUUCCUUUUGGACCCCGCUGCCACGGGAGGGAUGGACAAUAGAAGUCAUGCAAGUUCUUUUCCCUAAGCACGUAUGACGACACACGGAAUGCAUGCCUACAUCACAUUGAUGAACUGGAGCUAGCCACAUAUCUCUCCGUGUUAUAGCUGUUGCAUGAUGAAUAUCAUCCAAACAAAUCACCGACCCAUUGCCUAUGAGUUUGUCCUACUACUACUGUUACUUGUCUUGCUCUGCUGCUGCUACUAUUGUCGCUACUGCUGUUACUAGUCUUGCUCUGCUGCUGCUACUACUACUGUUGCUACUACUGUCGCUUGCUACUGUUGCUACUUGCUACUGCUGUCACUACUGCUGUUCAUUGCCACUGCUAUUGCUCGUUACACUACCGUUACUCGCUACUUUGUUGUUACUACUGUGCUUGCAGAUACUAAUCUUUCAGGUGUGGUUGAAUCUGACAAAUUCAGCUGCUAAUACUUGAGAGCAUACUCUCACCUCCUGACUGGCUUACCUACAAAUUUGGGUUGAAUACUCUACCCUCGAAAACUGCUGCGAACCCACGCGUUGGUGGGCCAUCAACAACAUUCUUCCAGUUUCAUUGCCGGGGAGUGCUAUCAGCAUUCUUCUGGUGCCGUUGCAGGAGAAGGUUAGUUGUUAUAAGCAUUCGUCUAGGUAACGCCAGAGAUUGCAGGAUCAACCCUUUUCUGGAGCCAUUGCCAGGGAAGCACAGCUGACGUCAAACAUCACUGUCCAUAUUGUCACCAGGUUCAUAUUCAUCACCAGGUUGUGUUUCUGCAUCAGAAGCAGAAAUAUCAUUUGGUUCUUCAGGUGUGAUAGUAUUUGGUGAACUGACAUGUAGGUUUCUAACAUACUUCUUCUUCUUCUUAGGAUGACUGGGUGUAUCAGCAUUAAUUCCUUGAGAAUCUUGAUCAAUUCUCUUAGGAUGGCCUUCAGGAUACAAAGGUUCCUGAGUCAUUUUGCCUCCUCUAGUAAUGACUCUGAUAGAGUUUUCAUUUAAUUCAUUGAGCAAGUCAUUCUGAGAUUUAAGUACUUGUUCUACCUGAGUAGUAAUCAUAGAGGCAUGUUUACUCAGAAGAUUCAGAUCAUUGACAUUUCUCUCUACAAAAGCACUUAAAUGACUAAGCAUACGAGUACUUUGUUCCAAAUGUUUGCUAACAUAAUCAUUGAAACUCUGUUGUUUGGCAACAAAGUUGUCAAAUUCAUCAAAGCAUAGGCUAGCAGGUUUAUCAAAAGGAAUAUCACUCUCAUCAAACCUACGCAGAGAAUUUACUUCUACUACCUGUAUCGGGUUAUCGAGACCAUGGAUCUCUUUGAUGGGCGGUAGAUUUUUGACAUCUUCAGAUCUAAUGCCUUUCUCUUGCAUAGAUUUCUUGGCUUCUUGCAUAUCUUCAGGACUGAGGAAUAGAAUACCUCUUUUCUUAGGAGUUGGCUUAGGAGGUGGUUCGGGCAUAGUCCAAGCAUUAUCGUCGAUCAAGAUGUUAUUCAGUAGGAUCUCAGCUUGUUCUACAGUUCGUUCCCUAGAAACACAACCGGCACAACUAUCUAGGUGGUCUCUAGAAGCAUCGGUAAGUCCGUUAUAGAAGAUAUCAAGUAUCUCAUUCUUCUUAAGAGGGUGAUCAGGCAAAGCAUUCUGUAGCUGGAUGAGCCUCCCCCAAGCUUGUGGGAGACUCUCUUCUUUGAGUUGAGCAAAGUUGUAUAUUUCCUGCAAGGCAGCUUGCUUCUAUGGGCAGGGAAAUAUUUCUCACAGAAGUAAUAGACCAUAUCCUGGGCACUACUUACACAUCCAGGAGCAAGAGAAGUGAACAAGGCUUUAGCAUCAUCCUUUAGAGAGAAAGGAAACAGCUUAAGGAUAUAGUAGUAGCGGAUCUUCUCCUCACUAGUGAAAAGGGUGGCUAUAUCGUGUAGUUUGGUAAGAUGGGCUAUGACCGUCUCAGACUCAUAACCGUGGAAAGGAUCAGAUUUGACUAGAGAGAUUAUCUCAGGGUCGACAGAGAAUUCAUAAUCCUCAUUGGUGAUAAAGAUAGGUGAAGUGGCAAACUUCGGGACGUAUUUCAUCCUAGCUUUCAGAGAUUUUUCCUUCCACUUGAGAAGUAAUUUCUCAGCAUCAUAAGCAUCCUUACAUGCAAGAAAAUCCUCAGCUAUCUCUCCCUCCAUAACAUAACCCUCAGGUAUAUCAGGCAAUUCAUAUCUAGGAGAGCUAGAUCUUGCAGGAGCAAAGGCAAGUUCUAUCUCAAGAGUAUCGGCAGUUUCAGAAGCAUCACGAGCAUUGGCAGUAACUCUAGCAAUAUGAUCAUCAAGGAAUACCCCUAGUGGCAUAUCAGGCAAAGUAGUAUCUCUAGCAGUAUCAAGCAUAGCAUCAUCAGGAAAAAUAGCAUCUCUAGCAUCAUGAGGCAAAGCAGUAUCAAGCAUAGCAUCUCUAGCAGUAUCAGGCAUAGCAUCUCUAGCAGUAUCACGCAUAGCAUCUCUAGCAAUAUCAGGCAUAGCAUCUCUAGCAGUAUCAAGCAUAGCAUCUGUAGCAGUAUCAGGCAUAGCAUCUCUAGCAAUAUCAGGCAUAGCAUCUCUAGCAGUAGGUGGAGUCGCAAACUUACUCAUAACUGAAGGUGAAUCAAGUGCAGAGCUAGAUGGCAGUUCCUUACCUCCCCUCGUAGUUGAGGGAAAGAAUUUGGUUCUAGGAUCUUUCAGAUUCUUCAUAAUGAUCUGCAGAUAUAAAUCCCAAGUGCCCACUCGGUAAUACAACAUCACACACAAGCCUUGCAAGCAAUGUAACUUAGUGUAAGUUGCGGGAUCUUGUAUUACGGAACGAGUAAAGAGACUUGCCGGUAAACGAGAUUGAAAUAGGUAUACGGAUACUGACGGUCGAAUCUCGGGCAAGUAACAUACCGAAGGACAAAGGGAAUGACAUACGGGAUUAUAUGAAUCCUUGGCACUGAGGUUCAAACGAUAAGAUUUUCAUAGAAUAUGUAGGAUCCAAUAUGGGCAUCUAGGUCCCGCUAUUGGAUAUUGACCGAGGAGUCUCUCGGGUCAUGUCUACAUAGUUCUCGAACCCGCAGGGUCUGCACACUUAAGGUUCGACGUUGUUUUAUGCGUAUUUGAGUUAUAUGGUUGGUUACCGAAUGUUGUUCGGAGUCCCGGAUGAGAUCACGGACGUCACGAGGGUUUCCGGAAUAGUCCGGAAACGAAGAUUGAUAUAUAGGAUGACCUCAUUUGAUUACCGGAAGGUUUUCGGAGUUACCGGGAAUGUACCGGGAAUGACGAAUGGGUUCCGGGAGUUCACCGGGGGGCAACCCACCCCGGGGAAGCCCAUAGGCCUUGAGGGUGGCACACCAGCCCUUAGUGGGCUGGUGGGACAGCCCAAAAGGGCUCUAUGCGCCAAGAAGAGAAAAUCAAGAGAAAAGAAAAAAAAGGAGGAGGUGGGAAGGAAGGGGGACUCCCUCCCACCAAACCAAGUACAACUCGGUUUGGGGGGGAGUCCUCCCCCCUUGGACUCGGCCGACCCCCUUGGGGCUCCUUGAGCCCCAAGGCAAGGUCCCCUCCCUGCCACCUAUAUAUACGGAGGUUUUAGGGCUGAUUUGAGACGACUUUUCCACGGCAGCUCGACCACAUACGGGGCUCCUUGAGCCCCAAGGCAAGGUCCCCUCCCUCCCACCUAUAUAUACGGAGGUUUUAGGGCUGAUUUGAGACGACUUUUCCAUGGCAGCCCGACCACAUACCUCCACGGUUUUUCCUCUAGAUCGCGUUUUUGCGGAGCUCGGGCGGAGCCCUGCUGAGACAAGGUCAUCACCAACCUCCGGAGUGCCGUCACGCUGCCGGAGAACUCUUCUACCUCUACGUCUCUCUUGCUGGAUCAAGAAGCCCGAGAUCAUCGUCGAGCUGUACAUGUGCUGAACACGGAGGUGCCGUCCGUUCGGUACUAGAUCGUGGGACUGAUCGCGGGAUUGUUCGCGGGGCGGAUCGAGGGAUGUGAGGACGUUCCACUACAUCAACCGCGUUCACUAACUCUUCUGCUGUACGAUCUACAAGGGUACAUAGAUCACUCAUCCCCUCUCGUAGAUGGACAUCACCAUGAUAGGUCUUCGUGCGCGUAGGAAAAUUUUUGUUUCCCAUGCGACGUUCCCCAACAGUGGCAUCAUGAGCUAGGUUCAUGCGUAGAUGUCUUCUCUAGUAGAACACAAAAGUUUUUGUGGGCGGUGAUGUGCGUUUUGCUGCCCUCCUUAGUCUUUUCUUGAUUCUGCGGUAUUGUUGGAUUGAAGCGGCUUGGACCGACAUUACUCGUACACUUACGAGAGACUGUUUUCAUCGUUACGAGUAACUCCGUUGCUCAAAGAUGACUGGCAAGUGUCGGUUUCUCCAACUUUAGUUGAAUCGGAUUUGACCGAGGAGGUCCUUGGAUGAGGUUAAAUAGCAACUCAUAUAUCUCCGUUGUGGUGUUUGCGCAAGUAAGAUGCGAUCCUACUAGAUACCCAUGGUCACCACGUAAAACAUGCAACAACAAAAUUAGAGGACGUCUAACUUGUUUUUGCAGGGUAUGCUUGUGAUGUGAUAUGGCCAAUGAUGUGAUGUGAUAUAUUGGAUGUAUGAUAUGAUCAUGUUGUAAUAGAAAUAUCGACUUGCACGUCGAUGGUACGGCAACCGGCAGGAGCCAUAGAGUUGUCUUUAUACUAACGUGUGUGCUUGCAGAUGCGUUUACUAUUUUGCUAGGAUGUAGCUUUAGUAGUAAUAGCAUGAGUAGCACGACAACCCCGAUGGAAACACGUUGAUGGAGAUCAUGGUGUGGCGCCGGUGACAAGAAGAUCGUGACGGUGCUUUGGUGAUGGAGAUCAAGAAGCACGUGAUGAUGGCCAUAUCAUGUCACUUAUGAAUUGCAUGUGAUGUUAAUCCUUUUAUGCACCUUAUUUUCCUUAGAACGAUGGUAGCAUUAUGAGGUGAUCUCUCACUAAAAUUUCAAGACGAAAUUGUGUUCUCCCCGACUGUGCACCGUUGCUACAGUUCGUCGUUUCGAGACACCACGUGAUGAUCGGGUGUGAUAGACUCAACGUUCACAUACAACGGGUGCAAAACAGUUGCGCACGCGGAACACUCGGGUUAAGCUUGACGAGCCUAGCAUGUGCAGACAUGGCCUCGGAACACAUGAGACCGAAAGGUCGAUCAUGAAUCAUAUAGAUGAUAUGAUUAGCAUAGGCAUGCUUACCACUGAAACUAUACUCAACUCACGUGAUGAUCGGACUUGAGCUAGUGUAAGUGGAUCAUGAACCACUCAAAUGACUAGAGAGAUGUACUUUUUGAGUGGGAGUUUAGCGAAUAAUUUGAUUAAGUUAAACUCUAAUUAUCUUGAACAUAUUCUAAGUCCACUUUGAAUAUAUUUGUGUUGUAUAUCAUGGCUCACGCGACAGUCAUCCUGAAUUUUAAUACGUUCCUAGAGAAAGCUAAGUUGAAAGAUGAUGGAAGCAACUUUGUAGACUGGGCUCGUAAUCUUAAGCUAAUCUUACAAGCUGGGAAGAAGGAUUAUGUCCUUAAUGCUGCAUUAGGAGAUGAACCACCCGCUACGGCUGAUCAGGAUGUUAAGAACGCUUGGUUAGCACGUAAGGAGGACUACUCAAUAGUUCAAUGUGCAGUCUUGUAUGGCUUAGAACCGGGACUUCAACGUCGCUUUGAGCGUCAUGGAGCAUUUGAGAUGUUCCAGGAGUUGGAGUUUAUCUUUCAGAAGAACGCCCGGAUCGAGAGGUAUGAGACCUCCGAUAAAUUAUAUGCUCGCAAGAUGGAGGAAAACUCCUCUGUCAGUGAACAUGUGCUCAAAAUGUCUCGGUACUCAAACCGUCUAGCUGAGCUGGGGAUUAAACUCCCGCAAGAAGCUAUCACUGACAGAAUCCUUCAAUCACUGCCGCCAAGCUAUAAAGGCUUUGUCUUGAACUACAACAUGCAAGGGAUGAACAAGUCUCCCGGCGAGUUGUUUGCGAUGCUGAAAGUCGCAGAGUCUGAACUCCGAAAGAGCAUCAAGUGUUGAUGGUGAAUAAAACCACUAGUUUCAAGAGAAACUGCAAAGGCAAGAAGGGCAAUUCGAAGAAGAGCGGCAAGCCUGUUGCCAAUCCGACGAAGAAACCCAAAGCUGGACCUAAGCCGGAAACGGAGUGUUACUAUUGCAAGGGUAUGGGUCACUAGAAGCGCAAUUGCCCCAAGUAUCUGGCAGAUAAGAAGGCGGGCAAAGAAAAAUCAGGUAUAUUUGAUAUACAUGUUAUUGAUGUGUACUUAACCGGCUCUCGUAGUAGUGCCUGGGUAUUCGAUACCGGUUCAGUUGCUCAUAUUUGCAACUCGAAACAGGAACUGCGGAAUAGGCGAAGGCUGGCGAAAGAUGAAGUGACGAUGCGCGUAGGAAAUGGUUCCAAGGUUGAUGCAAUCGCCGUCGGCACAAUGUCACUUCAGUUACCGUCAGGAUUAGUGAUGAACUUAAAUCAUUGUUAUUUAGUGCCUGCGUUGAGCAUGAACAUUAUAUCUGGAUCUUGUUUAUUGCAAGACGGUUACUCUUUUAAGUCGGAGAAUAAUGGUUGUUCUAAUUCUAUGAGUAACAUCUUUUAUGGUCAUGCACCGAAUGUGAGAGUAUUGUUCAUAUUGAAUCUUGAUAGCGAUACGCAUAUACAUAACAUUGAGACCAAAAGGGUUAGAGUUAACAAUGAUAGCGCCAUAUUUUUGUGGCACUGCCGCUUAGGUCAUAUUGGUGUAAAGCGCAUGAAGAAACUCCAUACUGAUGGACUUUUGGAGUCACUUGACUUUGAUUCACUUGACACGUGCGAACCAUGCCUCAUGGGCAAGAUGACUAAGACUCCGUUCUCUGGAACAAUGGAGCGUGCAAGUGACUUGUUGGAAAUCAUACAUACCGAUGUGUGUGGUCCGAUGAGCGUGGAGGCACGCGGCGGAUAUCGUUAUUUUCUGACCUUCACUGACGAUUUAAGUAGAUAUGGUUAUGUCUACUUGACGAAACACAAGUCUGAAACAUUUGAAAAGUUCAAGCAAUUUCAGAGUGAAGUGGAAAAUCAUCGUAACAAGCAGAUCAAGUUCCUACGGUCUGAUCGUGGGGGUGAAUAUCUGAGUUUCGAGUUUGGUGCUCACUUAAGACAAUGUGGAAUUGUUUCACAGUUAACACCGCUUGGAACACCAUAGCGUAAUGGUGUGUCUGAACGUCGUAAUCGUACUCUAUUAGAGAUGGUGCGAUCUAUGAUGUCUCUUACUGAUUUGCCGUUAUCAUUUUGGGGCUAUGCAUUAGAAACAGCUGCAUUCACUUUAAAUAGGGCACCAUCAAAAUCCGUUGAGACGACACCAUAUGAACUGUGGUAUGGCAAAAGACCAAAGUUGUCGUUUCUUAAAGUUUGGGGAUGUGAUGCUUAUGUCAAAAAGCUUCAGCCUGAAAAGCUGGAACCCAAAGCGGAAAGGUGCGUCUUCAUAGGUUACCCAAAAGAGACAAUUGGGUACACCUUCUAUCUCAAAUCUGAGGGCAAAGUGUUUGUUGCUAAAAACAGAGCUUUUCUCGAGAAGGAGUUUCUCUCGAGAGAAUUGAGUGGGAGGAAGAUAGAACUUGACGAGGUUGUCGAACCUCUCAUCCCUCUGGAUGGUGGCGCAGGGCAAGGGGAAACCUCUGUCAUUGCGAUGCCAGUUGAGGAGGAAGUUAAUGAUGAUGAUCAUGAAACUCCAGUUCAAGUUUCUGUCGAACCACGCAGGUUGACGAGACCACGUGCUGCUCCAGAGUGGUACGGUAAUCCCGUCUUAUCAAUCAUGUUGUUAGACAACAAUGAACCUGUGAAUUAUGAAGAAGCAAUGGUGGGCCCAGAUUCCAACAAAUGGCUGGAAGCCAUGAAGUCCGAGAUAGGAUCCAUGUAUGAGAACAAAGUGUGGACUUUGGAGGUACUGCCUGAGGGCCGCAAGGCCAUUCAGAACAAAUGGAUCUUUAAGAGGAAGACGGACGCUGACGGUAAUGUGACCGUUUAUAAAGCUCGACCUGUGGCAAAGGGUUUUUCACAAGUUCAAGGAGUUGACUACGAUGAGACUUUCUCACCCGUAGCGAUGCUUAAGUCCGUCAGAAUCAUGUUAGCAAUAGCUGCAUUUUUCGAUUAUGAAAUCUGGCAGAUGGAUGUCAAAACGGCGUUCCUUAACGGUUUCCUUAAGGAAGAGUUGUAUAUGAUACAACCUGAAGGUUUUGUCGAUCCUAAGAAUGCUAACAAGGUGUGCAAGCUCCAGCGAUCCAUUUAUGGACCGGUGCAAGCAUCUCGGAGUUGGAACAAACGCUUUGAUGAGGUGAUCAAAGCAUUUGGGUUUACACAAGUGGUUGGAGAAUCUUGUAUUUACAAGAAAGUGAAUGGGAGCUCUGUGGCGUUUCUAAUAUUAUAUGUGGAUGACAUAUUACUGAUUGGAAACAACGUAGAGUUUUUAGAGAGCAUAAAGGAUUACUUGAAUAAAAGUUUCUCUAUGAAGGACCUAGGAGAAGCUGCUUACAUUCUAGGCAUUAAGAUCUAUAGGGAUAGAUCAAAACGCCUGAUAGGACUUUCGCAAAGCACAUACCUUGAUAAAGUUUUGAAGAGGUUCAAAAUGGAACAAUCCAAGAAAGGGUUCUUGCCAGUUCUACAAGGUACGAGAUUGAGUAAGACUCAGUGCCCAGCAACUGAUGAAGAUAGAGAGCAUAUGCGCUCCGUCCCCUAUGCUUCAGCCAUAGGUUCUAUCAUGUAUGCGAUGUUGUGCACUAGACCGGAUGUUAGCCUGGCCAUAAGUAUGGCAGGUAGGUUCCAGAGUAAUGCAGGAGUGGAUCACCGGACAGCGGUCAAGAAUAUCCUGAAGUACCUGAAAAGGACUAAGGAGAUGUUUCUCGUGUAUGGAGGUGACGAAGAACUCACCGUAAAAGGUUACGUCGAUGCAAGCUUUGACACAGAUCCGGACGACUCUAAGUCGCAAACCGGAUACGUAUUUAUUCUUAAUGGGGGUGCAGUAAGCGGGUGCAGUUCCAAGCAAAGCGUCGUAGCAGAUUCUACAUGUGAAGCGGAGUACAUGGCUGCCUCGGAGGCGGCUAAGGAGGGUGUCUGGAUGAAGCAGUUCAUGACGGAUCUUGGAGUGGUGCCAAGCGCACUGAAUCCAAUAACCUUGUUCUGUGACAACACUGGUGCCAUUGCCUUAGCAAAGGAACCACAGUUUCACAAGAAGACCAGACACAUCAAACGACGCUUCAACCUCAUCCGCGACUACGUCGAGGGAGAGGACGUGAAUAUAUGCAAAGUGCACACAGAUCUGAAUGUAGCAGACCCGCUGACUAAACCUCUUCCACGGCCAAAACAUGAUCAACACCAGAACUGUAUGGGUGUUAUAUUUAUUACAAUGUAAUUCACAUGGUGAUGUGAGGGCUAGAUUAUUGACUCUAGUGCAAGUGGGAGACUGUUGGAAUUAUGCCCUAGAGGCAAUAAUAAAUAUAGUUAUUAUUAUAAUUCCUGUAUCAAGAUAAUCGUUUAUUAUCCAUGCUAUAAUUGUAUUGAAUGAAGACUCAUUUGCAUGUGUGGAUACAUAGACAAAACACCGUCCCUAGCAAGCCUCUAGUUGGCUAGCCAGUUGAUCAAAGAUAGUCAGUGUCUUCUGAUUAUGAACAAGGUGUUGUUGCUUGAUAACUGGAUCACGUCAUUAGGAGAAUCACGUGAUGGACUAGACCCAAACUAAUAGACGUAGCAUGUUGAUCGUGUCAUUUUGUUGCUACUGUUUUUCUACGUGUCAAGUAUUUAUUCCUAUGACCAUGAGAUCAUAUAACUCACUGACACCGGAGGAAUGCUUUGCGUGUAUCAAACGUCGCAACGUAACUGGGUGACUAUAAAGGUGCUCUACAGGUAUCUCCGAAGGUGUUAGUUGAGUUAGUAUGGAUCAAGACUGGGAUUUGUCACUCCGUGUGAACGGAGAGGUAUCUCGGGGCCCACUCGGUAAUACAACAUCACACACAAGCCUUGCAAGCAAUGUAACUUAGUGUAAGUUGCGGGAUCUUGUAUUGCGGAACGAGUAAAGAGACUUGCCGGUAAACGAGAUUGAAAUAGGUAUACGGAUACUGACGAUCGAAUCUCGGGCAAGUAACAUACCGAAGGACAAAGGGAAUGACAUACGGGAUUAUAUGAAUCCUUGGCACUGAGGUUCAAACGAUAAGAUCUUCUUAGAAUAUGUAGGAUCCAAUAUGGGCAUCCAGGUCCCGCUAUUGGAUAUUGACCGAGGAGUCUCUCGGGUCAUGUCUACAUAGUUCUCGAACCCGUAGGGUCUGCACACUUAAGGUUCGACGUUGUUUUAUGCGUAUUUGAGUUAUAUGGUUGGUUACCGAAUGUUGUUCGGAGUCCCGGAUGAGAUCACGGACGUCACGAGGGUUUCCGGAAUAGUCCGGAAACGAAGAUUGAUAUAUAGGAUGACCUCAUUUGAUUACCGGAAGGUUUUCGGAGUUACCGGGAAUGUACCGGGAAUGACGAAUGGGUUCCGGGAGUUCACCGGGGGGGCAACCCACCCCGUGGAAGCCCAUAGGCCUUGAGGGUGGCACACCAGCCCUUAGUGGGCUGGUGGGACAGCCCAAAAGGGCUCUAUGCGCCAAGAAGAGAAAAUCAAGAGAAAAGAAAAAAAAGGAGGAGGUGGGAAGGAAGGGGGACUCCCUCCCACCAAACCAAGUCCAACUCGGUUUGGGGGGGAGUCCUCCCCCCUUGGACUCGCCGACCCCCUUGGGGCUCCUUGAGCCCCAAGGCAAGGUCCCCUCCCUCCCACCUAUAUAUACGGAGGUUUUAGGGCUGAUUUGAGACGACUUUUCCACGGCAGCCCGACCACAUACCUCCACGGUUUUUCCUCUAGAUCGCGUUUUUGCGGAGCUCGGGCGGAGCCCUGCUGAGACAAGGUCAUCACCAACCUCCGGAGCGCCGUCACGCUGCCGGAGAACUAUUCUACAUCUCCGUCUCUCUUGCUGGAUCAAGAAGGCCGAGAUCAUCGUCGAGCUGUACGUGUGCUGAACGCGGAGGUGCCGUCCGUUCGGUACUAGAUCGUGGGACUGAUCGCGGGAUUGUUCGCAGGGAGGAUCGAGGGACGUGAGGACGUUCCACUACAUCAACCGCGUUCACUAACGCUUCUGCUGUACGAUCUACAAGGGUACGUAGAUCACUCAUCCCCUCUCGUAGAUGGACAUCACCAUGAUAGGUCUUCGUGCGCGUAGGAAAUUUUUUGGUUCCCAUGCGACGUUCCCCAACGAAAUGUUGAUGGCGUGCAACUAUUGCUGACUUGAUGCCUCCACGGCAACGGAGCCAGAAAAGAGCUUCUUCCAGUUGCUCAACAAUUAGAAAUUGUCUUGCAAUAGCCCACCAGCGCGUGGGAUCGCGGCAGUUUUCGAGGGUAGAGUAUUCAACCCAAAUUUGUUGGUUCGCACAACGGGAAAUGAAAGAAUAUUCUCAAGUAUUAGCAGCUGAAUGCGUCAGAUUCAACCACACCUGAAAGAUUAGUGUCUGCGAGCAAGGUAUAAGCAGCAAAGUAGUAUGAUAGCAACGGUGCUAGAAACGAUCUGUUGACAAGGCAGACUAUUCCUAACUGUUGUAUCAAUGGCGCCAAUAAGUUACCCGUGGACGGGAAAUAUUCUUUCCCGGAAACGGUGCCAGCAAAAGUAUUGUAGCAGGUAGCAGCAGUGUAACGAGUAACAGCAGUGGCAAGGAACAGCAGUAGUGACAGCAGUAGCAAGUAGCAGAAGUAGCGAGUAACAGCAGUGGCAAGUAGAAGUAGUAGCGAGUAACCGUAGUAGCAAGUAACAGUAGUAGCAACAGCAGUGGCAGAAGCAGCAGGACAAAGCAAGUAACAGCAGCAGAGCAAAACAAGUAACACUGGCAGCAAGUAACAGUAGCAGCAACAGUAGUAACAGCAGCAGAGCAAAACAAGUAACAACAGCAGUGGGACAAACUCGUAGGCAAUGGAUCGGUGAUUUGUUGGAUGGCAUUCAUCAUGCAACAGUUAUAACACGGAGAGAUAUGUGACUAGCUCCCGUUCGUCAAUGUGAUGUAGGCAUGCAUUCCGUGUGUAGUCAUACGUGCUUAGGGAAAAGAACUUGCAUGACAUCUAUUGUCCAUCCCUCCCAUGGUAGUGGGGUCCAAAUGGAUACUACAGGAUAUUAAGGUUCUCCUUUUAAUAAAGAACCGGACCAACGCAUUGGCACUUGGUGAACACAUGAACUCCUCAAACUAUGGUCAUCACCGGGGGUGGUUUCGGUUAUUGUCACUCCGGGGUUGCAGGAUCGUAACAUAUAGUAGGUAACUACAACUUGCAAGAUCGGAUCUAAAACACACAUAUAUUGGUGACAACAUAAUAAUUUUAGAUCUGAAAUCAUGGCACUCGGGCCCUAAUGACAAGCAUUAAGCAUGGCGAAGUAGUAGCAACAUCAAUCUUAGAACAUAGUGGAUACUAGGGAUCAAUCCCCGUCAAAACUAACUCGAUUACAUGAUAGAUCUCAUGCUACUCAUCACUGCCCAGCGAGGCUAUGAAUAGAUUACUCACGGACGAUGAAGAGCUUCAUGGAAUUGGAGAGGGAAGAAGGUUCAUGAUGACGAUGGCGACGACCUCAUUGAUCCAGAGCCCAAAACGGACUCCAGAUCUGCCCUCCAGAUGAAGAACAGGAUGUGGCGGCGCCUCUGGAUCGAAAACAAGAUGAAAUCUUCUCUCUUGAUUUUUUCGGGAUGAAAGGGAAUAAAUAGAGCUGAGUUUGGGGGCGGCAGAGCCACGUGGGCCCCACAAGACCUGACGACGCGGCCUGGGGGGUAGCCGCGGCCACAGGGCUUGUAGCCCACUGGCUCACCCCCUCCGGUGGAUCUUUGCGCAGGUAUUUUUCAUAUUUUUCAGAAAUAUUCUUCGUAAAUUUUCAGGACGUUCCGAGAACUUUCAUUUCUGCACAAAAACAACACCAUGGCAAUUCUGCUGAAAACAGCGUCAGUCCGGGUUAGUUCCAUUCAAAUCAUGCAAAUUAGAGUCCAAAACAAGGGCAAAAGAGUUUGUAAAAGUAGAUACGAUGGAGACGUAUCAAACUCCGCCAAGCUUAAAACCUUGCUUGUCCUCAAGCAACUCAGUUGACAAACUGAGAGAGACAGAAAAAAACUUUGACAAACUCUGCUUGAUCUUGUUGUUGCAACUAUGUCUAAUUCAUAACCAGAAUUUCAGCAAGAUCACAAGUUAACCACAUAAGCAAAUGACACAAAGGUCUCACGGUAAACUAAUAUCAAUGGCAUAAUCAGCUAGCGAGCAAAUAAUAAUGAGUUUCAGAUGCCAACAAUUCAAUCAAAACAAGCAUGAUGGGUGGUAUCUCGCUAUCUCUUUCUGAGACCGCAAAACAUAAAUGCAGAGCACUUUCAAAGAUCAAGGGCUGACUAAACAUUGUAAUUCAUAGCAACAAAGAUCCAGUCAUAGUCAUACUCAAUAUCAAUCAAAAGCAAAGCAUAAAAAUGACAGAGGUGCUCUCUAAUUGGUGCUUAUAUAAGAGGAGGAUGACUCGACAGGAAAAUAAAUAGACAGGCCCUUCGCAGAGGGAAGCAUUGAUUUGCAGAGGUGCCAGAGCUCAAGCUUUGAAAACAGAGAUAAUAAUUUUGGGUGGCAUGCUUUCAUUGUCAAUGCAAUGACCAAGAGUUCUNNNNNNNNNNNNNNNNNNNNNNNNNNNNNNNNNNNNNNNNNNNNNNNNNNNNNNNNNNNNNNNNNNNNNNNNNNNNNNNNNNNNNNNNNNNNNNNNNNNNNNNNNNNNNNNNNNNNNNNNNNNNNNNNNNNNNNNNNNNNNNNNNNNNNNNNNNNNNNNNNNNNNNNNNNNNNNNNNNNNNNNNNNNNNNNNNNNNNNNNNNNNNNNNNNNNNNNNNNNNNNNNNNNNNNNNNNNNNNNNNNNNNNNNNNNNNNNNNNNNNNNNNNNNNNNNNNNNNNNNNNNNNNNNNNNNNNNNNNNNNNNNNNNNNNNNNNNNNNNNNNNNNNNNNNNNNNNNNNNNNNNNNNNNNNNNNNNNNNNNNNNNNNNNNNNNNNNNNNNNNNNNNNNNNNNNNNNNNNNNNNNNNNNNNNNNNNNNNNNNNNNNNNNNNNNNNNNNNNNNNNNNNNNNNNNNNNNNNNNNNNNNNNNNNNNNNNNNNNNNNNNNNNNNNNNNNNNNNNNNNNNNNNNNNNNNNNNNNNNNNNNNNNNNNNNNNNNNNNNNNNNNNNNNNNNNNNNNNNNNNNNNNNNNNNNNNNNNNNNNNNNNNNNNNNNNNNNNNNNNNNNNNNNNNNNNNNNNNNNNNNNNNNNNNNNNNNNNNNNNNNNNNNNNNNNNNNNNNGCUGAAUCUCGGACAACAAGCUAGUCAUAUUUACAAAAACAAAAUAGAUAGAGUUCAUACCAGCUUUUCCAGUCUCAGUCACUUCAUCAUAUAUCAUCAUUAUUGCCUUUCACUUGCACGAUCGUCCGAGUUUCAAGAUCUGUGCGGGUAUUGAAGUAACAGUGCUUGCUAUAACGGUACAGAGCGACCGCCUCCUGGAAGAGCGACUCGCGCUUUGCCUGGUCGGCCUAAGGAAAAGAUGAAGAUCAGAAGCAAAUAAGAUUUGGCCGGUCUAACACGAAGCCGCGCAGCCGGCCCGAAUCUCGGGGACUACAGCCAGUCGGUGCGCUAACGCGCACCCACCAUAGAAUAAACGGAAAGAAAGGUUCUGCGAAAAACUUACCUGCAACGCCUUCUCCACGAGCUUAAGGUUUCUCACCGCCGACUGGGCAAAUGUGAAAAUCCCGUGCUGGUACCGAGCCAACAGAUCGGCAGCCGUCGGCAACACCAUGGCCUGCCCGCCAGUCGAGGAGCUCGCCCCGGCCACAGCCGGGGCGCUGCUCAGCUUCCCCCACUCCUCCGUCACUUGGGACAACGACCGGGUCACCCGUCUUGUUCUAGCGGAAAGAGGCGCCGCCGGCGCAGCCAGAUUCGCCUACAUCACCGAAACAACCAUUGUCCGGUCGUCACCGCUCCUGGCCUUGGAAUCAGCCCGACUUCCCGAGUUGGACGCCAAACGCGACACCUCCUAGGCCACCGGUUCCCCAGCCGAUGGUGCCACCACCUCCGGGGGCGGCUCCUGAUGUACCUCCACCCGCGCCGGCAAGGCCCCCGCGACAGGCGCUUUAGGGGCCGAAGGUGCCAUGGCAUCACGCGUCGCCCCGGCCAAGGGGUCGCCAGUGCCGGUCACCGCAGCUGGCGCGGGCUUCGCCUUGGGCGCGCGAAGCUGAACGACAUGCUCCCGUUCGAGCCACACCUUAGCCACACGCUCCGCAACAAGCGGCGAGACCUAUUCGACCCCAAGGACCUGGCCUCACUCAGAAAACAAAACAAGAGAGCACGAGCUCAAAUGAUACGCAACAAAGAAAGCAAGAAAAGAAGGGGGCACUAGCCUCAAAGAAACCUUACCCGUCACCAAGGGGAAUCUCAUGGGCCCCCGCAUGAGCUUCCUCUACGUUGCCAGAAGAAUGCCCGCCGACAGCGCCGCGGACCGUACCUUCUUGGUGGCCGAGGCGCCAAUCGAGCCCUCGGCCGGCCACCUGUCCCUACGGCGUUCCUCCGCCUCCGGCCGGCAGCUCCGCGCUCUUUCCCCGACGAUGGCCCCAAGGUGGCCCCGUCAUAGCUGGCAUCUCCUCCAACACCUGCACGUCAUCGUCGCCAUCAUCAUCUGACCAAUCUCUCACAGAUCCGUCGGGAGGGAAACGCGAUGUCCCUGCUACUGCAACAAAAGACCUUCCAAUGGCGCCAGAAAUAGGUGUGUUGACGGCACUAGGAAUCCUUCUGCUACGGCUACGCCUUAAGGGACUUCCUAGGCAAAUAUGCAAAGGAUUUCCCCACUGGCCUUGGAGCCUUGCGUUGGUGUUCCCUCGAAGCGGAAAGGGUGAUGUAGCGCAGUGUUGGUAAGUAUUUCCCUCAGUUUGAGAGCCAAGGUAUCGAUCCAGUGAAGGAGUAUCACAAGAGCCUGCACAAACACAAAAGGCUUGCUCCCCAUGCUAUGAAGGGGUUGUCAAUCCCUUAUAGAUUGUUCGCCAAGUGAGAACUGAAAGCAACAAAGUAAUAAAGCAAAGUAAAAGAGAGAGUGGAAACGAUAGGUGUGAAUAGACCCAGGGGCCGUAGUGUUUACUAGUGGCUUCUCUCAUGAAAGAAAAUAGACGGUGGGUGAACAAAUUACUGUCGAGCAAUUGAUAGAACCUCGCAAAGUCGUGACGUCAUCUAUGGCAAUGAUUAUAUCUAUAGGCAUCACGUCCAAAACAAGUAGACCGAUACUUUCUGCAUCUACUACUAUUACUCCACACGUCGACCGCUAUCCAGCAUGCAUCUAGUGUAUUAAGUCCAAAAGAACAGAGUAACACCUUAAGCAAGAUGACAUGAUGUAGAUGGACAAUCUCAUAUCUACGACAGAGCCCACCUUGUUACCCUUGAUGGCAACUACACGAUGUGUGCCUUGCUGCCCCUACUGUCACUGGGAAAGGUCACCACACGGUAAGAACCCAAAACCAAGCACUUCUCCCAUUGCAAGAAUCAUAGAUCUAGUUGGCCAAACAAAACCCAAGACUCGGAGAGACUUACAAGGAUAUCAGAUCAUGCAUAUAAGAAAUCAGCAAAGACUCAAAUAUAUAUCAUAGAUAAUCUGAUCACAAAUCCACAAUUCAUCAUAUCUCGACCAACACACCGCCAAAGAAGAUUACAUCGGAUAGAUCUCCAUGAAGAUCAUGGAGAACUUUGUAUUGAAGAUCCAAGAGAGAAGAAGCCAUCUAGCUACUAACUACGUAGCCGUAGGUCUGAAGUGAACUACUCACGAGUCAUUGGAGGGGCUAUGAUGUUGAUGUAGAAGCCCUCCAACUCCAAAGUCCCCUCCGACAGGGCACCGGGAAGGGUCUCCAGAUGAGAUCUCGCGGAAACGGAAGCUUGCGGCGGCGGAGAAGUAUUUUCGUGGAUCCCUUGAUUUUUUUCUGAUUUUUAGGGAAUAUAUAGGCGCAAGAUCUAGGUCAGGGGGCGCCAGGGAGGCCCCAAGCCUGCCCACCGCCGCCCCCCUGGUGGCGGAGAGGGGGCUUUUGGGCUCCCUGUAGCCCUCCUGGCUUGGCCCACCAGCCCCCUGAUCUUCUUUCGUUCAGGAAAAAAUCAUUUCGGGGAUUUUAUUCCAUUUGGACUCCGUUCCAAAAUCAGAUCUGAAAAGAGCCAAAAACACAGAAAAACAGGAACUGCCACUUGGCAGUGAAUUAAGAAGUUAGUCCCAAAAAAGAUAUAAAAGGUACAUAAAACAUCCAAAGAUGACAAGAUAACAGCAUGAAACCAUCAAAAACUAUAGAUACGUUUGAGACAUAUCAAGCAUCCCCAAGCUUAACUCCUGCUCGUCCUCGAGUAGGGAAGUGAUAAAGAAUGAACUUUUGAUGCUUUCAUGCUACCUAGCAUAGAUGUCCUUUGUAACUCCUCUUAUGUGACGUGAAUAUUCAGAUCCAUUAGAUUCAAAACAAUAGUUUGCUAUUGACGUGGAAACAAUAAUAAUUCAAGCAAACUAGCAAGGUAAUCAUGAACUUUCAAAAUAACAAGGCCAAAAGAAAGUUAUCCCUACAAAAGCAUAUAGUCUGGCUAUGUUCUAUCAUCAUUGCACAACGAAUUUAAUAAUGCACAACCCCAGUAUUGGCCAAAUAAUUGUUUCACACCUUUACUUUCUCAAACCUUUUCAACUCUCACGCAAUACAUGAGCGUGAGCCAUGGUUACAGCACUAUAGAUGGUGUGGAGUGUGGUGGAGGUUGCGAGACAAAACAAGGAGAAGAUGGUCACAUUAACUAGGCAUAUCAAUGAGCUGUGGAGAUGCUCAUAAAUAGAUAUCAAUGUGAAUGAGUAGGGAUUGCCAUACAAAUGAUGCACUAGAGCUAAGAGUAUGUGAAAGCUCUUAAAGAAAACUGGUGGGUGUGCAUCCAACUUGCUUGCUCACGAAGACCUAAGGCAAUUUUGAGGAAGCCUAUUAUUGGAAUAUACAAGCGAAGUUAUAUAAUGAAAAAUUCCCACUAGUUAUAUGGUGGUGACAAAACGAGAGACUCUCAAUCAUGAAGAUCAUGGUGCUUAAUAUGCACAAGUGUGGAAAAGUGGUAACAUUGUCCCUUCUCUCUUUUUCUCUCAUUUUUUUUGGUGGGCUCUUUGGCCUCUUUUUUUAUUUUUUAUUUAUUUUGGUGGGCUUAUUUGGCCUCUUUUAUUUCCUCACAUGGGACAAUGCUCCAUCAAUGAUGAUCAUCUCACUUUCAACUCAAAACUUAGAGAAAUGAUGACUCUAUAUGGAUUGCCUUCGGUAGUGUAUCGUGGCAAUGAUCUAGCAUGGCAUAGACAUUAAUGGAAACAUCAUGCUAGCUAUCUUACGAUCAUGCAAUAGCAAUGUAGAUGUGAUGGCACAUGUCUUGGUGGUAGUUGCAUUGCAAUAUAUCUCGGAAUGACUUUGAAAAAGCUAUAGUAGGUAGGUAUGGUGGCUGUUUUGAGGGAGGCUAAUGGUGGGUUUUGUGCACCGGCGAAAGUUGCACGGCACUAAGAAGAUAGUGAUGGUGGAAGGUGAAAGUGCACCUAAACCAUGGACUCAACAUUAGUCAUGAACAAAUCAUAUACUUGUUGUAAAAGUUUUAUUAGUAAUCGAAACAAAGCAUUCAACGCAUACUCCUAGGGGAAGGGUUGGUAGGUAUAAACCAUCGCGCGAUCCCGACCGCCACGCGAAGGAUGACAAUCAAUAGACUAAUCAUGCUCAGAUUUCAUCACACAGUGGUUCACCAUACGUGCAUGCUACGGGAAUCACUAACUUCAACACAAGUAUUAAUAGAUCCAUAAGACCUUAAUAGCAAAACUUCAAUAUUACCAAAACCACAACUCAAAACUAAUUGAGAUGAAUCAAACUUCUCUAACUAUUCAAUGCACAUGAAGGUGGAAGUUUUCGUAUCCCUUUGGAUAACUACCCCUUUUGAGACUACUUUAAAAGCAUAGAUCAACUACCAAGCCACGCACCGCUGUGCUCUAAAAGAUAUAAGUGAAGCACAUAGAGAAAAAGUAUCUAUCUCAAAAUAUAUAAGUGAAGCACAUGUGAGCUGAAUUGUCUACCAAAAGAUAAAAGUGAAGCUCGACAAAAUCACGGUGGGUGCAUGUCUCUCUCUCUAGGUGUGCAGCAAGGAUGAUUGUGAUACAACAAAAAUAAAAGACUCCUACGAUACAAGACGCUCCAAGAAAAAACACAUAACAUGUGGUGAAUAAAAAUAUAGCCCCAAGUAACGUUACCGAUGGAUUGAAGACGAGAGAGGGGAUGCCUUCCCGGGGCAUCCCCAAGCUUAGGCUUUUAAGGCAUCCUUGAAUCUCUUGGGGUGCCUUGGGCAUCCCCAAGAUUGAGCUCUUGCCACUCUUUAUCUCUUUGUCCAUAAGAACUUCACCCAAAACUUGAAAACUUCACAACACGAAACUUAAACAGAAACUCAUGAUAACAUUAGUAUGAGAAAGCAAACCACCACUUCCUUAGGUAUUGUAGCAAACUUAAAUUCUACUUAUGCUGAUGUUGGGUUACUGUAUUUUCAAUCUUCCAUGGCUAAUACCCCCCGAUACUAUCCAUAGUUUCAUCAAAAUAAGCAACAAACACAACAAAAACAUAAUCUGUUAACAGCAGACCAGUCUGUAGCAAUCUGUAUAUUUCGUACACUUUUGAUACUUCAAAACUUCUGAAAAAUUACGACAGUCUGAAGAAUUUGCGUAGCAAUUAGCAGCAAAAAGAAUCAACUCAAAAUCUCUUAGAGAAAAAACAUAAAAUUCUUUUCGUGAGUAGAAAGUUUCUGUCUUUUCCAGCAUGACCAAACGAUCAUCCCCAAGACUAAUAAUAACGGUUUUGCUUGGCACAAACGCAAAAAGAAACACAAAAAACACAAUCGUAACAGAAUUAUGAAAGUUGGAAAACACAAACCAGAAAUACAAAGGAUAGUUUCGUUGCGUUGCCUCCCAACAAGCGCUUUUGACGCCCUUAGCUAGGCAUUCAAUGAUGCUCUCUCAAAAGACAAGAAUUGAAGCACAACGAGCGCAUCCUAAAGCAUGUGAAAAUCACAUCUAAGUCUAACAUACUUCCUAUGAAUAGGAAUUUUAUAGGAAAACAAAUUGGCAAGACAACCAAUAGUUACCAAAUGCAAGGAAGAAGAAAGAGACAAUAGCAAUCUCAACAUAACGAGAGGUAAUUUGGUAACAUGGAAGUUUCUACCACAAUAUUUUCCUAUCUCAUAGCAAUUGCAUGUGGGAUCAUAUUCAAAUUCAACAAUAUAGCUAUCCAAUAGGAUAUUCUUUUCAUGAUCCACAUGCAUGCAAAGUUGAUGCUCUUCAAAAAUAGUGNNNNNNNNNNNNNNNNNNNNNNNNNNNNNCUCUUCAAAAAUAGUGGGAUUAUCAUCAACUAAAGUCAUGAGUUCUCCAAUCCCACUUUCAAUAUUAUUGCAAAUAUCAUAUUAAUCAUGAGGCUUGAACAAAUUUUCAAGAUCGUAAGAAAGAUCAUCACCCCAAUCAUGAUUAUUGCAACAAGUAGGGGACAUAGCAAAGCUAGCAUCCCCAAGCUUAGGGUUUUGCAUAUUUUUAGCAUGAUUAUCACUAAUAGGACUUAUAGUGAAACCAUUGCAAUCAUGCUUUUCAUUCAAGGAGCCCUCGUGAAUCACUUCAUAAGUUUCUUCAUCACGAUUUUCAGAUUCACGCAUCUCAAGCAAAACUCCAUAAAGAUAGUCAAGUGCACUCAACUCACUAGCAAUUCGUUCCACAUAAGUGGGUCUAUUAAAGAGAUUAGCUAGUGGAUGAGGAUCCAUAUCAAUAGAUUUUCAGCAAGCAAAGAUGCAAACAUAAUGAAGGCACAUAGCACACAAGCGAACAGAAAGCAAGCGAGAGAAAAGGACGAACGAAAAAGGCAAAGGAGAAAGGCAAAUGAAAACGGCAAAUGUAAGUGGGGGAGAGGAAACCGAGAGGCAACUGGCAAAAAAGUAAAUGCAAGAGAUGAGUUUGUGAGACCUACUUGGAUAGAUCUCUCCUUCCCCGGCAACGGCGCCAGGAAUACUUCUGCUACUGCAACAAAAGACCUUCCAAUGGUGCCAGAAAUAGGUGUGUUGACGGCACCAGGAAUCCUUCUGCUACGGCUACGCCUUAAGGGACUUCCUAGGCAAAUAUGCAAAGGAUUUCCCCCGUGGCCUUGGAGCCUUGCGUUGGUGUUCCCUCGAAGCGGAAAGGGUGAUGCAGCGCAGCGGUGGUAAGUAUUUCCCUCAGUUUGAGAACCAAGGUAUCGAUCCAGUGAAGGAGUAUCACAAGAGCCUACACAAACACAAAAAGCUUGCUCCCAACGCUAUGAAGGGGUUGUCAAUCCCUUAUAGAUUGUUUGCCAAGUGGGAACUGAAAGCAACAAUGUAACAAAGCAAAGUAAAAGAGAGAGUGGAAACGAUAGGUGUGAAUAGACCCGAGGGCCGUAGUGUUUACUAGUGGCUUCUCUCAUGAAAGCAAAUAGACGGUGGGUGAACAAAUUACUGUCGAGCAAUUGAUAGAACCGGGCAAAGUCGUGACGUCAUCUAUGGCAAUGAUUAUAUCUAUAGGCAUCACGUCCAAAACAAGUAGACCGAUACUUUCUGCAUCUACUACUAUUACUCCACACGUCGACCGCUAUCCAGCAUGCAUCUAGUGUAUUAAGUCCAAAAGAACAGAGUAACGCCUUAAGCAAGAUGACAUGAUGUAGAUGGACAAUCUCAUAUCUACGACAGAGCCCACCUUGUUACCCUUGAUGGAAACUACACGAUGUGUGCCUUGCUGCCCCUACUGUCACUGGGAAAGGUCACCACACGGUAAGAACCCAAAACCAAGCACUUCUCCCAUUGCAAGAAUCAUAGAUCUAGUUGGCCAAACAAAACCCAAGACUCGGAGAGACUUACAAGGAUAUCAAAUCAUGCAUAUAAGAAAUCAGCAAAGACUCAAAUAUAUAUCAUAGAUAAUCUGAUCACAAAUCCACAAUUCAUCGGAUCUCGACAAACACACCGCCAAAGAAGAUUACAUGGGAUAGAUUUCCAUGAAGAUCAUGGAGAACUUUGUAUUGAAGAUCCAAGAGAGAGAAGAAGCCAUCUAGCUACUAACUACGGACCCGUAGGUCUGAAGUGAACUACUCACGAGUCAUUGGAGGGGCGAUGAUGAUGAUGAAGAAGCCGCCGCCCCCUGGUGGCGGAGAGGGGGCUUGUGGGCUCCCUGUAGCCCUCCUGGCUUGGCCCACAAGCCCCCUGGUCUUCUUCCGUUCGGGAAAAAAUCAUUUCGGGGAUUUUAUUCCGUUUAGACUCCGUUCCAAAAUCAGAUCUGAAAAGAGCCAAAAACACAAAAAAACAGGAACUGGCACUUGGCACUGAAUUAAUAAGUUAGUCCAAAAAAAGAUAUAAAAGGUACAUAAAACAUCCAAAGAUGACAAGAUAACAGCAUGAAACCAUCAAAAAUUUUAGAUACGUUUGAGACAUAUCAGUCCGCCCUACCGGGCGCGGUGCCGGCCUCCCCCUCCUCGUCCUCCUCAACAUUGUCGUCCUCCUCCGUCGCCUCCGGCGCAUCCGAAACUUCGGGGCCUUUAGGGACGUCCCCAUCCGACUCGUCGUCUUUGGUGUCAGAAUUAUCCUGAUCCGGGGCAAAGCACUCCGGAUUCGGGUCGUACGACAUGUUGUGUCGAACAAAAAGUUGAGGGAAGGCAUGACCACGCGUCAGAUACUACAGAAAGGAAAAAAGGUGACGACUUCAGUCAGACGAAAGCUUACCGGUGGUGCACGGUUGCCACGGUGGAACGGUGGCAUUGCCGAAUCUCCACUCCUCCUCGUGCAGCUAGAAGUUGGUGAUUUUGUUCACCCUGGCGGCAACUUUGCUCAAUUGCAUGUCCACCUUUGAUAGCUGGCAUGGGUCCUUGCGGCCGCUCAUGUUGCACAUCUGGUGCGGCCGCACUUGCAGCGGCAGCACCCGACAGGAAACAAAGGCCGCCACCACGUCUGAGGCCACCAUCCCCAGGAAGCCCAUGAGCUCCUGCAGCCGGCCGCCGAUCGACCCCAGCUUGUCGUUGUGUAGCUCGAGAUCCCAGUUCUCCCCAAUCGGUGGCACGUCGGCAAAAGGUGGGAGGUUAACCAAGUCCCAUCCCGGGUCGAUGUUGCGGACGUAGAAGAAGGUGCGCUGCCAUUUUUUGAAGGACUCCUUCCACUUCAUCUAUGGAAACAUCCUGUUGUGCCGCUUGUACACCAUCGCACCGACGCAGGAGUAUAGCAUGUUGUCAUGCGCCUCGGUGUGGAAAUGGAAGAAGCGGCGGAAGAAGAAGCAAAACGGCCAAAAACCCAGCUACGACUCGCAUAGCGUGGUGAAGAACACAAGGUACAAAACGGAGUUAGGCCCUAGAUGAUGCAUCUGGAGACGGUAGAAAUCAAGAAAAUGUCGCAGGAAGAGGCUCCUCGGCAGCCCAAAGCCGAUGAGGGAGUGUGUAGCAAAUACAACAUGCUCGCCGGUGCAGGGCUCCGGCGCGCGGGCCCCGGCGACCUCCGCCAACGGGAGCUUCCGCGUCCACUGGAGGUAGUCGAUGUGCUCGUCCGUCAUCACCAAGCCCUCCCAUGAGCUGACGGGUGGCCCGUCCAUCUCGUCAGUCGCUGGUGGUGAAGCGGAGAAAAGGAGGUGAGAGACGUGGCUCCCCAGCAGAUCGACCGCAAUGGCUGGGAAGGUGCUGCAUGUGAAGGAGGGAGGUAUGGCGGCGGUGUCUGGUGUGGGAGAGAGGAGGGGCAAUGGCUGGGGCGAGAGCUGCGGGCACGGGGAGGAAGGAUGACGACGGCGAGCACCAGCGCAAGGGUGAAAUGGAGAUGCGAGCGAUAGGAGGCAAUUGCGAAACUGGCCUCCCCUCCCCCUUUUUAAAGCCUCGAGGGAUGCAUGGGGCGUGGGAUAGGUUACCCCCACGUCCCCCACUAACCCAUGAUCCCCCGCGUGGAUUAAACUGCAAGGGGAACCCCAACCGUCGCCCAGCAGCCACAGAAGAUCCCGCGCAUGGGCCAAGGCGUGCCAGGCCAGGCCUGCAGAGAUAUCCCAUCGCACUCGCGGUGGUGGUCCAUCAUUCGCCUCCGGCCCACACGUGGCAUGCGCCAGCAAGCUCCAAGCCUGAGGCGCCGCUCCGUCCAACUAAGCCACAGCUAGCGGGGGACACGCGUCCCCGCCCGCUGGCUCUCGCAAGCGUAUCAACUUUGACAACACCUUCAACAGAGGGGCGGAUAAACUGCUAGCCCCCUCACCCAGAGGCCUCCGGUCCCCAACGGUUUCAGGGGCUACUGAUGGGGAUAUGGCCCCUGGGUAUACCAAAGAGGACGGAAUCCCUCUCCAAGACAUUCGGGCAGGUAGGCCUCCUCUUGGCUGGCUGGGUACAGGCGGCUCACCUUGCCACCGUGUGGAUGGCCGGCUAGCGGCAUUUGACCCGUCCGACUGGCCACAGACGGCCCGCCAGGACAACGCACGGCGGGCCGGUUGGCACCAGCUAGCGGGUCAACGCCUGUCCCAUCGGGUCAUACUAACGUACGACAAACAAGACCAUACACUCACUGCAGGGGCGCGCAUGGCUACAGUGCGCGUUGACAUACAUGGCAGAGCUACACGCAUCAUGAUGCAAGGCUCGGCGUGGCUACAAUGCCAUCGGUCAUGCCUGAGGCUGGCCGGGCGAGGCGGCCCUGUAACUGGGGCCUACCCCUACCAACUCCCUCGCAUUCGGCGCAUUAUUCGCUGUAGCACACGUCCCCCGGGACCCGCACCGGACAAGACACGACACCCGACAGGCCCCGCAGCCAGCCAGAGAGGCUCGCGGUCGGGCCCCGCACCCCAUUUCUACCCAUUAUUGUAUACAUUUGGCUGCACUAUAAAUCCCAACCCCAGUCCCCUGAGAGAGUGGGGAGCAACUAGUGAAUCCUUAGACACACACCACCGAGGAAGGGAGAGCUUCGCCUCCCUCCUCACAAAUAUCUCAAGGAGCACCAUUGUAUUGUGAUAUCAUAUAGUCUCACCGGUAGGACUAGGGGUUUUACCUCACCGAGGGCCCUGAACCUGGAUAGAUCGGCGGCAUGUGUAUCGCGCCAUCACCCAUUCACAUACGCCGUCGGCGCCCAUCGGCCCCAAAUCACAAUCUAAGCCACCCCUGGAAUCUACCAUGGAAAUACCAUGACACUCAUGCCACGUAUGCCAUGCGUGUGUGGACAACCUCGGAGACAGGUUUGUCAGGGUAAAUAUGUGACCGUGAAACUGAUAUAUCGUGGCAAUGAGAGUGAUCAGUGAGGACAUAUCGAGGUGUGAUGGUGGUAACCCUAUUGAAUAUUUUUAGAAAUUUUGUGGUGCUAACCCUUGCAGGAAAACUUAAACCUCCUGAGUUAACCGUAGAUCGAGUCUUGUGCCCGUAACCCUCAUACUUGAAUUGUGCUACCACUUGUCCCUGCCAUGGGUAGGGUGCGGUUUAGUAAGUCGUCGACCCCUUUUCUUGCCCACACCGUACAGAGAGGCCAUAGUGGAAUAUACCAGUUGCAACUGGUUGGCAUGCCACUUGGUCUGGGGGCAUGGGUGUUUCCGACCUAGGGCCGAGAGGGGGGCACACCUAAGUAGUUCCUCGUAUAAAUUUGAUCCCAUGCUAAGUAGAGAUUGUAAUAUUCCCACUCAGAGUCUUACUUAAUGACUGCCAUGGGUGAUCCCAGGCAUCGGGAAGUUAAACUGGUGUGUGCGGGUCAGAUGUGUUUUUAACUCAAAAACCAUAAUCGGAACUAAUUGACAUCUCUGGUUGACUAAAGAACUUUGUUACUCUUUGGUAACGAGUACACCCUCUGCAAAGUUACAUAUCUAUUUGAAUAGUCGUCUUCACAGGUAAGGACUACAGUCUAGGCUAAGUCAAGUGUUGGUAUGAGUGUCGUUCUUCGUAGGAAUUAAUUGAAACAUGAUGAUGAUCGUGAACCGUGAUGAUAAUCGUAGUUAUUAUAAAUCGUAUUGUGGACUAAUCAUUUCUGGUAUAUUAAAUUUUGAGUAUCCUUGGGACGGUUCUACCUCUUGGAUAAUCAAUGUUAUUACUUUCACAUAAGCCCUUUAUGUGGUGUCGCUCAGACGUCCGACUACGGCAGCAGCUAUUAUUUUCAUAUAACCCCUUUAUGUGGUGUCGCUCAGACGCCCGACUGUGGGAAUUGUUAUUAGUCUCAUAUAAGCCCUUUAUAUGGUGUUGCUCAAACACCCGACUGUGUCAACUGUUAUUACUUUCAUAUAAGCCCUUUAUAUGGCGUUGCUAAGACGCUCGACUCUGGCAUGCAUGCUAUUACUUAUUCGUCUUUAUUAUAUUCUUAUAAGCCAUUUUUUGGUAUCGCUCCAGACGCCCACUGCGACACACAUAGUAUUAUUUCAUUAUAAGACCUUUAUGCGGUGUCACCCCAGACGUCCGACUGUGGCAUUACUUUCGUUAUGCUAAUAUAAUCCCCUUUAUGUAGCGUCACUUCGAUGCCCGACUAUGGCUUAUAUUGCUUAUCCUUUCAAGGUGUCGUCUUAGACACCUGAUCGACACAUUUAAAUUGAUUGUUACUCUCUACCUUUUUGUUUAUACAUCAUGAGUAGGAAUGAUUUAUAUGCAUGGCUGCAUCCGUGAAUUAAAUCUUAUGGCAUGUGAGGUGUUAUUAAAAAUGUUGUGCAUGCAUCCCACCUGCUUUAACUUAUCUGUCUUCAUGAUGUUUGCACGUACAUUCAAAGUACUCAUUGGCUUGUCCGUGGCUAUUGUCUUGCCCAGAUUGCAUAUUUGGAGAGGAGCAUGAUGAUAUCAACCCUAGAACCUAGGAGACGGGGAUAGCAGCCUUGUGAGAUAGGAGUUAUCCACGUCAGUUGUUCCUGUGGGAAUGGAGUCCCAUGGACGCUGGAGAUCCACGAGUCGUUAUCGUUGUCAGCCCUUAGACCUUUUGUUCAACCCCAUGGACCUUCAUGAUCUUGUACCCCAAAUUUUUUAUUUUUGCUUGGAAUUUCGUUAUCAAGUGAGUGCCCACCAGCUAACAGUAAUCAUGGGGUUGGUGAACACAAGGGCCUAUUUUCUGGAAAUUUUUAUCCCAAAAAAACGGUCGCUACACUCGUACUCAUUGCGGUUGUCCUAGGUGCCUCAUGGUGGCACAAGCGAGCUGCCAAUCGAAUGCUCUGCUCUUUGGCGUCGAAGGCGGCGAUUCUAGAGGAUGUCAUUCUCCUCUUGAUGAUGUCGUUCUAGUUGUCCUCACCAUGCAUGGGUUUUAGGUGAAGACCCUUGUCCGUUUUGGACUCGCUCGUGGCGACGCUUUACACUGUCUCCCCUCCUCAGGGCAUUGUCGUGGAACUUAGAUGUCCUAGGCGUGUACUGGUCUUGUGUUCAGCCCUUCUCGUGUAAACUUUCGACAACAUAGUCACGUGCGUUUAUGUUGUCUGGUUAUCCAAGGAUAUGCUUUAUAAGAGGGCUUCCUCAUUACUUUGUAUCAUUUUUAUAUAUUCGUUAUAAAGUGAGGUGAGGGCCUGUUUCGAGAGUGUCGUCUGAAAUCUUCUGCAAACGACAAGGUUGGCAUCGAUGUACUACUAGAAGAGAUCGUGUCCCCAUGAGUGUGCUUGAUGCAUCGUUUGGGUUGUUUUAUCACCAAUUGUUUUUCCUUAAAAAAAGAAGGAUUACACCCUGCCUCUGCAUCAGAUGAUGCAUGCAACCAUUUUUUAUCUCGUGAUGCAUGGUAUCCCUUGUUUGUCUGUCCUGAAAGGUUACUAAGAGCAGGCCAAUCAUUGAUGGUUACAAACAACAACGCUUGUAGGUCAAAUUCCUGUUGUUUGUGCUCAUCCCACACACGUACACCUUUGAUAUCCCACAACUGUAAAAGUUCUUCAACUAAUGGCCUCAGUUACACAUCAAUGUCGUUGUCGGGAUGUUAGGGGCCUUGGAUGAGCACUGGCGUCAUAAUGAACUUCCGCUUCAUGCACAACCAAGGAGGAUGGUUAUAGAUACAUAGAGUCACAGGCCAGGUGAUAUGAUUGCUGCUCUGCUCCCUAAAAGGAUUAAUGCCAUCUGCACUUAAACCAAACCAACAGUUCCUUGGGUCAUCUGCAAAGUCCGGCCACUCUUUCUCGAUUUUCCUCCAAUGUGACCCAUCUACGGGUACUCCCGACUUCCCCUCUUUCUUACGUUCGUCUUUGUGCCAUCGUAUGAACUUGGCAUGCUCUUUGUUUUGGAACAAACGUUUCAACCGUGGUAUUAUAGGAGCAUACCACAUCACCUUGGCAGAAAUCCUCUUCCUCGGACGCUGGACCUCAACAUCCUCACGAGGGUCAUCGCGGCCGAUCUUAUAGCGCUCGGCACCACAUACCGGGCAUGCAUUCAAAUUCUCAUACUCCUCACCACGGUACAGGAUGCAUUAAUUAGGGCAUGCAUGUAUCUUCUGCACCUCUAAUCCUAGCGGGCAUAUAGUCUUCUUUGCUUCAUACGUACUGUCGGGCAAUUCGUUGUCCUAUGGAAGCAUCUUCUUUAACAAUUUCAGCAACUUUUCAAAACCCUUGUCAGAUACACCAUUCUAUGCCUUCCAUUGCAGUAAUUCCAGUGUGGUACCCAACUUCUUCUUGUCAUCUUCGCAAUUUGGGUACAACAAUUUCUUGGGAUCCUCUAACAUGCGCUGCAACUUCAGCUUCUCCUUUCCACUUGUGUGGUUUCUCUUUGCACCAGCAAUGGCCCGACCAAGAUCAUCAGCGGGCUCAUCUGGUGCCUCUACUUCAGCUUCUUCCCCCAUUGUAGUACCAUCGUAUUCAAGGAACGAAGGAUAGUCGUCGUCAUCAUCUUCUUCAUUCUCUUCCAUUAGAACCCCUCUUUCUUCAUGCUUGGUCCAACAGUUAUAGCCGGACAUGAAACCAGACGUAAACAGUUGGACGUGAAUGACUCUUGACUUAGAGUAAGUUUUAUCAUUCUUACACGUAGUGCAUGGAAAACACAUAAAACAAUCCCGUUGGUUUGCCUCAGUCGUACGCAGAAAACUCUUCAAGCCACUAAUGAACUGGGGAGAGUGUCGGUCAUCGUACAUCCAUUGCCGGUUCAUCUUCAUUACACAAGACCGAAAAGACCAAAUUAAUACAACUUCAUGCAUAUGGUCCAUACACACUUAUUCUCAUAAAACAUAGAAGAGUUUCUAGAUAAAGCAUUUAAAUGCAAGAACAAAUGCGGUCAAGAUCUUCUAAGGUAACAAUUCAUCCAACAGCAUAGUGAUACCAAGCCUUUUUAUUAAGGGCAUACUUUCUAAUCCUUCUAUUCUUCAAGCGCAUUGCAUCCAUCUUGAUCUUGUGAUCAUCGACGACAUUGGCGACGUACAACUCCAAUAUCAUCUUCUCUUCUUCAACUCUUUUCAAUUUUCCUUUCAAAUCUUCGUUUUGUUUUUCAACUAAAUUUAACUUCUCGACAAUAAAGUCCGUUGGAAUUUCCGAUUCAACUACCUCGUAGAUAAAAAUAUCUAUGCCAACUUCAUGGGCAUAAUUGUCAUAAACACAAAAUGCAACAAAUAGUUAAAAAAGAGAAUAUACCACAUCUGAAUCGUAAACCAGACAAGGGCCGACGGGCACGGAUAUCAAAACCAUGGCACUAUGUAUAAUAAACAAUCAUACAUGUAAAAAAUUAUACAGGUAACUAUCUAAAUCAUAGAAAUAAGAUCUUUUUUGUAAAAUCGAUAAGAACAAGGGGCUCACCAAGGUGGUGCCAACGGCGACGGGACGGUGCGGGCGACCAACGGGUCUUAGGACAGGGACGACACUAAGUAAACCACACCUACACAUAUGCAAACUAGCAAGUUAAUUUGAGCUCAAAUUGCAUAUAAAUCAAAUAAACUACCAAAUAGUUACUCCCAAACUAAAAUCCACAAAUCAAUACUUAUAGAGCAUUGCACGACAUGAAAGGACAAAGUUGCUAACCUUUGUGAACACUUGGAGAGAUGGGGUGCCUCAAACCUUGACAAAUCUUGAAAAAAAAUGGAGGUUGAGCUCGAGCCAAAUGGGAGAACAGAGAGGGGAAUGGAGAAAACAGAGCAAUGUGCUUGUGCUGGACAAAGAGGUUUAUAUAGGAAAAUAUUUAAUCCCGAUUUGUAUCACAAACCGGGGCUAAAGUUCUACCUAUAGUCCCGGUUUAGGAUACAAACCGGGACUAAAGGAGCUACUCGGAGCCCCAGCCUGACACAAGACUAGACUGCCACCAACACUUUAGUCCGGGUUUGUCUCACAAACCGACAAACCGGGACUAUAUGUCCAAAUAGAACCGGAACAAAUGGUGCCGUCCCCCCCGACUGCUCCUAGCCAUAGGAACCGGGACUAAUGGUCACAUUAGUCCUGGUUCAAAAACAAAUCGGCACUAAAGGCUCAAACGAAAGACCUAUUUUCUACUAGUGGUGUAACAUUUCGUUUAGCUCAUUCGAAGUGUUUAGCUUCAAUGUAUUGUUUUUCUUAUUUUCUGGUACAACACAACUCCCCUUUGGAAUUUGGAGGUUCUUGGGGUUAACCUGAUUUGUUUAUCCGUUUCACGAGCAAAGAAAUCGAAACUACGACGACAAUAGCCGGACGGACUCCGCAUGAGUGGAAUAUUCAACAGAUUGUUCACUUUGGCUCAACGUAUGGACGGCUCGAUGUUCUUCACCGUGCGGAAAUCGUUCAGAGGUUGUCGUACGUGUGUGUGUAGUAGCACUCCAAACAAACUGAGUGGAGAGCUCCAUCACUCGAAGUAAGGAUUAUCAGUAUGUAAAAAUAGAGAAAACAAAUUCCCAACAUAUAUCAUUGAAAAAUUAAAGUGCAAUUGAUUAUAUGUUAUUUAGAAGGCAGUAGCAUGUGAUACUUAACGCAAAUAAUACUUACAUUUCCUCAUGGUGGCACAAGCGAGCUGCCGAGCAAAUGCUCCGCCCUUUGGCGCCGACGGCAGCGAUGCUAGAGGAUGUCCUUCUCCUCUUGACGAUGUCGUUCUCGUUGUCCUCAUCGUGUGUGGGUUUUGGGUGAAGACCCUUGUCCGUUUUGGACUCGCUCGUGGCGACGCUUUACACUGUCUCCCCUCCUGAGGGCAUUAUCGUGGAACUUAGAUGUCCUAGGCGUGUAGUGCCGUUGUGUUCAGUCCUUCUUGUGUUAACUUUCGACAAUAUAGUCACGUGCGUUUAUGUUGUCUCGUUAUAAGGAUAUGCUUUGUAAGAGGGCUCCCUCAUUACUUUGUAUCAUUUGUUAUAUUUUCGCUAUAAAGUGAGGCGAGGGCUUGUUUCGAGAGUGACGUCUGCAAACGACAAGGUCGGGCGGCGAUGUACUACUAGAAGAGAUCGUGUCCCCUUGAGUGUGCUAGAUGCAUCAUUUGGCUUGUUUUAUCACCAAUUGAUUUUUCUUUAAAAAAGAAGGAUUACCCUUUGCCUCUGCAUCACACAAUGCAUGCAGUCAUUUUUUGUCUCCGGAUAUAACUGAUUCGAAGUGUUCAGCUUUAAUAUAUUGUUUUUCUUAUUUUCUCAUACAACAUAACUCCCCUUUGGAGUUUGGAGGUUCUUGGGGUUAACCUGAUUUGUUUACCCAUUUCACGAGCAAAGAAAUCGAAACUAUGACGACAGUAGCCGGACGGAAUCCGCAUGAGUGGAGUAUUCAAUGGACUGUUCACUUUUGACUCAACGCAUGGACGACUCGAUGUGCUUCACCGCACGGAAAUCGUCCACAGGUUGUCGUACGUGUGUGUAGCAGCACUCCAAACAAACUGAGUGGAGAGCUCCGUCACUCGAAAUAAGGAUUAUCAGUAUGUAAAAAUAGAGAAAAAAAAUUCCAAACAUUUAUCAUUGACAAAUUAAAGUGCAAUUGAUUAUAUGUUAUUUAGAAGGUAGUAGUACAUGACACUUAACGCAAAUACCACUUACAUUUCCUCAUGGUGGCACAAGGGAGCUGCCGAGCAAAUGCUCCGCCCUUUGGCGCCGACGGUGGCGAUGCUAGACGAUGUCCUUCUCCUCCACUACAACAAAUAUGCUCAUACAUGACGUUCUUUAAGAUGUCAUUGAUGAAUUCAUCAUAAAUCUAUGACGAUUUCAUCCGAGAUUGUCGUAAGCCGUUUGAGGGGAUCAAAUCUACAUAUAAAUUACGACGAUGUGAGUCAAAAACGUCGUAACCGCAUAAGAUGAGAUCGUCAUAACUUUUACGAUGAUUAUCGAAAUAUCGUAACAUGUUCUAACUAUGUUGACAUGUCACUCGUGGGUCCAUUCUAUCUCACCUCAUCCUAGUUUGUGAAGCAACCUAUUAUUAUGUCAUUCCAAAAAUUCUUGAAAAAUUCUCAUAAAUACUUUGGAUCAUAUAUUUCUCAAAUAUGUGAAAACCCUUCCUUCCAUAGUUCAAAAAUAAUUCAGCAAUAUUCAUUUUCCUAUCCUAUUCAGAAUAGUACUUUGUGAAGGAAGUGCNNNNNNNNNNNNNNNNNNNNNNNNNNNNNNNNNNNNNNNNNNNNNNNNNNNNNNNNNNNNNNNNNNNNNNNNNNNNNNACUCUUUCCUAUCCAAAUCAUUGUCUCAUGAAAACUUUCGUAACGAUUUGCCUAGUAAAUCUUUCUCGGCAAAUUUCGAAAGUUUGUGUUCAGCUAACAGCUUUGUGAAGGAAGUACUAGAUAGGAAUAUCCUUAUGAGUUGAAUUUUUUCCACAUCUUCUAUGUGCCCAAAACAUAGCUCUCCACAAAAUUUUAGCCCCAUCUCACAAUCCAUGUGAGCUCAUCAUCCAAUCUUUGGUUCUGGUAAAAUUUUAGCCUUAAGCAACAUUGUUUGGCAUUCCAAUAUGCACCCUUGUGCAUAAUAUUAGAUCAUUUGAACAAAAUAUGAGCUAGAAAGGUCGCAAAUGCAUAGAACACGGUGAUCAUACAUAAAAUGUGGUCUAAGUUGAGUGAAAAUUUCAGUGAUGCCCUUUUGCACAAUAUUUUUGAUAGCUGGUUCACAAAAUCUACUUAUUUUUAGCACUUAGAAAUUAGUAUUUUUAAUCGUAGAUGUUUCCAACCAAUGAUAACUAUUCCCAUGGAUUAUCCCACUAUAUCCAAUCUAAGCCGUCCACACUCGAUGGACGGCUCGGUGGAGGUUGGUGUGACAUCCUCAACUAUUGUUAUAGUAACAUAUGUAAUUAAGCUACAGUGAUUCCACACUAAUGUUGCCACGUCACCAUGAUUUCUAUUGUUGAUCUCGCGUUAGUUCAAACGGUUCAAAUUUGAAAUUAAAAAUAAAAUCAAGCGAUAAAAGUUUUGGAAUGUCAAAAUAAAAAUGUUUGGGUGUGUCGGAUAUUACCUAAGAGAAUUGUCCUUUUGAAAUUAUUAAUUUUAAGGGGUUUUAUUGCGCUAAAAUAAAAUAAAACUAAAGCUGUUAAAUAGUGAAAUAAAAACAGAAACACAUAAUAGAAAGGCGGAAAGAAACCCCCUUAUCCAAACUGGGUCGACCCCAGCUAGCCCACCUAACGGGGUGUAUUUAACCUCCAUCUAACCCUAAAUCGAGCGAGAGCCUCAUUCCCACUCCACCCCACGCCGCCACCCCAUCCACGAGUCCCACGGCGCCCCUUCUCCCUCUCGUCCCGUGUCCCCAUCGCCCCCCUCGCUCUCUCUCCCACGGCGCCAUCGCCGACCGCGCCGGCCCUCCCUCCCCUCGCUCACCUCACCCCGCCGCCGCGACCCCCCCCCCUCAACCGGAGCGCCCCUGCGGGUCUCGGGCAUGCAGGGGAGGACGGNNNNNNNNNNNNNNNNNNNNNNNNNNNNNNNNNNNNNNNNNNNNNNNGCCGCGACCCCCCCCCCUCAACCGGAGCGCCCCUGCGGGUCUCGGGCAUGCAGGUGAGGACGGAGUCGCUGCGGCAGGGCGCGGCGUUGGACGAGAUGAGGCGGCGGCUCGAGCAGCGGCGGGCGCGCGCGGACGGCCUCGCCGUCGCUAGGAGGAGGGCCGCCGAGGGCGUCGACCGGCAGAAGGAGCAGAUGCAAGCGCAGAUCGAGCGGGUGCUGCCGCUCUCCAGGGCCCUCGCCGCCGCGCACCGACAGGUGCAGGUACCUGACCGUUUCUCCCUCCUCUCCACACGAGAUCGAUCAGAAUGCGUUGGGUAUUGUGGUUGGCUGCGUUCGGUCCGAUAGCUUAUCUGAAAUGCACCUCAAAAAAAUAGGUGGGGGGAAUCCGUUGAUUCCUUCCUUCCUUCCAGGUUGCAGCAGUCCGGCGAGGGGAGAGAGGGGCAAGAUGGGGUCGGUGGUGCUGACGACGCUGCGGCAGAAGUGGGAGGUCGACGCCGCCAUCCGCAACACCCUCGACAAGGUCCUUGUCCUCCGAUUCGGCCGCGCCUCCGGCGCCGCCUGCCUCCAGCUCGACGACGUUGUAAGUACGUAGCACAUCGUCGCCGCCCGCGGCUCGCCACGUCUCUCCCUUCUCUUCUCCCCCAUAGCUACCUUCUAAUUCCACGGUUCUGGUCAAGUCGAUCCAUGAAUCCUCCAUUCAGGGUUCCUUAUUUUCUUCUGCGCCGAUGUGAUAGGAAUUUGAUAGUACCUGUGAACAGUUGGUUCAGUCUGAUUACAUUCUUGAAGGGUCUUGUUAUGCGCAUUAGUUUUUAUUGCCGUUUUGGCAGGUACUACCCUGAUUAGGUGUUGAUUUCUACACUAUUAAUUAAGUUGUAAGGUUUAUUAUGGAGAAGAAAUUGUUCCCGCGUGAUAACAUGGGCCUGAUGAAGCUAUGUGUUAAUACCUUGUCUGAAGUCGAUUUCAACUUUUUACUGUCAGAUUGUAGCGAGGUAGUCAUUUCCUUUACUAUUAAGAGUGAUUGUACUGUUGUCUGUUCACAAAUACUCAGUAGUAUAAUUUUCCCUGUGGGAAUGAGAUGACAAGCCUGGUUUCUAUAUCCUGUAGUUCUCAAAACAACUAAGGGCUAAUGCGAUUACAAACUUGGUCGCCUUGAGCAGGGUAGGGUUAAGAGGCAGAACCUGAUAUUCAAAUGAUUUAACCUUAAACUGGAUUACUGGGUACUGUAUAUUCUAAGCAGAAUCAGCCAAUCAUGGUAAAAACUAGACUGUUAAUACACAUGCCUUACAGUGACGUGACAUGAACAAAAGAGAAGCAAAGGAAAAGAAUGUUUGGACACCUCUAGGUGAUCCUGCCUUAACUCCUGAUGGCUUCCACCUCAUUCGUUUGAUAGGAUUGUUUGUAAAUAAUUGAACUUAUUGAUGGCAAGCUUUUCAUUCACAUCCUUCUCUGCAUCAAUUUUUAUGAAUUUUGUAGUGUGUAUGCUAUUUUAUUUAUUUUGUCCUGUUCUUGUUGUUUCAACAGCUCGCAAAAUCUUCUUGGGACAUAUCCAAAUUUGCAACGGCAGCAUUGGUUGACAUGGAUUCUGAGGAGAUUCAAGUGUAUGUUGACUAUUUUGAUAUCACGUUGAGCCCGAGGUUCUACCUGAAACAACAUUAUAUGUGAUAUGGCAUGUUAAUUUUUUUAGUUCACUCUUUUGCAUAAACGUUAGCUUAUCUCUGCUUCCUUUUAUGCAUUGGAGGUAUACACGAAAGGUGCUAUUGUUUGUUAAGUGUCUGUUGUUUGUACACUGAAAACUGUUGGUUGCCUUGGUUGAAAAACUGCUACUGUUUGUUAAUUGACUGGAAAACUGUUAUUGUUUGAACAUAGUCUGCAGCUUGAAUAUCUCAUUAGUAAAAAAGCGUCCACACUCCGUUGUUUGUACAGUGGUAAACUGUUUAUUCACUUACUAAAAAAAUGGUAAUCACUAGCAAUCGUACAAAGUGAUGUUGUUUGUACUUUUUUUGUUGUUCAUAUUGUUAACUGUCUGGAAAAAUGCUAUUUGUAUUUUCUAAUGAUUGAAGACGGGUUUAAAAAAUUGAACUUUGCACCUGAUAAAUAAUUAACUUUUACAUAGUUAGUCCUAUUGAAUAAGAAAAGGAGGAACCAGGGGUUGGUUAUGCAUGUUAAUUUACAAUUCUAGUUACGAGUGUAGUAUGUGUAGUGGGGACUAGUGGAAUUCAAACAACAUCGUAAGGGCUCCGGGAAAGAAUUUUAGUCUCCCAGCCUCCGAGCAUGACCAAGGUGAACAGAAAGAGUGAACUAUACAACUCCAUUUCUGGUAAAUGACAAGCACAUAUGGCUAUCUCAUUUCACCAGAUUUUCUCUGAAUGUUAAGGAAUAACACUGGAAGAGUUGGUAUUCCGAAGCUAGUAGUUUUCUGUUCUCAUGCAAUGAAUCUGUAAAGUGAAAAUCCAAAAUCCAACACAUCAGUUUAUUUAGUCUCAUAGUUCCAAAUCUCGCAGUUAUUGACUAUUAUAUUAUGCACUCACAAUUCUUAAUGUUUUGCUCCUCGUAGGAUUGUAACGAAUUGAUCAUGUUUACUGUUACUGUAUUUUACUGGUAUUUUCAGUUAAUUGCUUAUUUUCAGAAAACUUCCUAAGAGUGUGCUUCUGAAUUGCAUUUGUAGUAGAAGGACCAUGCCUAGAUAAGCACAAAUAUGCGACUGCCUCGGGCUGGGGCUGGUGCACCUUGGGCUGGGGCUAGUGUUGUGCUGGAUCAGCACCGUCGGGGCUGGGGCUGGGUUGGAUCAGCUCCGCUUGGGAGAAGUUGCAGUAGUCCAUGAGCGACAAGGAGAAGGCCUGGGUGCUGAUGUGCCAUUCUAUUGUGCAGAUGUGCUAUUGUUUUAUUGUGCAAAUCUGUUUGCUCUUGCUAUAUUCCUGUGUAAAGAAAUGUAUUCAAGAGAUGAUUUAUUGUGUUAUGUAAACCUGGGAAAUGUAUUAUGUGAUGUUAUACGAUGAAUGAUUUUAAUAUGAUUUGGAGUUUUCUUGAUUUGAAUAUGAAAUAUUGCUUGAUUUAAUAUUGGACAAAUAAUUGGACUGAAAAGGCCCAACAAAUAAAAUGAAACCAAAAAUAAAAAAAGGCCAAAACUGAACUGGACCAAACGUAUUUGGGCACAAAAAGGCGAGGUCCCAAAUUAUAAUGACAAAAAAAAAUCGAAAAUAAUACUAGAACUGGGUGUAAAUAGGCUAAGGCCCCAUAAGAAGCCCAAUAAGAAAAAGGCCCAAAAAAACCAGUCCAUGUGAUCAAUUGAAAUGGGUUGGGCUGAUUUCAACCAUGAUGUUUUGAUUUCGUCGUAAUUUUGCCACGUAGAACUGCCACGUAGGACUGGUUUGAUUGCCAACGAUGAUUUAGGAUUGUCGUAAAGGUUACGACAAUCCAGGAAUCAUCGUAAAAGUUACGACGAUUUCGAUCAAAACGUCGCUGCUGUUAAUUUGUGAGCCUCCGUUUUCGACGCUUGGUUUUUCGUCAUGAGAUCGUCGUAAAUUAAAAACCGUGACGAUGUAGCGACGAAAAAGUAGCGUCNNNNNNNNNNNNNNNNNNNNNNNNNNNNNNNGUCGUGUAUUAGCAUAUUCCUUGUAGUGCUCUUGACGAUGUCGUUCUGGUUGUCCUCGCCGUACCUGGGUUUUGGGUGAAGACCCUUGUCCGUUUUGGACUCGCUGGCGGCGAGGCUUUACAUUGUCUCCCCUCCUGAGGGCAUUGCCGUGGAACUUAGAUGUUCUAAGCGUGUAGUGGCGUUGUAUUCAGUCCUUCUUGUGUUAACUUUCGAUAACAUAGUCACGUGUGUUUAUGUUGUCUGGUUAUCCAAGGAUAUGCUUUGUAAGAGGGAUUCCUCAUUACUUUGUAUCAUUUGUUAUAUUUUCGCUAUAAAGUGGGUGAGGGUUUGUUUCGAGAGUGACGUCUGAAAUCUUCUGCAAACAACAAGGUUGGGCGUCGAUGUACUACUAGAAGAGAUCGUGUCCUCCUGAGUGUGCUUGCUGCAUCGUUUAGAUUGGUUUAUCACCAAUUGAUUUUUCUUAAAAAAAGAAGGAUUACCCUUUGCCGCUGCAUCAGACGAUGCAUCCAGUCAUUUUUUAUCUCCUAAUGUAACACUUCGUUUUAGCUGAUUCAAAGUGUUUAGCUUCAAUGUAUUGUUUUUUUAUUUUCUGGUACAACAUAACUCCCCUUUGGAGUUUGGAGGUUCUUGGGGUUAACCUGAUUUGUUUAUCCGUUUUACGAGUAAAGAAAUCGAAAGUAUGACGACAGUAGCCGGACGGACUCCGUAUGAGUGGAGUAUUCAAUGGGAUGUUCACUUUGGAUCAACGCAUGGACGGCUCGAUGUACUUCAUCGCGCGGAAACCGUCCAGAGGUUGUCGUACGUAUGUGUAGCAGCACUCCAAACAAACUAAGUGGAGAGCUUUGUCACUCGAAUAAGGAUUAUAGUAUGUAAAAAUAGAGAAAACAAAUUCCCAACAUUUAUCAUUGACUAAUUAAAGUGCAAUUGAUUAUAUGUUAUUUAGAAGGUAGUAGCACAUGACACUCAACGCAAAUACUACCUACAUUUCCUCAUGGUGGCACAAGCGAGCUGCGGAGCAAAUGGUCCGCCCUUUGGCGUCGACGACGGCGAUGCUAGAGGAUGUCCUUCUCCUCUUGACGAUGUCGUUCUGGUUGUCCUCACCGUGCGUGGGUUUUGGGUGAAGAUCCUUGUCCGUUUUGGACUCGCUCGCGGCGAGGCUUUACAAUCUCUCCCCUUCUGAGGGCAUUGCCAUGGAACUUAGAUGUCCUAGACGUGUAGUGGCGUUGUGUUUAGUCCUUCUUGUGUUAACUUUCGACAACAUAGUCACGUGCGUUUAUGUUGUCUCGUUAUCCAAGGAUAUUCUUUGUAAGAGGGCUUCCUCAUUACUUUGUAUCAUUUGUUAUAUUUUCGCUAUAAAGUGAGGCGAGGGUUUGUUUCAAGAGUGACGUCUGAAAUCUUCUGCAAACAACAAGGCUGGGCGUCGAUGUACUACUAGAAGAGAUCGUGUCCCCCUGAGUGUGCUUGAUGCAUCGUUUGGGUUGUUUUAUCACCAAUUGAUUUUUCUUAAGAAUUGAUUUUUCUUAAGAAAAGAAGGAUUACCCUUUGCCUCUGCAUCAGACGAUGCAUGCAGUCAUUUUUUAUCUCUUGAUGUAACAUUUUGUUUUAGCUGAUUCAAAGUGUUUAGCUUCAAUGUAUUGUUUUUCUUAUUUUCUGGUACAACAUAACUCCCCUUUGGAGUUUGGAGGUUCUUGGGGUUAACCGAUUUGUUUAUCCGUUUCAGGAGCAAAGAAAUCGAAACUACGACAACAGUAGCCGGACGUACUCCGCAUGAGUGGAGUAUUCAACGGGCUGUUCACUUUGGCUCAACGCAUGGACGGCUCGAUGUGCUUCACUGCGCGGAAAUCGUCCAAAGGAUGUUGUACGUGUGUGUAGCAGCACUUCAAACAAACUGAGUGGAGAGCUCUGUCACUCGACAUAAGGAUUAUCAAUAUGUAAAAAUAGAGAAAACAGACUCCCAGCAUUUAUCAUUGACAAAUUAAAGUGCAAUUGUUUUAUAUGUUAUUUAGAAGGUAGUAGCACAUGACACUUAACGCAAAUACUACUCCGAUGGACAUUUCAAUUUUAUGACACUUACGCAAAUGUAUAUAUUAGUAGAGCACGUGACACUUAGAAGGUACUAGCACAUGAGUACUAGUAGUUGAGCAAACAGUCAACAGAUACCGCUCGACUUUGCAAUUUUAUGACACUUACGCAAAUGUAUACACUAGUAGAGCACGUGACACUUCUGCAAAUGUUCUAGGUCAAAUAUAUACAAGUGCUGGUAGCUGCCCCUCCAUGUUUUCUAUCCUUUGCGACUGCUGGAGCUGCUCUUGCUCUCCUUACCCUUGUCCUCCAUCCACUUGUCCCAAGUUGAUCGGCACAUUAUCCGAAGCUUCUUUGGAAUUACUUUCACAUCUUCUCAUGUAUUGUGUGAGAUACGAAUAGGCUCUGCCCUCUCAUCCCCUUUCUCAGUGUAAAACCUUGUACCAUAGUCACACCAAUCUCCUAUUUGUUUCUGAUUGGCCCCUCCGAGCUCAGUGUUUGCAUCUCGAGUCAGCACCCUCUUGAAGAAAUCACACACAUCAACAAACCGUGGUCCUUCAAAGAACAUAAGCGUCAUGAUGGUAAAUGAUAUGCUUUCGUCCUUGGAGUUUCUUUUCUUCUGUUCCCCCAAUCUAGACAGAAUAAAGAAUGCCCACAGAAGACGUUGAUACCCAAGCUUCAAGUGUGCGAUGUGCUCCCCGGGAAGAAGAUCGAUGUACAUGCCAUUAUGUUCAAGUGAAUGAGAAUCCUUCAUGAUUUUUGGGCCUCUUGGCUUUUCGUCAAUCUCAAAUCUCAGACCUUUCCGAGUAGCUAUUCCUCUGAACCAACUCAUAUACUUACUGGCCACGAGAUAAAGACUUUCUCCAUUAUGUUUUAGCUCGAUCGCAUACGUUCCUGCUGCAGUAAAAUUUUGACCAGGAGUAACAGGGACAGUUACUCUUUCUCCGCCAACAAGGAAAGAAUACUUCACGUCCGUGGCAUCUGUUAUGGUAGUUCUGAUCGUCUUCACACACUCUUCAUAGUUAGCAGCAAUAUUACCUCUGUCCCCAAUAUCAAGUGAUGCUAUAGGAGGAGGGAGUGCCUACCGUUGCAAUAAAGGAAGAGGUAGUUUAGGGACCAGCAACCUUUAUUAUGAAGUUCAAAUGUUUUCGACAUCAUUUGAAAAUCGAUUAGUGAUGCAUGUGAGGAAUAAAGAGGUUGUGUUACAUGUAGAAUAAUCCAAACGUGAGCUAGCUUCGUUGAGUCCGGUUAGGAUUAGUAAUGUGAUCAACGUUGCCGGGUCAUUAGCAGUAGUAGUAGUGGAAGGUUUAGCUUGAGUCAGUUUACCUUUCCAUACACGUAUGUUCGGGUUCGAUUCCAGCAGGGGUCCGAGCUCAAAUAAGUUAAGUGUCCAAGUCGGUUCAUUAUUUCCUAGUAAAGUUGUAACGUGCUUAGCACGAUCAGGUUUAGAAGUUACGGCCUUCCGCCUAUAUAUAUGCAUUACUAGCAUCGUUUGUAAGCACCAGAAAAACGAGAAAAGCAAUAAAGAGAUUAUUACGAGACACGACACGUGUCUCUGGCCAUCUUCGUGUUGCUGCGUUCGCGUGCGUGUGUUCUGGUCCCGGUGUUUGCGUGAGCGCCGGUGAGAUAUCGAGUACUACAGCUAGUUCGUAUACGUUGAGCCGAGUUGCACGUACAUGACUAGUCGAGCUGCAGGGUGAUCGUGUGUUCGAUCCUGUGGGCGAAAAGCCAACAAUUGGUAUCUAGAGCAAGGUGUGGAGGCUUCCCCGUCAAGUUGUGUCACGGUGGAGUUGUAGUCGCCAUCAAGUUGUGUCACGGACGACGGAAAAUCGAAGAAGAGGAUCAUGUCGACUUCGAAGGCGAGUGGUGGUGGUGUGACCAUCCAGUACCCCAUGCUUGAUGGUGACAAUUAUGGGGUGUGGGCUGCGAAGAUGAAGAUCUUCAUGCGUGCGCGUGGUGUUUGGGCAGCGGUGGAAGGUGAAGGCGCGGUCGAAGAGACAAAGGACCAAGAGGCUUUCGCCAUCAUAGCCCAAGGUGUGUCUGAUGCUGUUUUCAUGUCCAUAUCGGAAAAAGAGACGACAAAGGAAGCUUGGCAAGCGCUCAAGGAGAUGCAUGCUGGAGAUGAUCGUGUCAAGAAGGCACGUGUUCAAGCUCUAAGGAGGGAGUUCGAGAGGAUGAGCAUGAAGGCGUCAGAAGGGGUUGGUGAAUUUGCGUUAAAACUAACCUCCCUAGUUAAUGAGAUGCGAGCUCUCGGAUCAAAGAUGGAAGACAUCGCGGUUGUGGAGAAAUUACUACGAGCCGUUCCCGACAAGUUUUUACCGAUCGUUGGCACCAUCGAGCAGUGGGGCGAUGUGACGAAGAUGUCGGUGAUGGAGGUGAUCGGGCGGCUAAAGACCUAUGAGUUGACAUUGAAAGGACGGGAACGCGACCAAGAAGAGGAGUAGUUGAAGUUCUCGCGCAAUAAGGAGAAAGAUAAGCAGAAGUACCGGAAGUUCGACAAAUCUAAAGUUCGGUGCUACAAUUGUCAGGACUAUGGACACUAUUCUCGAGAGUGUCCUGAUCCGCGGAAGGAGGCAAAGAAGGAGCACGAGAUUCUGCAACUAGCUAAAGUUGACGUGGAUGACGGCUCAGGGUUGCUUUGAUGAAGAAGCUGCGGCCGGAAAAAAAACAAAAAAAGAGUCGUGUCUUUAGUUUUUUUGUUUGUGUCUGAGUCGUUAGUGUGUCUCGAAGGCCAACGUGAAGAUGGAUGCGCACCAGUUAAGUUGAGUUCCUGCAUGAGAGGCUAUGUGUUUAGUCUGCAUGUAGCACGCUAAGAUGUGACGGCGUGGGCUAGCAAUCCAGGUGAUAUGUUGGUUUCAAGUCAACAAGUCGAAAGUUUGAAUUAGGGGAUGAAUGUAGAAUAAUCCAAACGUGAGCUAGCUUCGUUGAGUCCGGUUAGGAUUAGUAAUGUGAUCAAUGUUGCCGGGUCAUUAGCAGUAGUAGUAGUGGAAGGUUUAGCUUGAGUCAGUUUACCUUUCCAUACACUUAUGUCCGGGUCCGAUUCUAGCAGGGGUCCGAGCUCCAAUAAGUUAACUGUCCUAGUUGGUUCAUUAUUUCCUAGUAAAGUUGUAACUUGCUUAGCACGAUCAGGUUUAGAAGUCAGGGCCUUCCGCCUAUAUAUAUGCAUUAACUAGCAUCAUUUGUAAGCAUCAGAAAAACGAGAAAGGCAAUAAAGAGAUUAUUACGAGGCACGACACGUGUCUCUAGCCAUCUUCGUGUUGCUGCGUUCGCGUGCAUGUGUUCUGGUCCCGGUGUUUGCGUGAGCGCCGGUGAGAUAUCGAGUACUACAUCUAGUUCGUAUACGUUGAGCCGAGUUGCACGUACAUGACAAGGCCGGGCCGGCAAAAUCCGGGGCCCUGUGCGAAUCUAAAAAGUAGGGACCUGUCUCACUAGAAAAAAUGAACUAACGAGCAAUUAUAAUGUAUAUAUAUCGUCAAGCAUCCGGAGGAUGAAAGCCAUGAAUCACCCGUAUGAUGUAGGCCGUGAGACUGUGAAAGUACCUAGAGGAUGGAACUGUCAUGGUCCCCGAUCGAUCAGACGACCCGUUUCCAAUUGAGGAGCGGCCUAAGGACAGUCGUUGUAUCUAGGGGCGGAGCGAGGAUUUGAAGAUGAGAGGGGCGGAGGAGACAAUGAUUGUCCAUAAUGACAUCAUUUUGGAAGAAUUUUUUAAGAUAAAAUGGGAAAAUAUAUAAAUGAUUGACGGCACCAUUAUCAAAGCAUCACAUUGUAUUUUUCAGCAAUGUACAAAAUGACAUCAUUUUCAUUGGAUUAAAUACUACCAAGGUCAUGAAACAAUAAGAUGAUCUCGAUAGGGAUCUCAUUAGGGUUAUCUUUGCGGUUAUAAGUUUUUGAGAUAGCACACCAUUUCAUAAAUCAUCUCACAUUACUGAAACGCACAUCUAAUUUGCAAGUUAAUUAAUUGUCUUACAUACAGAUAGAAGUGUGCCAAUUAAUUAAUUAAACUAUACGUCAUGCAACCUUUGAGAAAAAUAACCAUGUCGUACCUUUAGGCUUGAGCGGAACAUAUGGUGAUCUCCUGGUCGUGUAUUCCGUGCCAACACAUUGAUCAUUGUUGUGGGAGGAUCUACACAGGAAGAGACAGCGGGGCUGGCUAGCAUGGCGAUUUGGCAUUGUCAUCCAUCACGGACGCUAUUCACUAGUAGAAAACGGGGCACUGAGCCAACCACAUUGGACCCGGAUUGGAUAUAAACCGGUUCUAAAGGGUCUGUCCGCUGGGCCCCCUCCCUGCAGCAAUCCGCCGCAAGGCCUUUAGGACCGGUUUGUAACACAAACCGGUCCUAAAGGUUUUUGGACCGUUUGCUGCAGGGAGGGGGGCCAGUGGACAGAUCCUUUAGAACCGGUUUGUAUCACAAACCGGUGCUAAAGGUUUUCUUAUUUUUGCAGCAACUGCGGGGCCCCGCUGUCAGACCCUUUAGCACCGGUUUUUAACACAAACCGGUCCUAAAGCCCUCCCCUAUAUUCCAUCCCGAGCUCAGCUCCAUUUUUUCCAGCUCGAGCUCAACUCCAUUUUUGCUCUCUCCUUCCUCUUGGGAGCUCUAAUCCAUCCCCAUUUUUCUCCACCAUUUGUCAAGAUUGUUGGCACCCAUCGGUCCUACGGUUAGCAUCAACAUUCCCUCUUCCGGCAUUGCAAGUUUUGCUCGUUUUCUUGCUCAUUUCAUUUUUGUUGUGCUAGCUAGGUGUUUGAUGAAAUGCCUAAGCUAGAGAGAGUUCAUCAUUUGUUAUGUAUACAUAUGCAAUUUGAGCUCAAAUUUAAUUAUGAUUUGUGGUUUUUUUAGUGUCGCGCGCCUUGUCCCCUUCCUCACCGCCGUCGACCGCCCCGUCACCGACACAACCUUGGUGAGCCUAUUGUUUUUAUUUACCAAAACAAAUUUUGAUUUGUAUGAUUUACAUAUUUACUUGUAUAUAAUUUUCUUAUUGUGUAAGAUUUUUUUUAUAUGUAUAGCGCCAUGAUUUUGAUAUACGUCCCCGUUGGCCCUCGUCCAGUCUAUGAUUCGGAUGUGGUAUAUUAUCUUUUAUAACUACAUAUUUUCAUUUCCUGAUUAUAUGACAAUUAAUUACGCCGACCAACUUGACAUAGAUAUUUUUAUCUAGGAGGUAGUGGAACCGGAAAUGCCAAUCGACCCUAUUGUUGAGAAGUUACACUUAGUUGAACAAGAAAAUGUUGGCCUGAAAGAAAGAUUGAAAAAAACAGAAGAAAGGUUGGAAAAAACGGAAAGAGAGAAGAUGACCUUGGAAAAGGUUCUUGCCGGUGUCGUCGAUGGUCACAAAAGCGAGAUGGACGCAGUGCGCCUGAAGAUUAGAAAGAUUAGAAAAUAUGCAAUUAGUAAAGAGGCUUGGUAUCAUUAUGCCGUUGGGUCAAUUGUUACCUUUGUUGCGAUUUUGAUCGCAUUUGUUGUUGUUUUUAAAUGCAUUAAUUAGAGAGAGUUCUUAUGGUUGGUUUCAGUGUGUAUUUUUAUGAGAACUAUAUAUGUAUGGUCACUACGCUACUUUGGUUUUAACGUGUGAUGAACUUUUUGUAUUAAUUAAUUAAUUUAGUCAUGAUGAUUUAGUAUAAUGGUUUUUGAUAAACUUAUAUAAUGCAGAUGAACCGGCAAUGGAUGUACAGUGAUCGACGUCGUCCCGAAUUCCUUAAUGGCAUGCAUAGUUUUCUCAAUGUGGCUGAGAAAAACAGGCAGAAUGGAUUUAUUUUUUGUCCAUGUAAAAAAUGCCAGAAUAAGAGGAAUUUCCCUAACUCAAGAACCAUACACACCCACCUGUUGCAAGAAGGCUUCAUGCCCAGUUAUUUUUGUUGGACCAAGCACGGAGAAAGAGGGGUUGUAAUGGAAGACAAUGAAGAAGAAGAGGAUAAUGAUAACUAUCCUAUGUUCGGUGAACACGGUGAUACUGAAAUGGGGGAAGACGAGCCUGAACUUGAGGACAUUGUUGAUGAGUCUGAUGAUGAUCUUCGUCAGGUCAUUCGUGAAGAACAGAUAAACUGCGCAAGUGAAAACGAGAGGUUGAAGUUGGAGCGCAUGUUAGAAGAUCACAAAAAAUUGUUGUACCCAAAUUGCGAAGAUGGCCAGAAAAAGCUGGGCACCACCCUGGAAUUGCUGCAAUGGAAGGCAGAGAAUGGAAUAUCUGACAAGGGAUUUGAAAAGCUGCUGAAAAUAAUGAAGAAGAUGCUUCCAAGAGAUAACGUGCUGCCCUGCAGUACGUACGAAGCAAAGAAGGUUGUCUGCCCUUUAGGAUUGGAAGUGCAUAAGAUACAUGCAUGCAUCAAUGACUGCAUCCUCUACCGCGGUCAGCACGAGAAUUUAAAUGCCUGUCCGGUAUGCGGUGCAUUUCGGUAUAAGAUCAGGCGAGAUGACCCUCCUCGCCGCCGUCCGCCUCGCCGCCCCACGCCGUCCGCCUCGCCGCCCCACGUCGUUUGCUGCCCUCCUCGCCGCCGUCCGCCUCGCCGCCCCACGCCGUCCGCCGCCCCGACGCCGUCUGCCUCCGCCGCCCCCACGCCGUGCUCGCCCCCAUGCCGCCGUGCUCGCCUCCACGCCACCACGUCAUCAUGCUCGCCUCCACGCCGCCCUCCUCGUCGCCGUGGCCUCCACGUCGCCGUCGCCGUGCUCGCCUCCAUGACGCCGUUUGCCUCCGCUGCUCCGGCGCCGUCGUCUCCCCGGCCUCCCAUGCCGUCGGCGCCGUCGUCUCCCCUAGCCGCCGCCGUCGACCUCUCUGGUAAAUUCUUGUUAGUUUAGGGUUAGCAAUAAUUGCGUGUUUAAAUAUUUGCUAAGUUGGAAAAAAUUAUUAGUUAGAAAUUUUUUGCUAAGUUAAUCGGAAAGUUUUACGGAAUCGUCGGAAAGUUUUACGGAAUCGUCGAAAAGUGAAUCGUCGGAAUCGUCGGAAAGUUUUACGGAAUCGUCGGAAAGUUUUAGGAAUCGUCGGAAAGUGAAUCGUCGGAAUCGUCAAAAAGUUUUACGGAAUCGUCGGAAAGUUUUACGGAAUCGUCGAAAAGUGAAUCGUCGGAAUCGUCGGAAAGUUUUACGGAAUCGUCGGAAAGUUUUAGGAAUCGUCGGAAAGUGAAUCGUCGGAAUCGUCAAAAAGUUUUACGGAAUCGUCGGAAAGUUUUACGGAAUCGUCGGAAAGUGAAUCUUGCAACGGCCAUAUAUCAUGAUGACGACGGUGGACAGGCGUUUAGCAAUCAAUUUUUGAACGACUCCGGUGACGGAGCUGAGAAUAUAGAAGAUGUAGUAGAUGCAGAAGUGCCCUCCGGAACAAACUCUGCCAAUGUAUAUCUCAAGUCACUGUUGACACAACAAUUAAUUUGUAUUGCACUUACUAACGAAUCAUUAUUUUCCCGUUUAGGCGCCCUCCGGAACAGCUAGCGCAAGUACUGAGACAAAGUCGAAACGAGGCCCGGCCGCAAGGUUGAAAGAUACUGCAAGGUACUCGAUCGAUAAAGUUGUUGCUGAUGGAAAACCACUGGAACCCCCAGAAACUUAUCGCAAAUUUGUAAAUCAGUGCGGAGUUGUUGUAAGAGACCUGGUCCCGAUCAACUUAAUAGAAUGGAAUAAGCCGAAGACCGGCGCCAACGUUGGAGCUACUUAUGUCGAUGACAGAUUGAAAAGAGUGCUUUGCGACACGGUCUGGCUAAAUUUCAGCGUAGAGGAAGAUAAGAAGAAGAAAGUCGAGGAGUGGGCUUUGAAGAAGAUGGCCACACAAUUCCAGAGGUGGAAGAAAGACUUGUGGAAGAAAUAUAAGGACGAAGAUCCAGUUUUCACUGGGCACCUAGUGAAGAUAAGAGACGCUUGGCCUGAUUUUAAGGCGUACAAGAAAUCGGGUGUCUUUACAUCCCGAUCAGCCACAAAUACGGAGAAUGCGAAGAAGAAGAAAUAUCACCAUAUUUUGGCCUGAAAGAAGAAAUAUCACCAUAUUUGUAUAAUUUAAUUAUUUAUUUAAGCUCGCGUUCAUUUCCCGUAUAAUUAUCACUCACGAGACAUUCUUUUUGUACGCUACUAUGCAGAAUGAAGAUUCGUGAAUGCAGGCUGGCAGGAAUCUAGGACUUUGGGUUCAUUGACCCGUAUUCGUUUCAUCAAGAGACAAUAGAAAAGUUCAACAAGGAUGCACCGGAUGAUUUGCUAAGGUUUUUGAAGCGACAAAGUACCAAAAAAGAAAUACUUUGGCCCUACGGAUUCAAGUGAGUGUUACUGUCUUGUACACAUUCCAUUUUGCUUACCUGAUGUUAAGUGUAAUUGAUGAGUAUGCAUGACUGUAUGUGUACACGUGCGCAGGUCCCACUUCAUAUUUUUCAUCAUUAGAAUCGAUCAAGGACAAGUUGAAGUCAUGGGACCCAUUAACCUGGGACGCUGACACAUGAAAGAGCGCGCGUCAGAUGCUUCAAAGGUAUAUAUAUAUAUCGGCCUCUUUCGUUCAUCGGCCUCUUUUUCGUUCAUUUCCUGAUAUCAAGUAAGUAAUAAUUAACUCUUGUAUUCAUUUUUCUUUGUCGGCCAGGGUUUGGCAAAUGUUCAUCAAGGAAGAACCCGGUACAUGGGCAGACAAGCUCAACUUUCAGAUUAACAAAGUAAGUAGUACUACGUACCCUGGUUUCAAUACCAUUACCAUUCUUUUGAUUAUUAUUAAUUUGACUGAAUUAUGUUCUCGUAUAUAGUGCGUCCCGCAACAACCACCGGGCACUGAUUAUUGUGGAUACUACGUUUGCGAGUACAUUCCAGAAAUCUAGAGGUACGUAACCGGAUCUUCACAACUUUAUUUAUGUUGCCAUCAAUUAUGUUUAGUUUUGUUCAUAACUUAAUUGUUUUCAUCUACUUCUUUUAAAGCUGCAAUGAAAGCGGGCGAUGCUCAGACCAAUCCAACGUUGCAAGGCAGUUGCAGAGGAAUUGACAGGAUUUCUCCUCACGCAAGUCAUAGAUGAAGGCGGAGAAUUUUUCCAUCCUAUGAACCAAUAGCCAGCUCCCUUCUCUAUGCAAGUAUACAGCUAUAGGAAACGAACUUCAAAUUAUGUAAUGAUAACCGGUCGAGUACUUCGUGUUACAUGUAUAUAUGUACUUUUAUUUGGUGCAUCAACAUUUAACCGCAAACACGGAAUCGGAAACACUUAACCGCAAACACGGAAUUGGUGUUUCCGGAUACGUGUUUCCGAUUACGUGUUUCCGAUUCCGUGUUCGUAAAAAACGGAACACGGACACACGGAAUCGGAAACACGGAAUCGGAAAUACGGAAUCGGAAAGACGUAAACGGAAAUACGGAACCGGAAACACGUAAACGAAAACCCUUAAAAUACGGAACACGGAAACACCGAAAUACGGAAUCGGAAACCCUGAAAAGAAAAGAAAAAAAAAAGCAUUAGGACCGGUUGGUGUUACCAACCGGUUCUAAAGGUCCUCCGCCUGCGCGCACUCUUCGGCGCCCACGUCGAGGCCUUUAGCACCGGUUUGUAAGGGACCGGUGCUAAAGGGGGGGGGCCUUUAGUCCCAGAUACGUAGCACCGGAUGUGUAUCCGGGUCCAAAGGCCCUUACCAACCGGUUCUAAUACCCCUUUCUCCACUAGUGAUUAGAGUACCGCCGCAGCGGCGAUCGACUGCUAGAGAUUAGCGUCCCAGCGAGCGGCGGCAGGCGCAUAUACGAUGAUCGAUCUGAACAGUUUCCACCUAAACUCUAGGGCACUCUGAAGCUAAUAACUAGACUUUGUGUUGGGCUCAGUAAACAGGCGCUUGUAAUGUAUAGUACGUAUUAACAAAGGGCCUGACGUAAGAUGGAAUCGGGAGGUACAGUUGGGAAAACAAUCGUGCAUGGGAUCGAGCAACGGCUUGAUGGCUGGCUCGCGUCGCAGACACCAGCGGCCGAGCGCUCAAGCCUCGGGACAUCAUUUUUUUCUUCUGAAAAAUACAUACUAGACCUGUAAAAUUUUGGGCCCUCUAUAUUUAUGGGCCCUGUGCGGAUCGCACACAUAGCACAACUAUGUGCCCGGCCCUAGUACAUGACUAGUCGAGCUGCAGGGUGAUCGUGUGUUCGAUCUUGUGGGCGAAAAGCCAACAUGCAACUACGAUUUACUAAUUAAUAUCACCACUUCUAAACAUGGUACGAAGUUGGUUACGAUUCUUUAGAAUUCGACAUAUGGUUUCAAUGAAACAACACAAAGAUCAGGAUUUCCAUUUCAUAUUGUGAUGCAUCAGAAUAGUAGUAGUAGUAAAAGAACUAACUAGUAUUGAAAUGGAAAUCGACAAUUAGAUGCCUCAGUUAUCUGGUGGCAAUUAAAACAACGUGUAUCACUAACACUAUGAUACCUCAAGGAUGUAUGAUGGAGGGUGUGCUGCUUCUUGGACUUUUUCCUUUCCCUUUUUAGGCGCCAUUGGUUCGAGUAUGAUCGAUUCCUCGCACUAGCUGUGUUAUUGCUGCACCCAACAAAAUAAUUGACUAUUUCCUAAGUGGGAUUUUUUUAACUUUACCAUUUAUUGGAACUUUAGUUAAGCAUUUAAUGAUAAAAAUGGUUGAUGAAAAGGACUGACUACAAUUUGAUUACUUAUACACUACAUGUAUGGUUGGCAAUAUCUGAUUAUAAAGUAACUAUCUGAUUAUUUUAAGGCAGUUAAAACUAUCUGAUUUGUUGUACAAGAAAACAAUACAUGCAUGUAUGCAGUAGCUUGAAAGCACAUCCCGGUGCAUUUCUUUCAGCUUGUUCGCACGUGACAUGUAUGCAUAUACUCCCUUUGUACCUACAGUUCUUCUCAACUACAAAUAUUUAGGUAAUAAAUUAGCUGCUUGCAUGUUAUGAGAAAUCAUAUGCUGCAUUCAAAACCAAUAAAAUUGGAUAAUUCAGGUACUACUACUAGUACACUAGUCGCAUUCUUUUGCAUGAAGUUCUACUAGCACAUGAAGAGAGCAGGUGGAAAUAAUUAAAAUAACAAGACUAUCAAGGAGUAACACACAUAAAAAAUGUGUCUCUAUUCCCUAAAAAUGUGUCUCUAUUCCCUAAAAAUGUGUGUCUACCUUAAUGAAAUGGGUAGAGCCUUUCACGUCAAAAAAGGUAAGUGGUCCUCCUAAUUCCUAAAAGAUUUUUUUUAACCGGAAUUCCUAAAAGAUUUAGCUACCAUAGAACAUGAACAUCCACGCUGAAAGAUGGUGGUGUUUUUCUCCUAUCUGGACAACCAAGAAUCCAGGCAUACAUAAACAAAAUAAUUGUAAGUUGAGCCAACAAUGUUCUGUAAUGUGCGCGGUUUGUGAGCAUACAAAUGGAAGAAUUAUUUCUUAUGAUCAAUAGAAGCAAUCUGCAAGGAAAGCAAUUAAUUACCAGGAGUAGGUUCUCAAUAGGCAGGACAACAACUUGAAGUCUUGAACCCUUUGGUCUUCUACGUAGUACGUACUCCCCGCGAUCGCAAGAACAGGGUACGUAACUGCCAUACACAGAGAGAUCACCACCAAAAACAUAUGUCAAUUUAAAAAGUAGUGAACGCAUCUCAGCUAACUAAGCUAGCAGUAGAUCAAAAUUCAGAGACCCCCUGACAAAGCUAUUGGGAAAACUGGUCGCACCUAAUCAAGUUUGUGUUGCAGAGUAUAUACUGUAGAAAACAGUUUCAUAAUGAUUUGCAUGCAUGCUCAUGUACUACCUUUUCUGUUCUAUUAAUGGGGACUAAAUUUCUAAAUUUAAUUUUUGAGAUAUAAUAUAGAAAUUAUUCGUGCACUGCAUGCGUGGCUAGGUAGCUUCGUACGUACGUAGUGUAGUGAUCAUGCUGGUGAAGCAGCAGAAAAAAAUAGCUAGCACUGCACUAGUUUCUCGCCUUAAACAUGUUGGUAUAAAUUACUCAUAGUUCAUAAUUAGGGCCUCUUUGAUUAACUAAUGCACGUUUUGAUAAUUAACGCAUGUUGGUAUUAGUUAACCUAUGUUCGCAACAGAUAAAAUUAAUUAAUUAGGUAACUAAUGCAGGUUUGAGUACUGCUAGUAGAACAAACAACUUAUGACCUCUUUAAUUCACAAGAUUUUUGAAGACGCGGAAAUAAGAAAAGUAGAGGGUUGAAGUGGCAUGUCCAUUCACAACCUGUAAAAUUAACAAGGGGUGUUCGAUGCUACACGAAAAAUUAGAAAAAUUGUAAAAAAAAUGAUUGGAAAGAAUGUUAGAUUUUCUAUGAAAUGUAGUACAAAAGAUUNNNNNNNNNNNNNNNNNNNNNNNNNNNNNNNNNNNNNNNNNNNNNNNNNNNNNNNNNNNNNNNNNNNNNNNNNNNNNNNNNNNNNNNNNNNNNNNNNNNNAAGGUUAGCUUAUUCAUUAAUCCAUAUGUUUGGGUUCAGUAACAUUUCAAACAUGUUUGAAAAUGACAUAUUGAGAUUCCUUGAAUUUUUCUGAUACUUCUUCAUAUAUAAAUUAUUUUCAUUGGAGUUACAGAUUAAUUUCUAUGACUUUUAGAAGUUUUGGCAUUUUUCUGGAAUUCUUUUAAAUCAGAAAUUCACUUAUUGCGUCAUAACUGCAUCAUCAUGGCGUCAGCAGGUCAACUGACCUGAUCAGGUCAAACCUGACAGGGGGGACUCACUGGUCAGCGUCUCAGGGGCUAAUCCCGCGCUGACCAGCCCCUAAGUGGGUUUGACUUGGCCUUGGGCCCACUAUCAGCGAGCGAUUAGGGUUUAAACUACUGGGUUAAGUUGGCCACGUCGUUCCCGGCCGGAGCCUGGCCGGCGGCGACCAGAUCCGGGGCAGAACCUCGCCGGAGACACGCUAUAGCGUGCUGUGGUGCUCGGAAAAGGAUGCCGAGAGCACUGGGAUGAUCCCCAGGCUCGAGCUCAUCCAGCGCUGGCCUCCGGGAGGGCUAUAGGUGGCCGGAGCAAGCCGACGACGAGCCGGGGCGGCUGCCGGAGUACGGGUUCGAUGGUCCAGUGGCUAGGGGGCACGGAUCCGAGGGAAAGGAGAGGGGAAAUGAUCGCAGGCUCACGGUGGAGGUGAAGCUAGGCUCAGACUGCUCGGGGAGGGGCUGUAGCCGGUGUUUCACCGUCGAUUUGCCGGCGACCGAAGGUUGAAGACGAUGGCGUUGGGGACGUUACAGAGCUCGGGGAGGAUUCACCCUUUGCAGAGAGAACCAGAUCGACGAGGCGAACCUACUGGACUACUCGGAGGGGAGGUCCUGUGGCUAGAGGCACGGCGGCUCAAGCUCGAGCUCUUGGCAAUGGAGGCAGAAGGAGGGAGGAGAGAUCCCGAGAGGAGGGCGAAACUAGAGCUGGGGAACGGAUAGGGACGGGCUCGGGGUGGAUAUCCCCGCUGUCGCGCUGUCCUGGGGGGCNNNNNNNNNNNNNNNNNNNNNNNNNNNNNNNNNNNNNNNNNNNNNNNNNNNNNNNNNNNNNNNNNNNNNNNNNNNNNNNNNNNNNNNNNNNNNNNNNNNNACUUGAUUGGGGAUGGAAAGCAGUGCUAAAAGAUAAGUGAGUCCCCACGGCAUUCUGAAAACUUUCCCAGAAGCGAGAAGUAAAGAUACUCCCACGGUCCGAGUUAAUCUCCAGGGGAACACCAUGAAGAUACACUAUUCGAGAGAUAUAUAACUCCGCUAGCUGGCUAGCUGUUAUACUCUCACGAACGGUAAGAAAAUGAGCCACUUUGGAGAGUCGGUCAAUGACCACAAAGAUAGCAUUAUUUCCUUUCUUGGUCUUGGGAAAUCCGGUAUUGAAAUCCAUACUAACUUUAUCCCAUUUCCAUUCAGGAAUAGCUGAAGCUUGAAGGGUGCCAGCAGGCCUUUGAUGUUCUGCCUUAACUCGAUGACAAACGUCGCAGUUAGCAACGAACUCAGCAAUUUCUCUCUUCAUCCUAGUCCACGAGAACCUCUGGCGUAGGUCCUGAUACAUCUUAGUACUACCGGGAUGAAUGGUGAGAGGAGAAUCAUGGGCCUCCUUAAGAAUUAACUGCCUUAGAUGUAGGUUCUUAGGAAACACUAGACGAUUCUGGAAGAACACAACACCUUGAUCAUUCAUGGAAAAUUCUUUAGCGUUUCCGCUAAAAAUAUUCUCCUUGAUCCGUGAUAUACCCUUGUCACGCUUCUGCCCAGCUAUAAUUUGAUCCUUAAGGGUAGGCUUCGCCACCAGGGUAGAAAGGAAUCCUUGCGGAACAAUAUGAAGAUUCAACUUCCGAAAGUCCUCAUAGAGAUGUGGUUGACCUUGUUGUGGCAUCAAAUUGUUACAAUAAGAUUUACGACUUAGUGCAUUGGCCAUAACAUUGGCCUUCCCCGGGGUGUCAGUUAUCCCUAAGUCGUAAUCCGAGAUCAACUCAACCCACCGUCUUUGCCUGAGAUUCAGAUCCGGCUGGGUGAAGAUAUAUUUCAUACUUUGGUGAUCAAUGAAUAUUUCGCAACGAUUACCCAGAAGGUAAUGUCGCCAGGUUUUUAGUGCAUGGACCAGAGCUGCAAGCUCAAGGUCAUGUGUGGGAUAAUUAUCCUCAUGUGGACGCAACUGUCGAGAUGCGUAUGCGAUCACAUGAUGAUCCUGCAUGAGAAUGCAACCUAAUCCUUGUCGCGAGGCAUCGCAAUAGAUAACAAAGUCCUUAGAAAAAUCUGGUGGUAGCAACAUAGGUGCGGAAAUCAGUUGUCUUUUCAGUUCCUGAAAACUAUGCUCACACUGUGGUGUCCACUCGAACUUUUUAUCCUUCUUGAGGAGUUCAGUUAGAGGAUUUGCAACCUUGGAGAAAUUCUCGACAAAUCGGCGACAAUAGCUCGCUAGACCAAGAAAACUCCUAACUUGCUUAACCGAUUCAGGUUGAGUCCAAUCAAGGACAGUUUGAACUCUCUCGGGAUUGACAGCAAUACCCUUACCAGAGAUUACGUGACCUAGAUAGGUCACUUUUGGUAACCAAAAUUCACAUUUUGAAAACUUGGCAUAAAGGCGAUGCUCUCGAAGUUUCAUCAAUACCAGCCUUAGAUGCUCGGCAUGUUCUUGUUCGUUCUUCGAGUAGAUGAGAAUAUCAUCAAGGUAUACCACGACGAAUUUAUCCAAAUACUCCAUGAAGAUUGAAUUCAUCAGACAAGAGAAGGUGGUUGGGGCAUUGGUUAAACCGAAGGACAUGACGGUGUACUCGUAUUGGCCAUAACGAGUAACAAAAGCCGUUUUUGGAAUGUCCCCGUUCUUGAUCUUGAUUUGAUGGUAUCCCAACCUCAAAUCCAUUUUGGAGAAGACUGAGGACCCAACGAGCUGAUCGUACAGAUCGUUGAACCUGGGGAGCGGAUACUUGUUUUUUAUGGUGACCAGAUUAACUGGUCGGUAAUCUACAACCAUCCGAUCUGUUCUGUCUUUCUUCUUGACGAAGAGGACGGGGCAAGCCCAAGGAGAAGAGCNNNNNNNNNNNNNNNNNNNNNNNNNNNNNNNNNNNNNNNNNNNNNNNNNNNNNNNNNNNNNNNNNNNNNNNNNNNNNNNNNNNNNNNNNNNNNNNNNNNNCCUUUGAAGUUGACGAGAAGGCUUACCUUCGGGUUACACCUUUGAAGGGUACCCAUCGAUUCGGUAUCAAGGGCAAGUUGGCUCCUCGUUACGUUGGUCCUUUUUGCAUUCUUGCCAAACGAGGAGAAGUUGCCUACCAGUUGGAACUUCAUCCACAUCUUUCCAAGGUUCAUGAUGUCUUCCACAUCUCGCAACUCAGGCGUUGCUUUUCGGAUCCUAUCCGUGAAGUGGACCACGAAACGCUUGAUCUCCAAGAUAACCUUUCGUACCGAGAAUACCCCGUGCGUAUUCUUGAUCAAGCUGAGCGUACCACUCGACGUCGAAACCUCAAGUUUCUUGUAGUUCAACGGUCAAAUCAUUCUAAAAAGGAGGCAACUUGGGAAAGAGAGGAUAGUCUCCGACUUGAGUAUCCUGCGUUAUUCCCGACGACUUCUAAAUCUCGGGACGAGAUUCUUUUGAGUGGGGCUGAGUUGUCACAUCCCUGACACCUUAAUCAAGUUAGCUUUGUGCUCAUGUCUUCUUUGCAUUGCAUCUAGGAAAUUUUCAACAAGAACAAAGUAAGUGGUGAAGGAAAACUAAAAAAAACCUAGCCACUUCUCAAAUUAAAAGAAAUUUCAAACUAGUUAAAAUCAAUGAACCCAAAAUAGCCUCAAGAAAAGUUCAACUUUUCUGAUAAUUUCUUGGAAACAAAUAAGCAAUGAAGGAAACCAUUUCUUUUAUACUCUUGGCAUUUUAAAUAAAUGCAAAAAGCUACUAGUUUCAAGUUUUAAUUUUGAAUUCAAAAACUUUAAGUUUUAAAAAAUGUUGAAAACUUUAGGAAUGGUUGGAUACAUCCCAACUAAUAUUCUGGUGUGUUCAAAAUAUUUUUAUAAACUAUUUUGGAGCUGAAAUAAAAAGCAAAUCAAAAUAGUUAGCAAUAUCAGAAAAACAAAAUAGAAAGAAAAGAGGAAAACCUUACCUCCCGCCUGAGGAGGCCCAGCCCACCAGGGGCAGGGUCGUCUUCUUCCUCUGCCUUAUGGCAGAGCGGAGAUCGACCACGGCGGCCCCCUCCACCUCCUGCUUCGCCGUGGCGNNNNNNNNNNNNNNNNNNNNNNNNNNNNNNNNNNNNNNNNNNNNNNNNNNNNNNNNNNNNNNNNNNNNNNNNNNNNNNNNNNNNNNNNNNNNNNNNNNNNCUUGUAGCUUGCUACGACUCGUCUACAUUCGCUGGUGACCGACACCUACUUUGUUGGGUCAUGUAUGCUUGUCUGUGCGGUACUACCACUUUGGUUUAUGAAUAGACUUGUCGAUCCGGGUUCUUAGACAUUGGAAUGCUAGCGACACAAUUGCAUACGUGAGUCAAAAGGAGCAAACGGUCCCGGCUAAGGUAAGGCUGCAGCCGUGGGGCUAACCGUGCGUGAGACCGCAAAGGGAUGCGAUGUGUUACAGGCUGGAUUCCUAUGGCUUAGGAUCGGGUUCCCGACACUUUCUUACCAUCGGCCUUCUCAGAAGUUUGAUUCUAUAGAUGCUGUACCCAGCAAGCAUCAAGCUCCCAUUUGAUUGGUCUUGUUUCUCUUGGAGCCUCACCUUCAAGAUUCUGCAUUCUAUCUGUAAUUAUUUUCCGAACAAAAUUUGUGGUAGCCUCGUUCUCUUCAGGAUCAGAACUCUGCAACCGCUGAACUGCUCCAGGUAACUGAGCACAUGACUUCUGAAGCAGCAUCCUUAAGUUGACAAAGAGAAAAUCGGUCAUUGCUGGUUUUAUCUAACCAAUAUAGCGGCAGAGAAAUAAAAUAAAAAAGGACCAAGUGCACGGGAGCUGAAGUAAAUUACUUGGAAUUGGUUUUGGGUGAACUCAUGGUGUUAAAUAAACACAAGGAAAUAACCGUAUAUCAUACAAAUGUUGCCAGUACUGACCUGUUGACACUGAGAGCAUUGCUACCUGCCUCCGACUGAUCUUCAAUGUGAAUGUCCUGAUGUGCUGGAACAACGGUUGUUAGUUGAGCAUCCAGUGGAACUUGGACAACAGUUGUACACCCACAAUGCUUCACAACAACCACACCAAGAGUAGAAGUAUCAUGUAAACAAUAUGAAGUACUUCUUCAGACCGGAGUCUGUAAGGAAGAUUUCCAAACUGGAAAGAAAUGAGAAUUAAAGAGCAAACUUCCAAAUUGCAGAUGCGAAUUCUAUUUGAUAUGAAACAAGCAUACACCCCACUUGCCCAAAAAUACUGGUUCAGAUUCUGAAUGUUUCACAUGUUGAAGCGCAUCUGAUUACAUUUUGUUUUUGGUUAGAAACAAGCAUUAGCGAAUCUCACCUUGUUUUGCUCAACAAAAGCCUCCAUGCCAAGCCAAAUCUCUUCAUCAAAAAGACCUCCAACCACUUCUGCCUGAGAUUAUGAUCCUCUCCGCACUUGCCAUCAUUAUUUUCUUCUGGAAAUGGUCCCAGCAAUAUAUUUAAACAUGAUGCAACUGAUUGAGCCAUGUCAUUUAUAUCAUCGACAGCUGCAAUAACUGCAUGAACUAUGUGCUUAAAUACUCGAACUACCAUCUCGUGUAUCCACAGUGACUGUAUGUGCGGGAGCUUAUCAGAAAGCUCAACCUGAAACACAGCAAAAUAAAAGAGUGCUUCAGUUGUGAUUUUUAUCAGCUGUUUUAUUUUCUUUUAUUUGUUCAGCUAAAUGAAGAUAUGUUCUUGAACUUGACCGAACUACAUGGUAUGUACCAAUUGUCCCAGUGAGCGCAUCUGGAGGCCUCUGGUGUGCAUGGAAUCUGUCAAUGUCCUUCCAUCAACAGGGGAAAGCUCAAGUUAGCCAAAGUCUUCUACCUGAUAACAGGAUAAGGAUGAUAGUCAAAAUACUGUGCCGCAGACGUCGUCGGAGAACCUGGCCGGCGCCGGCGAGGGGUCGCCAUCGGGGUCGCCCAUGCACUGCUCGACCAGCUCCGCCGGCAGGCUGAGCGACGCCACCACCUCCUCGGCACACCUGCGGGAGUACUUCUUCUCCCGCAUGGAGCACCGGACGCGGUAGUCGGCCAGGAAGUCCCACCACGCCCACGAGGCGUUCCGGGGGCCACCCGAUGCACGCACAGCUGCCGGAGGUUCUCCAGCACCACGUCGCGCCCGCGGUAGUCAGUGCCGAGGUCCCCCUCCGGGUCCGGCACGCAGUAGCGGCAUCCGGAGGGGACGGAUAAGGGUGGGAGGAAGGGGAGAGGGAGGGAGGGAGGGUUGCCUUUAGCUUGAAGGAGAGGGGAGGGGGAUGAGGGUGCCCUUCUUCUGGAGGACCUUGUCGAUGUUGUUGCCGGCGGCACCGACCACAUCCCCGAUCCGAUCUGGCACCAGGUGGGCACGCGGGGGGUUUCCCUGGAGCUUUUUGGUGUGGGUGCGGGCGGAGGGAGCUUGGUGCCGGGCUGCAAGGAGAUGGGGACGAGGGAGGAGGUGGUGGCGGCGAUGCGAUGGGGAUGAGGGAGGACCGUAUCAGGAGGGGGGCGGGGACGGGGAGGAGGUGGCGGCGGCGAGGACAUGGCGAGGAGGGGUCCAUGGGAUCUGAGCUAGGUUUGGGCUGCGGGUGGGGUUAAUGUUUUUCAUUUUUUUAGAUACAUGAAUGGAUGGAUGUGAGAUGGUGAGGUGGAUGGAUGGAUGGAUGGACGCCAUGUCAUCGAUCCGUGGAAAGAGUUUUGAUUGGUUAGAACAUGUUACUACAUUUUUAUAAUCAUCGUAAAAGUUAUGACGAUCUCAUCUUUAUGCGGUUACGAUGUUUUUGACUCACAUCGUCGUAAUUUAUAUGUAGAAUUGAUCCCCUCAAACGGUUUACGACAAUCUCAGAUGAAAUCGUCAUAGAUUUAUGACGAGUUCAUCAACGACAUUUUAAAAAACGUCAAGUAUGAGCAUAUUUCUUGUAGUGAUCAGUCACAAAGAUGGGUGAAGUAGCAAACUUAGGAUCGUAUUUCAUUCUAGCAUUCAGAGAUUUUUCUUUACACUUGCGCAAUAAAUUCUCAAGAUCAUAGCUAUCCUUACAAGCAUGAAAGUCCUCAGCUACCUCUACCUCCAUAACAUAACCCUCAGGUAUAUCAGGCAAUUCAUAUCUAGGAGAGCUAGUUCUAACAGGUGAAACAACAGGUUCCACUUCAAUAAUUUCAGCAGUUUCAGAAGUAUCAUCACAUUCAACAGCAACUCUAGGAAUUUGUGCAUCAAGGAAUGCACCAAGUGGCAAAGUAGUAUCAAGCAAAGCAUCAUCAUAAGCAUCAUGGAUAGCAGAAGAAGCAUCAUCAAGCAUAGGUGACACAUCAGUAUUUCUAGUAGGUGGUGGUGUCACAAAUUACUCAUAACUGAAGGUGAAUCAAGUGCAGAGCUAGAUGGUAGUUCCUUACCUGUCCUCGUAGUUGAGGGCAAGACUUUAGUUUUUGGAUCUCUCGGAUUCCUCAUAGUGAUCAACAGAUGUAAAUCCCCAAUGACUCAGAGAAUAGAGCUAUGCUUCCCCGGCAAUGGCGCCAGAAAAAGGUCUUGAUAACCCACAAGUAUAGGGGAUCGCAACAGUUUUCGAGGGUAGAGUAUUCAACCCAAAUUUGUUGAUUCGACACAAAGGGAAGCCAAAGAAUAUUCUUGAGUAUUAGCAGUUGAGUUGUCAAUUCAACCACACUUGAAAGACUUAGUAUCUGCAGCAAAGUUUCAGUAGCAAAGUAGUGUGAUAGUAACAGUAGCAGCGGUAACAGUAUUAGUAGUGACAGCAGUAGCGGUAAAGUAACGUAACAAGGACCAGUAGGAAAAGAUCGUAGGCAUUGGAUCGUUGAUGGAUAAUUAUGUCGGAUGAUAUUCAUCAUGUAACAGUUAUAACAUGGGGAGAUAUGUAACUAGCUCCAGUUCGUCUAUGUAAUGUAGGCAUGUAUUCUGUAUUUAGUCAUACGUGCCUAUGGAAAAGAACUUGCAUGACAUCUAUUGUCCAUCCCUCCCAUCACUGCGGGGUCCUAAUGGAAACUAAGGCAUGUUAAGGUCUCCUUUUAAUAGAGAACCGGAACAAAGCAUUAGCACAUUGUGAAUACAUGAACUCCUCAUACUAUGGUCAUCUCCGGGAGUGGUUCCGGCUAUUGUCACUCCGGGUUGCCGGGUCAUAACACAUAGUGGGUGACUACAACUUGCAAGAUAGGAUCAAGAACACACAUAUAUUGAUGAAAACAUAAUAGGUUCACAUCUGAAAUCAUGGCAGUCGGGCCCUAGUGACAAGCAUUAAGCAUAGCAAAGUAGUAGCAACAUCAAUCUAAGAACAUAGUGGAUACUAGGGAUCAAACCCCAUCAAAACUAACUCGAUUACAUGAUAGAUCUCAUCCAACCCAUCACCGUCCAGCAAGCCUAAGAUGAGAUUACUCACGAACGGUGAAGAGCAUCAUGGAAUUGGCGAUGAAGGAUGGUUGAUGAUGACGAUGGCGUCGAUCUCCCCUUGCGAGAGCCCAGACCGGACUCCAGAUUUGCCCUCCAGAGGAAGAAUAGGUGGUGGCGGCGGCUCCGUGUCGUGAAACGCGAUGAACUCUUUUCUCUUAAUUUUUUCCGGGUGAGAGAGACUAUAUAGAGCUGGAGUUGGAGGCGGCGGAGCCACGAGGGCCUCACAAGCCUGCCAGGCGCGGCCAGGGGCCGCGCCUCCUGGGCUUGUGAGCUCCUGGCUCCGUCCCUCCAGGUAAUUCUUGCGCCAGCAUUUUUUAUCUACUCCACAAACAAUCCUUGUAAAUUUCCAGGUCAUUCCGAGAACUUCUAUUUUUGCGCAAAAACAACACCAUGGCAAUUCUCCUGAAAACAACGUUAGUCCGGGUUAGUUCCAUUCAAAUCAUGCAAAUUAGAGUCCAAAACAAGGGCAAAAGAGUUUGGAAAAGUAGAUACGAUGGAGACGUAUCACUCAUCUCUUCACUUCAUCUUCGAGGUGACUCUUCUCUUUCUUUGUAGGGAGUCGAGCACUCAUUGGAGUAGUGUCCGGGCUUCCCACAAUUGUAGCAGUUUCGGUCACGACUCGAUGAACGCUUCUCAUCAUGUCUUGAGCUUGAGCUUCUGUCUUUGCCUCUACUCUUGUAGAACUUGUUGAAUUUUCUGACCAUGAGACUUAUCUCUUCAUUGGCGACAAGAUUGUCCUUUGAAGUAGUGGGAGCAUUGCUUGAAGUUUUGUAAGCAACGCUUAACUUGUUGUGCAACUCAUCUUUGUCCUUGAGUGACAUCUCAUGAGCAACAAUUCUACCAGUGACUUUUGUUGGCUUGAGAUCUUUGUAGUUUGGCAUCAUUUCGAUCAAUGUGCACAAGGUUUCAUACUUUCAAUCUAGAGCUCUGAGUAUCUUCUUGAUGAUGAAUUUGUCGGUCAUCUUUUCGCUUCCUAAGCGGGCAAUCUCAUUUGUGAUGAGAGCUAGCCUAAAGUACAUUUGAGUGACUCCUUCACCAUCCUUCAUCUUGAACUUGUCAAGUUGACUUUCAAGCACAUCCAACUUAGAUUCUCUAACAGAAUCAAUACCUUCGUGCAUAUCAACCAAAGUAUCCCAAAUUUCUUUUGCAAUCUCAAGGCGGUUGAUUUUGUUGAAUUCUUUGGGGCAUAGGUAGUUGAAGGUGAUGUCACGGGCUUGUGCAUUGAAUUGCAACAUCUUCAAUUCUUCCGCUGUCGCAUCACAAUCCAGUUCUUGCCCUUCUCCGAAGAAUUCACCUUGCACAACAACACGAAGAACAACCCAUACGGUAGGAUUUUAACCAAUUAUAUGCAUUUUCAUAUUAUGCUUCCAACUAGCAAAAUUAGUGCGAACAAAGUAUGGACCUCUACGGUGAUAACUUCCCUCACUAGAUGCCAUACUCUCCUAUGUUGUGAAACCAAUGCAAUGGAGACCAAAGCUUUGAUACCAAUUGUAGGACUAAAAGUAUAUCUAAAAGGGGGUGUGAUACGUCUCAAACGUAUCUAUAAUUUUUGAUGGUUUCACGUUGUUAUCUUGCCAUCUUUGGAUGUUUUAUGUAUCUUUUGUAUAUUUUUUGGGACUAACUUAUUGAUUCAGUGCCACGAGCCAGUUCCUGUUUUUUUGUGUGUUUUUGGCUCUUUUCAGAUCUGAUUUUGGAACGGAGUCCAAACGGAAUAAAAACCCCGAAAUGAUUUUUUCCCGAACGGAAGAAGAUCAGGGGGCCUUUGGGCCAAGCCAGGUGGGCUCCAGGGAGCCCACAAGCUCCCACUCCGCCACCAGGGGGUGAGGCAGCGGUGUCAGGGCUUGUGGCCUCCCUGGCCGCCCCCUGACCUAGAUCCUUGGCCUAUAUAUUCCCUAAAAUACAGCAAAAAACUCAGGGGAGCCUCGAAAAUACUUUUCUGCCGCCGCAAGCUUCCGUUUCCGCGAGAUCUCAUCUGGACACCCUUCCCGGUGCCCUGUCGGAGGGGACUUUGGAGUUGGAGGGCUUCAUCAUCAUCAUCAUCGCCCCUCCAAUAACUCGUGAGUAGUUCACUUCAGACCUACGAGUCCGUAGUUAGUAGCUAGAUUGCUUCUUCUCUCUCUUGGAUCUUCAAUACAAACUUAUCCAUGAUCUUCAUGGAGACCUAUCUGAUGUAAUCUUCUUUGGCGGUGUGUUUGUCGAGAUCCGAUGAAUUGUGGAUUUGUGAUCAGAUUAUCUAUGAUAUAUAUUUG
rnacentral:lncRNA from 1 species